rnacentral:lncRNA from 1 species
AUUCCCACCUAUAAAACUCCCGAAACUUUCUGGUUAUGCAAUCUGGUGUUGGGGAUACAGGGGAAGCAAUAUAUCUCACUCAAACUAACAAUCCCUACAUCCAGCUGUAUCCAUCCGUCAACACAUAACCAAGAAACCUUCGGAAAUCGUCUACCUCAACCUUCGAAAAGCAUCCGUUAUACGAGUCAUGGCAAUACUCCCGUACUCACCUCAGUACUGGGUUAUCGGGGUUAUCUCACCAACAACUGCAUAAAAGAGAUUUUCGAUGUCGGCGUACUAAACUCAGGUAUUCCAGAACUGCAAUGAUAAGAUUAUGACGACAACACCUCAGAGCUCAACUCCCCGGGACACCUCCACUAAAAAAACCCCUGCUGACGGGAGGCACCAAGACAAUGUUCUCAUCAUAAAACCAUCGGAACGAUUCCAAGAUACCCGCGUGAUCCUAAAAAAUUUUUAGUGAAAUUUAAGAAGAGAAGAGUCAAAACUCUACGUCAGGAGACCUCACCAGAGCGACGAAGGGACUGAGGAGUAAAAAUAAUUCCUAACUCUCUGAUAUAUAUAAUCCUAAAUGACUCAAAACAUUUUUCUAGACACAACUCGGCCACUAAAAACGAUCAAGCAGUGGGGGCUCCUAAGGUCGGGGAAGGCUCUGAUUACCAACUUGUAACGCCCUCGAUGCGGCUAUAUCUCCCACGUGUCGAAGCACGACUUAGAGGCAUAACCGCAUUGAAAGCCAUGUCGCAAGUGAGGUAAUCUUCACACAACCCAAGUAAUAUAUAAGGGAAAGAGAUACAUAGUUGGCUUACACUCGCCACUUCACACAAAUACAAGAAUAAAGCAUUACAUCAUCUAGAUACAAUCAAGGUCCGACUACGGAACCAAAAUACAAGAAGAACCCCAAAUGCGACAAAGGUCCCCGAUCGACCCCAAGUGGGCUCCACUACUGAUCAACUAGAACGAAACAACACAAAGGGCAAGAUCAUCAUCGAGCUCCUCCUUGAGCUUGGUUGCGUCACCUGCAAACUGGUUUUGGAAGUAUCUGUUGAGUCACGAGGACUCAGCAAUCCCAUUACCAUGGGUAUCAAGACUAGCAAAGCUUAAUGGGAAAGGAAGGGGUAAAGUGGUGAGUUUGCAGCAGCGACUAAGCAUGAUAUGGUGGCUAACAUACGCAAAUGAGAGAGAGAAGAGAAACAAGCGGAACGAUCGUGAAGCUAGCAAUGAUCAAGAGGUGAUCCUGAACACCUACUUACGUCAAUCAUAACACAGAAACCGUGUUCACUUCCCGGACUCCGCCGAGAAGAGACCGUCACGGCUACACACUCGGUUGAUGCGUUUUAAUUCGGAUCUGGUGUCAAGUUAUCUACAACCAGACAUUAACAAAUUCCCAUCUGCAACAUAACCGCGGGCACGGCUCUCGAAAGUUUAAACCCUGCAGGGGUGUCCCAACUUAGCCCAUGACAAGCUCUCGCGAUCAUCGAAGGAAUAGACCUUCACCCAGGAAGACCCGAUCAGUCUCGGAAUCCCGGUACAUCAAGACAUUUCGACAAUGGUAAAACAAGACCAGCAAAGCCUCCCGGUGUGCCGACAUCCUGAUAGUAGCCGCGCGUAUCUCGUUCAGUCCAUGACCGGAUGAGCUAAGCGUACAGGUACCGACGUAACCCAAGUUGCCAAGGGAUGGUCCCGCACGGUGCUCUAGUUUGGACCAACGCUUAGACAAGCACUGGCCCAAGGCGGGGCUAUAAUAAAGAUGACCCUUGGGUUAAUUACUCCCAAGGGAAAAGUAGGUGGUGGUGAGGCAAAUGGUAAAAGUCAAUGUUGGGCCUUGCUGGACAAGUUUUAUUCAAAGCGAACUCUCAGGGGGGUCCCAUAAAUCACCCGACCGCGUAAGGAACGCAAAAUCCGGGAACAUAACACCGGUAUGACAGAAACUAGGGCGGCAAGAGUGGAACAAAACACCAGGCAUAAGGCCGAGCCUUCCACCCUUUACCAAGUAUAUAGAUGCAUUAAUAAUAUAAGAGAUAUUGUGAUAUCCCAACCAAAAUCCUGUCCACCAUGGAGAAAUCUUCAACUUCACCUGCAACUAGCAACGCUAUAAGAGGGGCUGAGCAAAAGCGGUAACAUAGCCAAACAACGGUUUGCAUAGGAAAGGUGUCAAAGGUUAGAGGUUCAUGGCAAUAUGGGAUGGCUUGAUAAACAGGUAAUAGGUAGCGCAGCAUGGCGAAAGAACGAGGCAACUAGCAUAGCAAUGAUAGUAGUGAGAUCCAAGGUAGCGGUCAUCUUGCCUGAAAUCCCGCAAGGAAGAAGAACGAGUCCAUGAAGAAGAUGAACGGAUGAAGCCGAACCAAUCAUAGACGAACGAAUCCACACGAUCGCAACGAAACAGGAACUAACAAGAAGAAGCACACAACAUAGGUAAACACACCACACAUGAACAAGACAUGAUGCACAACAAGCAUGAUGCAUGAAAAGGCUACAUGAAUCUACUCAUGGCAAGAUAUGAUGCAAACAAGAACAACACAUCAAGGCAAGUUUAAAUGAGGCCGGGAACAACAUAUAACAAUUCCGGUAAGUCCUCAUAUGCAAAUUUCGAAAUUGGUCCAGAACUGAAUAAACAUUAUGUUGAAUUUGUUAAACAGCAAGUUAAAGAUCACCAAGAUGAUCUACACGAAAUUCUAGUCAAGUUACAUAUAAAGUUCAUUAGAUUCGGAGCUACGGCCUAGAAGAUAUGAGCAAAACAAGUUAAACAUGGCAUUGAUGCAAAAUGCACCCAAACAUCAAGCAAACACACCAAAACAAGGAUGCAACAUGAUAAUAUGAAACAACAUGCAAAAUCAAGCAAGUUUCAUAUAGAGCACACUCAAAACGGAGCAAUGGUGCAACACACAGACACACUAUACAAGUCAUAGCAAUAAUCUGUCGAUAACAGCAACUAGGCAUCUUACAAGCAUCAAAACAACAAGCUAUAGCACCCCAAAAUAAUAACAAAAGGCAUGGGCAUGAAGUACACGUAAAGCAUAACAAAACAUGAACACUGAGCUAUCUCCAGAAACAACUAAAACAUGCUCAAAAUGACAUGGAGAUAUUGCAAAUAAUAACAGUUUCAGACUUUAGCAGAAAUAACAUCAGGUUGCAAUGUUUAGAGCAAGCAAACAACAUGUUACAGGAACUUAUCAUGGCAAACAAAGGCAUGGCAUGAAUCUAUUAAUAGCAUAUAUCAAAAGACCCUUACUGACCAUAAGCCAAAAAGGCAUGGAAAAAUAUGAUGGCACCCAUGUAAACAUGGCAAGUUAUAUUACAGAUUUAAACAUGGCAGGAACAACAAUAAGUAGGCAUGUUCGUGAGCUUGAACCACUCACCACAGAGCAAUACAUGGCAUGGCAAGGCAACCAACAGUAAGAAGGCAUGUUUAUGAAGCUAAGCAUCGCAAGAGCAAGUUCAUAGGGUACAUGGAUUACUAGGAAAACACAUGGGAACAAGUGAACUUAAUUUUAACAUGCUGACAAACAACAUUUUCAAGCAAAUUUGGAGCAAGAAAUGAACAUGUUCCAGCAGGCUAUAAUUGCAACCAAGGGCAUGAAUGGAUAGAGCAUGACAUGUAGAUCAAAACAUGUUUAUAGAGCAUCUCCAGAUUAUGCAUAGAAUGAUUAGUAGAAGCAUGUUAACAUAGCAACAAAAUAUAACAGAAUCUGUCAGGAAAACAGCAACAGCAACUACCCUACUUAACAAGCUUGAAACACUCAGCACACAACUCACAAAAAUACAUAGUUAACACCCCUGGAAAGAUGGCAUGGCAUAGUUCAACAUUCAUGUAGAGCUCAACCUUAUAGGAUGCACACAUAAAUCAUGGCAAAAAUGAUAAAACAGCAAGUUAUAACAGUUUCAGCAGGUUAACAUCAACAUGCACUCUUCCAACAGCAUUUAGGGCAUCAAGAUGAGCUCAAAUGAAAAUGAUGCAAUGUAAUGAAAUGAUGUACUCGUCGAGACAAACAAUUUGACAUAUUAUACGCACAAAACGGAGCUACAGAUGCAGAGAUGUGAUGCAUUGAAUAUGGCAUGAAAAUAACCGAAUCUGGGGACUUAGUGGUUUCCGGGUCAACCUUCGGGUUCGAGGCACGCGGAUCGAGGUUCGUCGGAGGCGAGGCGGCGGCUCGCCGGAGUGGCAGGAGAAGCCGGCCGGAGGUCGAGGAGGGGCCGGGGCGGCGCCGGAGGAGGUCGGGCGCGGCCGGAGGGAGGCGCCNNNNNNNNNNNNNNNNNNNNNNNNNNNNNNNNNNNNNNNNNNNNNNNNNNNNNNNNNNNNNNNNNNNNNNNNNNNNNNNNNNNNNNNNNNNNNNNNNNNNNNNNNNNNNNNNNNNNNNNNNNNNNNNNNNNNNNNNNNNNNNNNNNNNNNNNNNNNNNNNNNNNNNNNNNNNNNNNNNNNNNNNNNNNNNNNNNNNNNNNNNNNNNNNNNNNNNNNNNNNNNNNNNNNNNNNNNNNNNNNNNNNNNNNNNNNNNNNNNNNNNNNNNNNNNNNNNNNNNNNNNNNNNNNNNNNNNNNNNNNNNNNNNNNNNNNNNNNNNNNNNNNNNNNNNNNNNNNNNNNNNNNNNNNNNNNNNNNNNNNNNNNNNNNNNNNNNNNNNNNNNNNNNNNNNNNNNNNNNNNNNNNNNNNNNNNNNNNNNNNNNNNNNNNNNNNNNNNNNNNNNNNNNNNNNNNNNNNNNNNNNNNNNNNNNNNNNNNNNNNNNNNNNGCGGCGGCGUGGGGAGGCGGCGGCCGGCGGCGGCGCAUGGCGGCGGGGCGGUGCGGAGCAGACGUGUCGGCUCCUGAUUGGAUGGAGUGAGGUGGAGGCUGGACGUGUCCGGCCGUCGGCGGACAUGUCCGGCGGCGUGGAGGGAAGAUUUAGGGUUUCACCUGCGAUUUGGACGGGGGAGGCACAUAUUUAUAGGUAGACGGAGCUAGGAGAGUCCAAAUGAGGUGCGGUUUUCGGCCACGCGAUCGUGAUCGAACGACCGAGAGCAUGGAGGGGAGUUUGGUGGGUUUUGGGCCACUUUGGAAGGGGUAUUGGGCUGCAACAAAAUAGGCCUUUACCGUUACCCGGUUAACCGUUGGAGUACCAAACGACCUCCAAAUGGCACGAAACUUGACAUGCGGUCUACCGGUGCUAUACCAAGGCCGCUUGGCAAACCUCGGGCCAUUCCGAGAAAGUUUAACACCCGCACAAGAGAAGAGGCAAAAGGGGGACGCCGGAGGACAUAGGAGCGCCGGAUUGCAAAACGGACAACGGGAAAAAUGCUCGGAUGCAUGAGACGAACACGUAUGCCAAAUGAAAUGCACAUGAUGACAUGAUAUGAAAUGCAUAUGAUGACAUGGCAAAGUGCAACACGCAAGCAGAUGACAUGGCAACUGGCGGACACCUGGCGCAUCGGAUCCGGGGCAUUACAUGUAUGCUAUUAAGAAUACUGAUAACCAUGAAAUUUGUCAUCAUGAUUUUAGUUUUCAAUUUGGAUUAUGCCUCACAUGAUAAUUAUUUUGUUGAGUUUGCUCCCACUACUAUUCAUCAGAAGAAAUUUUCUUAUGUGGAGAGUAGUAAAUUUUAUAUGCUGGUGCAUCAUGAAAAUAAUGCUUUAUGUUAUGGUUAUAUUGUUGAAUUCAUUCAUGAUGCUACUGAAAAUUAUUAUGAGGGAGGAAUAUAUGCUUGUAGGAAUUGCAACAAUAUCAAGUUUCCUCUCUAUGUGUUGAAAAUCUGGAAGCUAUGCUUGUUCUACCUUCCUAUGCUAGUUGAUUCUUGUUCUCAUAAGUUGUUUUAUCACAAAAUCCCUAUGCAUAGGAAGUGGGUUAGGCUUAAAUGUUCUAGUCAUAUGCUUCAUGAUGCUCCCAUUAUGUUUCAAUUCUUAUCUUUUAUGUGAGCAUCAUUGUCAUCAUCAUGCCUAGCUAGAAAGGCAUUAAAGAAAACCGCUUGUUGGGAGACAACCCAAUAUUUACCUUUAAUGUUUCUGUGUGUUCACAUGAUUAUGCUACUAUAGUAAUCAUUUUUUAUAGCUUUUGUUUCAAUAAAGUGCCAAGUAAGACCUUUAGGAUAGCUUACGGUGAUAGUUGUGUUGAUCCUGCUGAAAAUCAGAAACUUUUGCACCUAGUACAUUAGAUUUGAUAAUUCAUAGAAACGUGCUUUUGAUCUGAUUAUUUUUGCUCUGGAUUGGUACACAUAUUUCUCAGGUUUUCCUAAUUUCUGAGAAUAUUUUGAGUUACAAAUCUAUUCGAAUGAUACAGAUUACUACAUACUGUUCUAUUUUUGACAUAUUCUGUUUUUUAUGUGUUGUUUGCUUAUUUUGAUGAAUCUAUGAGUAGUAUCGGGGGGUGUGAACCAUAGAGAAUUUGGACUACAGUAGAUAUUACACAUGAAUUUAGAAUAAGUUCAUAACAGUACCUAAGUGGUGAUUUAUUUUCUUAUACUAACGGAGUUUACGAGUUUUCUGUUAAGUUUUGUGUUGUGAAGUUUUCAAGUUUUGGGUAAAGAUUCGAUGGUCUAUGGAAUAAGGAGUGGCAAGAUGCUAAGCUUGGGGAUGCCCAAGGAACCCCAAGGUAAUAUUUAAGGACAACCAAGAGCCUAAGCUUGGGGAUGCCCGGGAAGGCAUCCGUGCACCCUCUAUGCAUGCCGACCGCUUCAUCGCCUUGAUAUGCGGCACCGCAUCAAGGAACUGCUGCCCCAAGCCAAAAUAACUCUUCGGCUCGGGCCUUUCCGGCCACAGAUGAGCCACAACAUCCUUCAUGGCAAGACCGGACAACCUGUUCAGCUCAGCCCACUCAGCCAACCGAUCGGUUUACGGAAGUGGACGCUCCGGAUUAUGGAAUUGAGACCAGAAAAGCUCUUCCAUUCUGUGAUCCUUUUGGCCUCGGAAGUGCGCGACUGCGUCCGCCGCACUCGCUUCCAAAUUCAGAUAAGCAUCCUCCGCACCCCACAACUAGCCCAACUGAGCAUACUUCGGAUCUGUGAACUUCCUACGCAGCAAAAAGGGCUUUCCAGCCGCAAUAUCCCCGGCCUGACGCAGCUCCUCCUUUAUAGCCCUCAUCGCGGAGCGGGCAUCCUUGGCCUCGGCGGUGUCCUUCUUCAGGUCCUCUUGCUCCGCUCGGCAUUCUCUUUCAAGAAACUCAUAGCGGUCGGUAGCAUCCUUAAGCUUCACGGCCAUUUCGCCAUUUCCUCCCUGCUUCGGCAGUGAGCAGCCUGUUCGGCUUUUAGCUCUUCGGCCGCCUUCAAGGCAACCGCAUCACUUUUUCCGGUUUGCUCCUUGGCUCGGGAAAGCUCCGCCCAAAGGUCCUCCAUAGCAGCAGCGCCAUCUGCAUCAAGCAUACAUGUUAUAAGGCACGGGCGUCAAGCUCCCUUACAAGGUGUCCACGGAGAAGCCACAUACCUUGUGACUCGUCAAGUCAUUUAUUGACCAGUGCGAUGUCAGCAUCCGCAACGUCAAGUUGCCGCUUCAGUUCCAAAACUCUAUCAGUCCGGCUGGCCACCGAACGUUCCGCCACCUGAAUAGGAAGGGCGACAUCUUAUAACUGAGUUUAUGAUCCUCGGCACGCUGUCGCUUUUGACAACGUACCGAGUCUCAGGGGCUACUAUCUAUAGAGGGCGCACUCUAUGUGCAAAAUUGUCAAAAGGUAUAUCAUUUUUACGUACCUUAAACCCUGUCAGUAAACUUCUGACGGCCUCAUGCAACCCGCUCUCAGCGGAUGAAAUCCUUUCAAUCAUCGUACUCAUCAACGUACGGUGACCUUCUGAGAUAGACGCCCGCCCGAAAAGAUCCUUCAGCUCCUCCGGCCAUACACCAGCUGGUGCCGAACUCUCCGGCCCCUCCGGACUCAGGGAGACCCUCUGCAACGACACCUCAGGGUCGUCCGCCACGCCUGACGGCGCAGCAUAUGGAGGCGUUUCGCUCUCCAUCAUCUCCGGACGAAGAUCCCCCGAAGAUGAGCUCUGCUGAGAAGGGCUGAGAUCCGAACUUCAAGGUAAAAACUACGGUUAUCCUAAGAAAUAAAAAUAGGGAUGUCCCUUAUUACAAACUUACGGCUCGCUGGAGGGCUGAUUCCCUUGGGGAAAUAGUGCGGCCGGGGCUUCUCCUGGCGCAGGACCCUCUGGUGAAGAUUUCUUCCCCCGCUUGGAGGCCUUGGCCUCCGGAUCUUCGGAAGCGGUCCUCUUCUCCCCCUGGAGGGAGGGAUUCUCGAUCCCCCCCUUUCUUGAGAGCAUCUUUAGCGGAGGCGGUAGUUUUCCUGUUUUCCCCUUCGCCCUCUUCCGAAGGCGCAAUCUCCAGCAUCUUGACUAACACGGGAUCCGGCGUGGUCUCAGGGAGGGGGGCCGGACACCGUAUUAGUUUUGCUUUUUCUAUCCACUCAUGUUCAAGGGAUAGCUGGUUAAAGGGCAAGUUUAUGGUAAAUGUAUGGACAACGUGUCCGGGCACAGGACUACUUACUUGAGUAUCCGAGCGAUUGCAGCUCAGGCCUGCGUCCUCGGUCAAGUCCGGACACAUCUCUUGUGAUCCGGAGAACAAUUUAUACAUCUCCACGGGCGUCGCGCCCAUGAAGUGUUGGAGAGCUCGCGGUCCCUCCGGAUUGAAUUCCCACAGGCGGAGGGGCCGACGUUUGUAGGGCAGAAGGCACCGAAUCAGCAUGACCUGCGCCACUACAACCAGAUUGAUCUCCCUCUCUUGGAGGUCUCAAAUACGGCCCUGCAAUAAUGGCACGUCCUUGGACGGCCCCCAGUCAAGCCCUUUGUUGACCCAUGACGCCAGCCGUUGUGGGGGGCCUGAGCGAAAGGCAGGCGGCGCCACCCAUCUGGUGCCACUAGGAGCGGUGAUGUAGAACCACUCCUGUUGCCACAAACCGAGCUCAUUUUGAAAACAGCCCUCGGACCACGGAGCGUCCGCUCUCUUGCUUAUAACUGCCCCUCCACACUCUGCCUGCCGCUCCUCGAUCAUCUUCGGCUCCACAUUGAAGGUCUUGAGCCACAAUCCGAAGGGAGGAGUGGUGUGGAGGAAGGCUUCGCAUACAACAAUGAACGAUGAAAUGUGGAGGAUGGACUCUGGAUCCAAGUCAUGGAAUUCCAGCCCGUAGUAAAACAUGAGCCCCCUCACGAAGGGGUCCAUCGGGAAGCCUAAACCCUGACGGAAGUGAGACACGAAGACUACACUCUUGCCAGGCUCGGGAGUGGGAAUAAUUUGCCCUCGGGCGGGCGGCCUAUGCGAAAUUUUGCCGGUUAGAUACCUGGCGUCUCUCAGCUUUAGCACAUCUUCUUCUGUGAUGGAAGAGGGCAUCCACCGGCCCUGAAGGUCGGAGCCGGACAUUGUCGAAGGUCCGAAGCGCCUAAAUCUGGAGCCUCGGGUGUUGGAACUCGGGGCGAGGGGCGGAUUUGAUUGAAGAUUAAAGAAAAGGAACAGGCCUUGGUCCCAUUAUAAAGGGGUUGAAUACCAAGAGUCGUCCCCGUGACCGUUUAGGACUUGCCUUCGAUGCAGGGGGCGUGCUAACGGGCGUGGUUGGGUUACCCACGUCCAUAUUGAUGAGAAUCCCGGAAUAAGGGGACACGAUCUCUGCUUUGAUAAGACGUGCCAAGGAAACCGCUUCGCUAAACGCGCUAAGGUGGUAUAAUAAAAACGAUUCGAGUAAAGGCUUGGCCAUGGUGUGACGUCACGCCACGAAAUACGUCAGCAGAAUGAACUUGUGUAAAUAUUAUUCUCUCUACAGUGGUAUGUGGAAUUUAUUCUGCAGAGCCGGACACUAUCCUGGUGUUCACAAUCUCCUAUGAAUUAUUCGGAGGAGGAACCCGCCUUGCAAUGCCGAAGACAAUAUGCACGCCGGACUCGUCGUCAUUGAAGCCUGGUUCAGGGGCUACUGAGGGAGUCCUGGACUAGGGGGUGUCCGGAUAGCCGAACUAUCAUCAUUGGCCGGACUCCAAGACUAUGAAGAUACAAGAUUGAAGACUUCGUCCCGUGUCCGGAUGGGACUUUCCUUGGCGUGGAAGGCAAGCUUGGCGAUGCGGAUAUGUAGAUCUCCUACCAUUGUAACCGACUCUGUGUAACCCUAGCCCUCUCCGGUGUCUAUAUAAACCGGAGGGUUUUAGUCCGUAGGAUGAACAACAAUCAUACCAUAGGCUAGCUUCUAGGGUUUAGCCUCCUUGAUCUCGUGGUAGAUCUACUCUUGUACUACCUAUACCAUCAAUAUCAAUCAAGCAGGAGUAGGGUUUUACCUCCAUCGAGAGGGCCCGAACCUGGGUAAAAACAUCGUGUCCCUUGUCUCCUGUUACCAUCCGCCUAGACGCAUAGUUUGGGACCCCCUACCCGAGAUCCGCCGGUUUUGACACCGACACUCUCCACGUACAGUACUCUUCUGAUGGAAGUCGUUCCUUGACCACGUUGACCACACCGCGCGGAGAGCACCACGGCGGUGGACGACGGCGAGGCCUAGGAAGGGGACAACACGGAGCCGGGGAAGAUGCGACAGUGGAAGCCCACGCGGAGAGGAGUACGAGGGUUCACUGGUUCAGCUGUGGUGUGAGGCUGCCGUCGCCGCAGGGCCUGGCCAGCGAUGGGAAUAGUAGGGGCAGUGAGUCCUCCGUGGCAGCACAACCGGCCACGAGAGGCAGGAGCAUGAGGCACGACCGGCGCUGGUUUGGGCGGCUGGAGCAAGAAGACCAGAGGUUGAAGAAGCAUUACGGCCGUUGGAUGGACAUCGUACGGUCACUGGAGCUAGAAUCAUUCAUAUUGACUAUGUUGACAAAGCCAUUCGUCCCCGUCAACUUAGUAGGCCCACAAGUCAGCCUCCCACCGAGGUGGGUCCCAGCUAGCAGGGGGAGUAUUCAUUUUUUUUGUGCGUAAUAAGGAGGCACUUCCGGUGGGUCUGAGCUGACAGCCGGGGGGGACAUUUUUUCGCGAAAUAUGAUGGCCCGUUAGGUGGGUCCCAGCUCAACAUGGCAACGGGGACGAAACCCGUCGGGUUAUGCCUUCCCAAACCCAUCCCCAUGAGAAAAUCGUAAACCCAUCCCCGUCCCCAUCGUCGUGCACGGGGCUAGUUUUCUGCCCGUCCCCUAAACCCAUCGGGUUUCGGGGAACCCACGGGGAACCCAUGAGAAUAUCAAAAUAUUUAAACAAACAUAGUGGCGACAAACAAUAUCAUUUCAGCAGCAUAACUUGAGUAAAUUUCAACAAAGCACUAUAGUAGAUGGUUUAACAGCUAUAUAGAGUGUAUUUCGGUAGCAUGAUACCACAUUUCAGCAACAAAGAUGAUCGGAUUUCAGCAACAAAGAUGAUCAAAUUUCAGCCAUACAUAGUACAACAAGAUGUGCAAAUCUUCGAAUGCCAAAUCAAAGUGCCAAGUCCCAGGGAAGAUCAAAUUUUGCUCAAGCUAAAGUUAAACAUGAAAAAAAUAUGCAGAUUGGUAUAUGAAAUUUGCAAGUACUUGUACCUCACCUGCAUUCCCUCUUUAAUGUCUUGAAGACAACUCCAAAAGCAUUGUCCUUGUUCAUUGUCAACAUCUAUGAGAAUCAAAUAAGUAUUAAUAAACGUCUUAUGAAACACUUCAACAAGAUAAUGAUAAACUUUAUGAUAAUAUGAUAAACAUUGCAGCAAAAAAUGUAAUUUCGCGGGUAUUGACAGGUUUCCGGUUCGGGGACUACCGAAACGGGUGUAAACCCAUGAAACGUGUCGGGUUGUAUAAUUUUACCAACAACAGCCCCACGGGGAUGAAAAGAUGCCCAUCCCCAUCCCCUAAUAGGGUAAAAACCCACGGGGAUGCGGGUUUCGGGGCCCCGUUGCCAUCUUGAGUCCUAGCAGUCAGGGGGCAAACGUUUUUUUCCGCAAAAUACGGUGGAUCGUCCAGUGGGUCCCCGCUGUUAGUUGGAGGAAUCAUUAUGGGGCAAAUGUUUUUUUUGCAAAAGGACGGAAGCUGUCGAGGCAAUGAAGCACCCAAUGUUUUUGUGUAGUUCCACCAAAAUCGAGCAUCCCUGUUGGCACAUAUAUUGGGAGAGUGAGAUUACUAUAAUAGUGGGACUAGUUGAUGAAACAUCCACUAACAAAUAGAAGCACCCUCAUUAUCUUAAUGGGUAAAGUUAGCAACAUAGUAGUGUUGCAUAAAGAGAGGUAUUAGUUUAUUUAAUCAGUGCCAAUUAUCUCAACUCAACACUCAAAGCAUUACCAUUUAUCAUAGGUUGCAAAACUUAAAAGUGCAAAGAUAAAGGAGUUUCUCAUGACAGUAGCACAAUACAGAUAGAGAUGACAGCAAACUAGUAUGGAUGAAGGCCUUAGGCCCGUACCGACCUGAGAAAAAAGCUUAUUCAUGUAGUCCCAUAAGAGAUGAUAAAGCACACACUGGAAUCACACAAUAGUAUAUAUUUUUGUGCACUUCAAAUGUAUGGUUGAAAUCACUCUUGUUUACCAGUGCUGAGAUUAUAUCGAAAGAUUAUCAAGAACUUCCAGUAGAGUUAAAGCAUUGGCUGGGAUACAGUUCAUUGUAUUAUCUUGUGUUGUUCCACUAAAAUGUAUGAUCAGCACAACAUGAUCCAUGUUUGCACAAGUAGGAACAAGGUGAAACCUUCAUUAGCUUAGUGAGAAAGGAUAGGAAGAUAUUAGAAUAUUACUCAAAUAGUAGCAUCAAAUUCAUGAUGGACAAUAUGCACGUUGCCUCAUUGGACCAAUGGCACUAAAUUGACAUGCAAAACAAUAACACUAUUAUGUCAUGACACUAAUAAUAUUCCCUCCCUGCUCCACCACAUGAUUCACCUCCAUAGACAAACAUUCACGUGUACAUGAUUCAGCAUAGGGUCCUACUAAAGAUUUGUUUAACUCCAAUAGGAAAAUUAGGCAGUAAUAAAUUAGUGGUACUUAAGUGCUCCUAAUUAAUUAAGUGAGACAGCAGAAGUGGAAGGGCUUCCUGGAGGAUUGUCUCACAUGUAAGGUGGUCAUUGCCGGAGCCCUUGAAUAGCCUCGACUAAGGCCUGUGGCUUCAGCAAGAUCGCCUUCACACUUUUUAUUCUUCUUCUUCCUCUUCAUGCUCUGUUUCUCUUUCUCCUCACCAGUUGGUGAAACCAAGUACAUGAUUGGCCUUCUAAUUCAGAAUUGGUUUUGUCAGUGAGGGAUUACAAGUGUACUAGUAAAAAACAACAUUAUUUUCUCAUGGCAGUCAGAAAAUAGAGAUGAACACAUGCAUUAAAUAUCAUUCUUACCUAAAGGAAGGUUAUGGCGCCAAUAUGGAUGAUGAGGAUUGGAACACAGAUCUCCCUUUGUGCAGUUCCACCAAAAUGGACCAACUGUUCCAUCUGACAUUCCAGUUAAACAGCACAAAAGUGACUUCUUUUAAGAAGAGUUUUGUGCAGUGCACCAAAAGGUCACAACAACAACCAGGUGAAUUGGAUAUCCCUGUUUGCACAAAAAGGCACAGAGGAAACAGUCAGAGUCUCAAACAAUUACAAGCAAAAACAUUUGGCUAAACUUGUCAGAGUCUCAAACAAUUACAAGCAAAAACAGUGGCAUGGCUUCAUUUUUACCAGGGACAUUAUAUUAAGAACAGCUAAGGCUGCGUUUGGUUCACAGGUUUGGUGCAGGAUUUUCAUAGGAACACAAUUCCUACCGUAUUAUUUCCCUUCCAACCGUUCGGAACAUGGGAAAGGUGAAUAGUGUUUCAUAGGAAAGCUGGUCUGGUAGUACUGAUUCCAUCGGAUUAGAAACAUCCACGCGCUACUCAUUUUUUGGGCGGAAGCCCUAGGCAGGUGCUCGCUGCCAUGUGUUAGACACGUUGCUGUGCUGUGUUUGCCGGGAUAAAAAAAUCAACCUAUGUGUGGUACGUAGGAGAGGACAAGAGUAGUCACUGUGCAGCUAAAUAAACAAAUAGCAUCUCAUACUGCCAAGCAUGCUACUCUAAAAAAACAAAUCUUUACAUUUUGUAGUCCAUCCAAACACAUUCUCUUGAGAGUUUCCUCCGGUUUGCUGUUUUAUAGUUUUAUACCUACAUUCCUUUCCUAUUCCUCUAUUUUCAUCAAGACCUAUGUUUUCUGCCCCUUUAUUCCGACCGGAGCCUAAAUAUUUGGUAUAAGGGCAUGGGACAGUGGGUGCACCAGCAGUACAGCACCAUGUACGUAAACAGGGGCAUAAAGUGGUGAUUCAUAGUUUGUUGCCCCAACAAACAAACAUCCAAGAAACAUAUCUGGGUUGGUCCCAUUUUUGUUCACUCUAGCCACCUACUCCUAUGUGUGGAUAGCAAAUCUAGUCCUGGUCAUUCCACUGUGUACGGCGUUACCACUAUAUUUCCCUUUUCGACUAAGAGAUUGGUUGGAUGACCAGUCUGUACUACUUUCAUCCCCUUUCCUUCCUGUUUGUACCAAGUCUAAUGUACAUACUAAAUUCCCCCACCCCCAUUUUAUUUCAAUGACAAGUAUUUUCGGACGGAGGGAUACAAGAUUCGACUCCAUGAAGUAGCAUUACCUCUAACAAUAGAAGAAAAAAAAGGUGACGUUGGACCAUCCGAUCGAGAGGGGCUGAGAGGUAGAAAAUGAUGCACAUGCAGCGACGUAGCGAGCUGGGGAAGUAGAGCUAAGGCGGUUUCGAACGAAGCUAUACCUGAAGGUCGUCGGAAUGUGGAUAGGUGGGCGGCGGGAGGCCGGAUCCAUCCACAGGCAACGAUGAAGGGAUCGGAGGACCUCCCGCGCCGGCGCUUGGCCAAAGAUAACGGUGCGGCCAGCAGUGGAUCUCCUCCCUCGCUGUCGACGACGGCCUAAACGCUGCCCCUCCUCCCCUUCACAGGCGGAGGGGGAUACGUCCGGAUCUAUAACCAGCGGUGAGGAUAGAAAGCCAGUGUUUUUGAAGGGAGAAAGACAAGGUUACUACCCUUAUCUUGUUUAGAUCUGGAGAGGAUGAGAGUGUGUGAAUAGAGCAGCCCUAGCAAGCAAGCGUGGAGGCUCCGGCCUAUAUAUAAGUAGUGGGGUAGUUUUCCUUUUUCACUCCAUCAAAACAAUCGUUUAAAAUUGUGUACUACUACAUGCCAGGUCGCGGUUUUUUUAGUUGUUGAUUGUUUUUUGAGAUAGCUACCCGCUUGUUCCAAGUGGUGUUACGGUGUGCCAGGUCGCACUUUGUAUCGUUCAAGUCUGGUAGUACUACAAGUCCCUCCAUUAAAUGAACAACCACCCCCUCGUAAAAAUUGUAAACAAGCCCACGGCUAAAAUUAGCGGAAACGUGGGUUGCCCCAACAUGCAUUAUUAUUUAUAUUUUCUACUCCCUCCAUUCCUAAAUAUAAGUCUUUUUUAUUAGCCACACCUAAGACAAGAAUUUUUUUAUUAGCAGUGAACCCCACAUGUCAUAGACACAAAAAUUGUGGCAAGAUUCCCUUAGGCAAGCCAAAGUGUGUCUAACAAUUUGAGCAACUCAGGUAUUCAAGUGUGCCAAGUGUGGGAAAAAUAAUGUGGCAACAUAAGACAAACGUAGUCACAAUUCAAGCAGCCCCGUGAUUUUUUGUGACAUGCAUGAAAAUUUGGUUAGUUAAAUUUAUAGUCAAAAUUUGGCAAGGUGCAUCAAUUCAACACAUGCAAGUAUCAAAAUGAAAGUCACGGCAUGCAUGCAUGCGUUGUACUCCCACCGUUUCCAAAUAUAAGUCUUUUUAGAGAUUGCAACAAGUGACAACUCCCUCCGUUCCUAAAUGUAAGUCUUUUUAGGGAUUCCACUACAUACUACAUACUGAUGUAUAUAGGCAUAUUUUAGAGUGUAGAUUCACUCAUUUUGUUUCGUAUGUAGUUCAUAGUGAAAUCUCUAAAAAGACUUAUAUUUUGGAACGGAGGGAGUACAUACGAAGUAGAAUAUGUCUAGUCCUACAUACGAAGUAGCCCAUUUGAAAUGUGUAAAAAGACUUUUAUCGAAUGCAGUGCUUUGAUGUGUCGCGUCAACUCGUACAAGCCCGAGAAAUUUGAUUACUACGACACUCUCUCCCUCGCAGACUGAGCUUCGGUGCCUUAACUGCACCUGCCUUUGGCUGCAUGACAGGUGGGCCAACCACCUGUUGGGCCCACCUGUCAUGGACGCAAAGGCAGGAGUAAUAAGUAGAAGCUUUCGCUAAAAGCUAUCCCUCCCGUACGAGGUGGACGGACAUGCAGCAGUGGAUUCGAUACUGUAGAAGUAGGAGUAACAUCAUUGUUCGUCUUCUCGAAGGGGCGAAAAGCCAAGUGCAAACCGAACGUGGUAGUUGCGAACGCUCGUGUGGUGCGGUUCCUUGGAGUACUAGCCAGGCUCUUGCAAGAGACAAAAUUGCUAUUGUUUAACAAUUAAACUCCAUUAUCCAUUGAUUGAUACUCAUUCUGCAUAGGUCCACGCGCUUAGCACCAUUUCCUCCUGGGGUCACUACUGGAAUCAGCUACUUUGCCAUCUGCCAGCUCUUUGCCGUCAGCUAGCGGACGGCAAAGAAGCUCUUUGCCAUCAGCUACCUGAAAGCAGACGACAAAGAACUGGCUGAUGGCAAAGAAAGCCUUUGCCAUCAGCCUGUUCUUUGCCGUCUGCUAGCCGACGGCAAAGAAUCUUUGCCGUCCGCUAGCGGACGACAAAGAGGGAGGGGGGGCCCACUAAGGAGCUGGUUCAAAAAUACGUUACGGCCCCCCUCUUUGCCGUCCGCUAGCUGACGGCAAAGCGCACAUUAGCGGACGGCAAAGGUGGCGGACGGAAAAGAUUAAACGUACCUAGCUAACGGCCGGCGCGCCCCACCCCCCUCUCUCUCUCUGUUUCCCUCCCACACACGCGCGCCGCCGCCCCCACCACUCGCCGCCGCCCGGUCGCACCACCGCCCCACNNNNNNNNNNNNNNNNNNNNNNNNNNNNNNNNNNNNNNNNNNNNNNNNNNNNNNNNNNNNNNNNNNNNNNNNNNNNNNNNNNNNNNNNNNNNNNNNNNNNNNNNNNNNNNNNNNNNNNNNNNNNNNNNNNNNNNNNNNNNNNNNNNNNNNNNNNNNNNNNNNNNNNNNNNNNNNNNNNNNNNNNNNNNNNNNNNNNNNNNNNNNNNNNNNNNNNNNNNNNNNNNNNNNNNNNNNNNNNNNNNNNNNNNNNNNNNNNNNNNNNNNNNNNNNNNNNNNNNNNNNNNNNNNNNNNNNNNNNNNNNNNNNNNNNNNNNNNNNNNNNNNNNNNNNNNNNNNNNNNNNNNNNNNNNNNNNNNNNNNNNNNNNNNNNNNNNNNNNNNNNNNNNNNNNNNNNNNNNNNNNNNNNNNNNNNNNNNNNNNNNNNNNNNNNNNNNNNNNNNNNNNNNNNNNNNNNNNNNNNNNNNNNNNNNNNNNNNNNNNNNNNNNNNNNNNNNNNNNNNNNNNNNNNNNNNNNNNNNNNNNNNNNNNNNNNNNNNNNNNNNNNNNNNNNNNNNNNNNNNNNNNNNNNNNNNNNNNNNNNNNNNNNNNNNNNNNNNNNNNNNNNNNNNNNNNNNNNNNNNNNNNNNNNNNNNNNNNNNNNNNNNNNNNNNNNNNNNNNNNNNNNNNNNNNNNNNNNNNNNNNNNNNNNNNNNNNNNNNNNNNNNNNNNNNNNNNNNNNNNNNNNNNNNNNNNNNNNNNNNNNNNNNNNNNNNNNNNNNNNNNNNNNNNNNNNNNNNNNNNNNNNNNNNNNNNNNNNNNNNNNNNNNNNNNNNNNNNNNNNNNNNNNNNNNNNNNNNNNNNNNNNNNNNNNNNNNNNNNNNNNNNNNNNNNNNNNNNNNNNNNNNNNNNNNNNNNNNNNNNNNNNNNNNNNNNNNNNNNNNNNNNNNNNNNNNNNNNNNNNNNNNNNNNNNNNNNNNNNNNNNNNNNNNNNNNNNNNNNNNNNNNNNNNNNNNNNNNNNNNNNNNNNNNNNNNNNNNNNNNNNNNNNNNNNNNNNNNNNNNNNNNNNNNNNNNNNNNNNNNNNNNNNNNNNNNNNNNNNNNNNNNNNNNNNNNNNNNNNNNNNNNNNNNNNNNNNNNNNNNNNNNNNNNNNNNNNNNNNNNNNNNNNNNNNNNNNNNNNNNNNNNNNNNNNNNNNNNNNNNNNNNNNNNNNNNNNNNNNNNNNNNNNNNNNNNNNNNNNNNNNNNNNNNNNNNNNNNNNNNNNNNNNNNNNNNNNNNNNNNNNNNNNNNNNNNNNNNNNNNNNNNNNNNNNNNNNNNNNNNNNNNNNNNNNNNNNNNNNNNNNNNNNNNNNNNNNNNNNNNNNNNNNNNNNNNNNNNNNNNNNNNNNNNNNNNNNNNNNNNNNNNNNNNNNNNNNNNNNNNNNNNNNNNNNNNNNNNNNNNNNNNNNNNNNNNNNNNNNNNNNNNNNNNNNNNNNNNNNNNNNNNNNNNNNNNNNNNNNNNNNNNNNNNNNNNNNNNNNNNNNNNNNNNNNNNNNNNNNNNNNNNNNNNNNNNNNNNNNNNNNNNNNNNNNNNNNNNNNNNNNNNNNNNNNNNNNNNNNNNNNNNNNNNNNNNNNNNNNNNNNNNNNNNNNNNNNNNNNNNNNNNNNNNNNNNNNNNNNNNNNNNNNNGGUGUUCUUUGGCCUUCGAGAGGCCGACGGGGUCAUAUAUUUGUGAAUUAUUAGUUAGGUCAUAUAUUUUUCGAUUUGGUUAUGAAAAACAUCAUAUAUAAUUGUGUUGAUCGGGUAGUGUUAAAUGUGCAGUUGUUUAUGUUGUACUUUUUUUCAUGUUGUAAUAGUUUCGUUUAUUCUUUGUCAUGGCAUGUGUUGACAGAUGGUGGGUGCUGGUCGGGAGCGCGCCGAGGCCCCUUCUUCGUCGGCGCGUAGUGUGAGGUCUUCCAUUCCACAUGCACCUCUCCGCCGAGCGUUGCUCGACAGUAUGGCGACACCGCCGGGCCCUUCUUCGUCGACCGCGGUGCCCAGUAGGGGACGAGGUAAGAAGAAGGGCCGAGGUGGAGCACGUGGUCGCGGGAGAGGAGGUAGGGUGGCUCUUACGGCGCCUUCCUCGCCUCCGACCCCAGCUGUUUCACCCGAGCACGUGACUGCUAGGGUGGACUCGUCUGAGGAGGAGGCUACACGGACUAAGGUCCACGAGCCUCCGGUCCACGGGUCUUCGGCCCAUGAGCCUCGGGUCGACGGGCCUUCGGCCCAUGAGAGUUGGGCCCACGAGACCCCGGAGGAGCACACGUCUGGAUGGGGUACUUGGUCGGGUCAGCCUGAGGAGCCGAGUGGCCAUGCUGAUGAUGGCGGGGAGCCGAGUGGCCAUGCUGAUGAUGGCGGUGUUGAGUAUCGUGAUUAGUUAGGAAACAAAAGAUAGACUAGGAAUUAUUCUUGUUUGUCUUGUACUCCAAGUUGAUCAUGUACUCCUAUAUAUAUGCCCACGAGGCUCAAGCAAUACAUAGACUAUUGCACCAAAUCUCUCUCUCCCUUCUAACAUGGUACCUAUCGCAAGUCGAUCUUAAACCCUAGCCGCCGCCGCUUCCGCACCCGCGCGCCGCCCCCGGGGCGGUCGGCCUCCAUGACCGCCGCCCGGGGCCGCGCCGCCCGUACCUAGGGUUCAUACGCCGGUCGCGUUGACCGGCUGCCCUAGAGAGUCUUUUCCCCGAGCCUUGCUCCGGGGUUUUCUCUCUCCCGCCGGUCAUCUUGAUCGCACGGUUUCUUUUUGGUUUUCAGAUCUAUCCUUGAUCGGUUUGCGUCGCCCACCGCCGCCGUCGACCCCGAGCGCCUCUACUCCGACCCCGGCGUGACCAGCCGGCCUCUCCUCUGACCCGGCGGCCACGCGCCGAGGCGGCCCGUUAGGGCCAGCCGCCGUCCGCGCGGCGGUCCGCCCGUCGCCCUGCGCCGGCCGUCACCGCCCUGCUCCGACCGAGACACCUGCAUCGCCCCGACCCGGCGGCCUCGCGCCAUGCGAUAGCCAAUCAUAGCCGUCGCUCGCGCGCCGGCCCGCCCAUCGAUCCACAUCACCCGCCUCCGCCGGGUCUGCACGGCGGCCCGGCGGUCCACCUCGCCAGUCUCGUCCUCGGCUGCGUCGGGACGACUGCGUCAGGCUCGUCGGCCAUCUCAACUCGGGCGCCGCUGCUCCGUUGGUCACUCGGGCCUCUCUACCCGGGCGCCAGCGUUGUUUUGGCAGCCUGGGUGCCGGUGCUGACAAGCUUGUCUGCACGACAUCCCACGCCGUCCGUCGUCGCCGGCUUGAUCUCGGACUCCGCCGCCACCACGCCUCCACCGAGCGGCUUCCCCUACCUCGCGCGCGAUCGGCUUGAUCACCCGCUCGCCGCCGCGAUCAGCCUCAUCUACGCCGUGCGACCGACCUGGCCCGUCGGUUACGCGCGCCUCUGCAAGUCCUGUGAAGAUCGUCCCCAAGUUCAGCGCGCCUCUCCACCGAUCGAGCAUCGGGCUGCCGCUGCGUCGCCCCGUCGGGCCGCAGCGCCGCCGCCCUGUGGUUCUCCUCGCGGCUGCAUCGACUCGUGCGUCGCCGCUGCUUCGCCCCUUCGGGCCGUAGUGCCGCGAUACGCGGUCGCCGCCGCCGCCCAGAGGCCGUCCCCGCGGCUGCACCGACUCGCGAACCGCCAUUGCGUCGCCCCUUCGGGCCGCAGCGUCGUGGCCCGCGGUCCCCGCCGCCGCCCUGAGGUCUUUCCGCCGUCACCCCGACCCGCCUGCCGCCGCUGCGUCGCCCCUUCGGGCCGUAGCGCCGCGACCCGCGGUCCACUCAGCCGUCCCCGCGCGUCGACCUCCCGUGGUAUGCGCUGCGCCGUCUCCCUUGACGCGGGAACACCACCGUCCGCGCCGGUCUUCGUCACGCUGUUAAGGUUCUUCGCCUACUUCGAGCACCGCCGCCGCACUCCUAACCUAGCCGCCGCCGCUGCCGUCAGACCUUCGCCGCCGCUCUUCUUUGGCCUUCGCCGCCGCUACCUUCGUAGACGCCGCUGCCGCCCAUCCACCCCCUUCGUCUUCGUCCAGGCACCAGCCCAUCGUCAGCGUCGCCGUCAUCUACCCCGACCACUUCGUCUACUCCGACCACCGUUGGUGACAUCGGCCCCGAGCCGAUGGACGCCACAAUCGUUGUCGAGUUCUUCUCUGCUGGCCCCUCCGACUUCUCCGACAUGGCGUACAGCUCGUGCAGGUCCCUCGUCUACGCAUGCACGGUGAUGGCAACACCGAUGCAUGCCUUCAUCCACAACGUGUCCCCGGGCCUGGCAAGCCUGGUCGGCGCUUCGUCAACUUCUUUUUCAUCCGUCUACGCAUGCCUGGUGGUGGCAACACCGGUGCGUGCCUUCGUCUACGAUGUGUCCCUGGGCUUGGCAAAUGCACCGCCACGCAUCGUCAACAACAUCUUCUUCAUGGCGCACCACUACUUCGACACCAAUGCACCCAUGCUAACUCGGCGCCUCCUUGCGCCCGCGGCUCCAUGGCGACUUCCUCGACACCGGCUACCCCGAUUCGACAUCGACCACGGCAUUCUUCGCACGGCUACCUCGACCACGGCUACACCACCCUCCGCUCUCGGCUACCUCGACAAACGGCACAAAGGGCUACCGCCUGCUUGAGCAACCUCGUCGGUUUUCACUCCAGCCACGACCCCGCGAUGCGUCGACCGUUACGACUGUGGGGGGGUGUCCGUCGACUUGCCUUCGGAUUCUUCUCAAGUCUCACCGUCUGCGUCGCUACCAUUGUGACUGCGGGGGGAUGUUGAGUAUCGUGAUUAGUUAGGAAACAUAAGAUAGACUAGGAAUUAUUCUUGUUUGUCUUGUAGUCCAAGUUGAUCAUGUACUCCUAUAUAUAUGCCCACGAGGCUCAAGCAAUACAUAGACUAUUCCACCAAAUCUCUCUCUCCCUUCUAACAGGUGGGGAGCCGACUCGUCUUCAGGAGGAGGGGGAGGAGGGGGGCAACGUCUACCAGCAUGGUGCUACACGGCUCCCGUCCCUGUCGGCGACCCGCGAGCAGAGGUGGUUGAUUUUACCUGAUGGGGAGAGGUAAGUGCAUUUAAUCUUUUUGUACCUUCUGCAUUCACGUUUCUUCAAAUAACUAAUGCAUUGGUCUUGACAUGCUGCUGGGGUUGGGACCACCAUGAAAGUGUCCGCCGGCCCAACUCCGUCCUUGGAGUUCUCAUUCGGCAAAACUUUCCGGGGUUUGUCACGUUGCUUGGUGAGGGUCGGCUUCCAGAGGUUGGAUUGAGUUGGGAGCACUACUUGGCUGCCCCGGCCCGCCGGGUGAGAUUAUCGACGGUGUCUUGUGCAAGACGAGGGCAGACAUGGUGAUCAAAAAGUUCUGGGUAAUUUCUCCUUUACACAAUUAAAAAUCUUCAACUAGCUAGUUAUUAAUCUUAUAUUUACUAAUUGGAGGCACCAUCCGAGUUUCCACGUUAAUCCUCCAGUCUAAGCCUUAAUUACCGUUGGAUUAAGAGAUGAAAAGACGAGAUUGCUUCUCUAACCGUAACGUUACAAAAAAAAUCAAUCUCCUCCCAACAACUUUCAAAAAGAAAAAGAAAAAAAAAUCAAUCUCUAUCUCUUCCCGAUCCUCCCUGUUUCGAUCUCCACCUCACGCAAAAAGGAAAAACAAAUCAAUCUCUUUCUCUCCCCGACCCACUCCUGUUCAAUCUCCACAUCAUGCAAAAAAAUAACAAUCUCUACCUCUCCCGACCCUCCCCUAUUUCAAUAUCCACAUCACAGAAAAAAAUCAAUAUCUCCCCUACCCUCUCCCCUUCCUGAAUCUCCAUAUCAUGCCGCCGUCAUCCUCUCGGCUCCCAUCAAAUUUGGAUCCAGGUCCAGGCUCGAGUUGCUGCUGUUGCGGGCAGCGCAUCCUCCCCCGUAUCUUCUCUCUACCACGCUCUAACGGGCGAUGCACGGCCCUGCCCAGAACGUCAUGGACCGGUGGCCUUCUCUGUGUGAGGGCCUGCUCUCGACGUACCUGGGGCUGAAACAUCUCUCCAUCGCCUUCUCCUUUUCUUUGCUGCCCAUGGGUGUUUCCAGCCUGCUAGACCCCAAGGCCCAAAACACCAUACAUGAUGGACGAUGUUGCAUCAAUUAUGUACUGCAGGGUCUGCUUUGCAGGUAUCUUCCAUGCUGCACCUUCUCUUUUUGUUGUUGGUUGCACACGACUGUUCAGUAUGAACACUGUCAUCAUGUUUUUGCUGAUCCAUUCACUUUUGCAUAGGAUGGGACCUAAAGGCUAACAUGAGGUAAAUCAAGACUGAUGUUGACUUUGUAGUGCCUAUAUUUAUAAAUAAAAUUUCUACUGUGUUUGUAACUCGACAGUUUUGCUCUAAUUUUUGGUUCUCAGUUAGCUCUUUAAUUUGUAAUAUCAUCAAUGUGGAUUUUAGUUUUCGCAGCAGGACGGUAAGUGUGCAUCAUGUUUUUUGCUAACAUGAUAUGUUUAUGUUUCUCUUCUUUCCUCUUCAGUGCUAAGAAUUUUUAUUCUACUAAAUGAUGCAUGUAUGUUCAGUCUCUUAUUUUCAGUGUCAACCAUAACAUGCCAUUGUUUCUAUUGUGCAAAGUACUGGCAUCAUGGAAGCUGUGGCCAUGGUUAAAAGCAUGGUACUUUUCCCUUAAUGUCUAAUUUAGGUAUUCUUAAGGUGCUCUAAUAUUUCUUGGUGUUUAGUUAAUGCCGCUCCAUUGUUGUGAUAUUCUUUAUACAGUAUGAGAAGGAAAUGGCAGAAGAAUUCUUGACAUUGAAUUUUGUACUCUAUACAAUUUGGCAUUUGGGAUUAUUAUUGAAAGCAAUUAUGUUUCAAAAAGAAUAUUAUGAUUAAUUUUGUCACAUUCUGUUAGCAGUACUUACUAAUUGGUAUUAUAAGGUCUAUCUCGAUUUCUCAACAUUAGUUUAGUGUGUUCAAUAUCAUGUGUUUGUUCUUAGAUAGCAAUUUUUUCCUUUUUAGCAUAUGAUGUGCUCCAUAGUUGAAAUUUCACUCCAUGGACGUGAAAACAGAAGCUGCAGUUAGUAAGACACGUGUAUCAAUAUAUAACUAACUGCUGGAACUUCUGCAUCUAGAUUUAGAAGUAUUUUAUAGUGUACUUUAUGCCAAAAGUAUGAGUGGCCUGCUUCCAUCGAUCUACCUAUAACCGUUCGAUGAAAAGAUGUGCUUUUGUAGCUCCCCAGACGCGCAUGCUUCUUCUCCCGGAUCUUCCACCGAUGCCCUCAAAAUAGAAAAAAGGAAAAGAAAACAUUCUCGAUGAUGAGCUUCGAUCAGUAAGGGGAACUCACCACGUUCACCAUCACAAGGAGUAGCAGCUGCACAUGUUCCUCCUGAGACCUCUCCAUGUCAUACGAAUUAUGCAUCUCCACGGCACCAACUUCCCAUGUUUGUUUCUACAACACUGCCUGGGCUCAUGCACUCUGCACUGAUGGUCGGAUUGCAGACGGAAAAUACCCAAGUAAGUGCUCACACUUUAGAGUCGUCAGAUCAAAGCAUAAGAGGAAUUUGACAUAAAGCAGCCAUAAGCUAUUCCCUCAAUCUACCCUUAUCCCUUUUAGGUACUCUACUCCUUCCCAAGAAAUUUCAAUUUUGUAUGAGCUACUGAGUAUAAUGCUUUGUAUAAGAUCGAUUCACCUAUGCCUCAUACAAUCGCGAUUUUUCCAAACCUCUCUACUAGAAUUAGUUAUUUUUCUGUUUAGUUAAUAGGAGUUCUUGGUUAACAAGUUUUUAGAUAGCAAUUUUUCAACAACGUGGAUGUCAGAUUUUGAUUCAUUAUUAUGGUUGUAGGUUCUGAAGCAUUCAAACAAUUCAAAAAGUGUUGCUUCAAUAGUGCAUAGCGUGAUAUAUGUACUCAUGUAAUUAUCUCUAAUAUCCUUUCCUAAACGUUGAUGUUACAUCCACACUUCAUAAAGAUAGAUAUUCUGUGGGUGCAUAGCGUACUGCAAUAAAUUUGGAUGGACUAACUCGAGUUCUUCCAUGAAGUUGUUUUACUACAAAUCUUCAGUAUAGAACUGUACAACAAAGACAGUACAUAACACUAUGUACUUGUAAUUUCAAUAUUCCUGAAACAUGUACAGUUCACAACAUGGUUCGAGUCGAUUAAUCGCAUUUGUACAAGUUUAUUUGUAUCGUGUAGACACUCAGAUGGUGGCAGCAUGGACGCGGAUUUUUAGAGCUUGGGUUUCUGGACACCCCUUAUCCUUACCCUUCAAUAUUGCUUUGAGAUCCGUGCUAGACAACUAACUUUGUACAUCUGAUUUUCUCUUUUUUGUUUCUUCAAAUUAAAACAACAUAUGAACUUCAAACUUUGCAAAACACCAAGACGUUCUAACUAGAAUGUGAGAAAAAACUUUCAGAUUUUUUGGUCAAACAUAAAUAUACGAAAUUAGAUUUUUUGUAUUAAAAAAUGUACUUUUUAGUAUUUAUAUUGCACAAAAAAUUCUGAAAGUGUUUUUCCACAUUCUAUUAAGAAUGUUUUGUUGAGCUGCCAAGUUUGAAGUUCAUAUGUUGUUUUAUAUGGGAGAAACAAAAAAGAUAAAUAUACUCGCAUGAAUCGCGAUGCAAAAAUGAGUGGCUAGAUAAGGGGGUGUCCCAAAGCCUAUGCUCUACAGAAUAUUUUCCGUGGCAGCAUGCUGGGUCGAGCCAUCAGCAUGAACGACCGAGACGGCGCACAUGCACACAGACGCUAGAUUGAUAUUUUGAGCUGUUUAUGCGGUGGCAGUUCUGUCGAUACUUCAUAUGUUUGCAUCUCACAGGUUUUGAUCCUCUUGCCGAAGCUGCACCUAGCCUUCACGUUGCAUUGGUGUGAAUGCAUGCCUCCUUUUAGUGUGUCAAAUUGCAGUAGUGAUUUGCUUUUGGGGGGAAAUUAGUACAUGUUCACUGAUUCAUCUUUGACCUCAUGCAAACAAAAAUGUCAAAUCUUUUCAAUACUGUAGGAAAUAGUUUCAGAGUAACAAUGGUCAUAAUAAAUAUAUGCCAAUUUGAUGAUUUGAUUAAGAAGUAGUGCUACUCGAGAUAUUCACUGGUGUGUUUCCAGAAUCAUGUAUGCUACAUCUACUUCCUUUUGUCUUCUGGUUUACAAAAUUUGUUUAUACACUAUUAUGGAGCCUAUGCACUGUAAUCGAGUCUAAAAAUAGUACCAUGGGGAGAAGCACGCAAGACCUAAUAUAUUGCCUUUCGUGAAAAUUAGAUCACGGAUAAGUACAUGAUUCAUCAGGUUCAGGAUGAGGUUACCUUAAAUCCCAUGUAUUAUCCCACAAAAUAAAUAAAUAAAUAAAUACCAUGCAUUUUCUCCACACCGAUUAUUACCUACUCAAGGUCAUUCUCCGUACAUCUGUUAGGCUGAGCUCAAGUAGGACUAAAAUUUUCAGUUCCUUUUGCUUCAUAAGGGCUGACAAUUGUUGUUCCUAAAAGGCAAAUCUCAGGCUAUUGGUUUCGUUUAUUUGCGGAAGUAAAACGUUAUAAUUUUUUUGCUCUUACGCAAAAAGAACUGUUAAUUUGAAAAAAAAUGAAUUUGGAUGCACAUCAAUAAUUCUUUAGACCAAACCUCUUUUUUUUCAAAAUACACUAAUUCUACAUACAUUUAUAUCUCCUCCAAAUUUAAGAGCCAGAAUAUUUACUUCUAUGAGGUACAAUUGGAUUAGAUUUUUGUAGGUUAACACAAACUUACUGUCCAGCUAUGAAAUCUGAGUGUUCAACGAUAUUGUAUGAACCAAACUUUCUGAUAUUAUUCAAAAUAAAGCGAUAACUUCUCUUAGAUGUUGUCCUUACCAUUUUGAUUGCAUCCUUCUUAAUUUAAUUAGGUUCAUGUCGUAUGAGCCAAACUAUGAAACUUUCAGUACAUACAAAUAUAUAUAAGGUUAUUUCAUACCACACAAUUACAUUGAUUGUGUGAUACUGUGCAUGCGUACGAUUAGUUAGUAGUAAUCCUUCGGUUGGAUCAAAUAUUAAUAUCAUCUUUUUCUGUAUUAUCAUGUCAUGGGUAAAUAUAUAAAUAUGUUCCUCAUUCUAUUUCAGUAUAUACAAAUGUGGAAAUCACUAGCCCGUGUUGAUACACGGGUUGACGACUAGUUGUACUAAUCAAUAUUGUCUCAUUUGAUUGCAGACAUUCUACGGGUGUGAGGAGGGAUACGAGGAGGCGGCGGCAGAUGUUAUCCACAAGGAGUGCAAGCUCCUACUUCAGAACUGACGGCAUGAGGCUCGGGUGUAGUCUGUUCGAGACUACUACGCCGACCGUGGUAUCAAGAAGUCCAAGCAGGAUUGCCGCGAUAUUUUCUUGAGUAAGGAGCAGUACAUGAAGGUAAUUCUUAAGGCCUUGUACUUAAUUCCUUUAUUUAGUAAUUCAUAGCCGUAGCGCUGAAGUUUCUGUUUUCUAACUUAGGCCCCUCAGAGAUGGUGUGCGGAUCGGAUGGAUUGUUGGGAGGUGUUGGUCAAUGGGUGGUGCUCAAAAGAAUGGCUGGCCACCCACAACGAGGCCAAGGACAAACGUGCCCAAAUGGAAGGUGUGCCACACCACCAAGGCAGCUCCAACUUAUUUCAUUACGGGCGGAACUGGGUAUGUGGUUUGCUUCAUGAUUCAUGCAAUUCAUUCAUCAUUCUAGCUUUAGCCCUUUAAUUACUAAUUGACUUUGUUUCUCUCUUUCAGGCACGCUACAAUAAGGCGGAUAAGGUGCCAGAGGUGUACGACCUGUAUGCCAUGGCCCACACUGGCUCUUACAAGAAAGUCAAGGCAUUCUCUGCGUCUGACCUCGAUGAUCCAAAGAACUUCACCAACAUCUCCGCCCACGAAAAGCUCAUGCAAUAUAGAGAUCAGGGGAAGGCGAGGAAAGGGGAGGACUUUAACCCAAGCCAGGGUCCCAUUGAUACAGAGUUGCUGAUGAUAUCUGGUGGCGGGAGGUCCCAUGGCUCCAUAGCCAUGGGAUAUGGACUUAUCCGUUGUCCUAGCACUCUCCCGGAGAUCAAGGCGCGCCAGUCGAGCUCCACUCCUGAGAUAAGGCCUCAUGAACGGCCAGUCCAACUCGCCAUCAAGGUUAGUUAUACGUACUCAGCUAUCUUUCUCCAUUAUAUUUUGUGCGCUUCCAUCAAUGAUUACAAAUGGUCAUGUGAGUGGUGUUGCAGGCUUCUAUACAGAGUGAGAGAGAUAGAACGGAAAAACUUCUGGCGGAGGCGGCGGAGAGGCAGCGGGAGUUGGAGGAGAGGACGACAAAAAUGUUGGAGGAGGAGAGGGCACGGAAUGACAUGCAAGAAAGGGCCAUGUAUGAGCUCCUUGUGGUAAGUUUCUUAUGCAGAUUACUUGCUAGUCUUAACAUUUGAGUCUCAUUACUAACUAGUAUGACUCUGUUGUGAAAACCAAAUGUGCAGUCUGUGUGUGAGAAGUCCGGUCAGACCGCUCCGCUGAUGCCAGUGAUUGCUCCUGGGAGCACGGUGAGUUUAAUUUGAAUGGACAUUACUUGCUAGUCUUAACAUUUGAGUGUCGUAAUGCUAACAAGACAUUGGAAAUGAUCUUUGGUGCAGCUUAACUCUAGAAACGCAUCACAUGAUCCUUCUCCAGCUACCGGCACGAGCCAGCCCGCUCCUACACCUCCCUGAUUGCGGUAAGUUUCUCUAGACUUAGACUUGGCUUUAUUUCCUCCAAUAUGCUUACCAUAAUGACCUAGAGUUAGCUUCCUUUCCUUCAAAAUGACUUAAUAAGCUUACUUAUGUCAAAAUUGCAUAAUUAACUUAGUUAGCUCAUAAACGAUCCAUUUUACCUAAGUUAGCUCUAAUAUGACUCAUUUUACCUUAGUUAGCUUACAAGUGAUCCAAUUUAUCCAAGUUAGCUCUGAAAUGACCCAUUUUAGUAGAUUAGCUCAUAAAUGAUCCAUUUUAUCUAGGUUAGCUUUAAAAUGACCCAUUUCACCUAGGUUAGCUCCAAAAUGACCCAUCUGACCUAGGUUAGCUCCAAAAUGACCCAUUUCACCUAGGUUAGCUCCAAAACGAUCAAUUUCACCUAAGUUAGCUAAAAGCGAUCCAUUUCACCUAAACUAGCUCUUAAAUGAUCCAUUUCACCUAAGUUAGGUCAUAAACGACCCAUUUCAACUAAGUUAGCUCAUAAAAGGUCAUAAAUGUUCCAUUUCACCUAAGUUAGCUCAAAAACGAUCCAUUUCACCUUACUUAGGUCAAAAACGAUGCCCUUCACCUUAGUUAGCUCAUAAAUGACCCAUUUCAACUAAGUUAGCUCAUAAAUGAUCCAUUUCACCAAAGUUAGCUCAUGAACAACCCAUUUCAACUUAGUUAGCUCAUAUAUGAUCCAUUUCACCUAAGUUAGCUCAUAAAUGACAUAUACUUCUUGUUCUAGUCUUCUUCUUGUUCUAUUCACCUAUUUCUAACUUUCUUAUUUACCAUUUUGCAGAUUUCACUCACUUCAUGGAAGCUAGCUUGCUAUGAUGGAGUGCUUGCUUUUUCUUUGCUAAAACUUUGCAUUGUAUCUAGCUUGCUAUGAUAGAACUUGCUAUGUUGAUGAAACUUUGCUAUGUAAUAUGUAUAUGGAACAAUGUGUAUGGAUGGAACUUGAUGGAACUUGCUAUGUAAUAUGUAUAUGGAAUUAUGUGCUAGAUAUGUGAAUGUUUGCUGUUAAAUAUAUCUAUAUAUGUCAUAUAUAUUUGCUGUGAAAAUUGUUGGAUCAGGCUCUUUGCCGUCUGCCACUAACGACAAAGGGAUCUUUGCCAUCAGCAGCGGACGGCAAAGAGGCCACGUGGCAGGCAACUGUGCUUCCUGGGAGGCUGACCAAUUUGGUCAGUUUGCCUACAGUGGCUGACGGCGAAGGCUUUGCCGUCCGCAGCGGACGGUAAAGGCCUGCCGUAACCACCUAACAGAGUAACAGUGCAUUUAUUGUCGUCCAUCUUCUUUGCCGUCCGCUGCUGAUGGCAAAGGACCCUUUGCCGUCAGCUGCCCGAAGCAGACGGCAACGUAGCUCUUAGCCGUCCCCUACUUUGCCGUCACCUUUUGCCGUCCGCGGCUGACGGCAAAGGUCUUUGCCGUCUGCCAUCCAUGCCUUUGCCGUUCGCCGUGGCAGAUGGCAAAGUAGCAGAUUCCUGUAGUGGUUCACCAAUGUUUAUUUGCUAAUUAAUAGCAUUCCAUGCAAUGAACUAGCCAUUGCAAGUCAUUAAAAGCAUGCACACCUCUCAUCUCUUAUUGGUUGAUACGUAUGUCAAGAAACAAGAAACAAGGUAGAAGUUAAUGCACCGCGCCUAAGUGUUUUGGGACUAUUUGGUUUUCGUAAGAUGACUUACACACCUAGACAGAGGGAGUAGUAUAGACCUGUAAACCAGAAAGGAGUAUUUGCCAUUCUAGAGAUUUCAACAAGUGACUAGACUUCGGCUAAAAAAACAAGUGACUGGACUACACCGUGUGCAGUACCCCCUCCCUUCCGGUUUAUAGGGCUCAAAUCUCAAAUCUCAUGAACCAAGGCAUUUUGCGUUUGGAGGAAUGUAUCUCGUACUUUACAAAACUACCCUAAUUAAACUCAUGCUUUAAUUAUGUAGUUCUCUCGUUUUCCUCUCCGCCUUGGUCGCGGUGCACAAUAUUGAGAGAGUGCUUGGAUACGUUUUAGUCUCAUGACUAAAAGUAGUGGGACUAAAACUUGUUAGCCUCAUCCAUGCUUGGAUCAAAAUACUAAAGAGACUAAAAUCAAGUUAAUAACAUUUCAAAGCAUCCGGGCCCGCGUGGCAUACACCAAAUCACAGCGAGGUCCUACAGUCGAGACUCACCUGUCACCCCGGUGUGGCCGUCAUGACCCGUCAUAUCACAAAACCCACACCUUUACCAGCAGUGGUAAGGUGGCCUCCAAGUUGGACUGGACGAAGCAACCAUCAUUUCAUUGGAACGCUCGUUCAAGCCCUUUCUUCACUUUCUUGAAGAAAACCUCACUCCAGGCUACUCACUUCUGCCAUUUUUCUUCUCUACUGAAGAAGGAAAGGUGGGCGAGUCAGUUAUGCUGCUAUAUUUUCAUUCCAAUAAUCUUCUUUUUGGGAAGCAUCGACCGAUUCUCACAUCCUAUUCUUUUCCUGUUUUCAUUGCGAUUGUGGUUUCAUUUCAAUUGCUUUUGUUUGUAAGUUCAUUGACGGAUCCUGGAGCACUGGGCAAAGAGUUGUCGACGGACAACACACUGGAGACAGCAAUCUCCAGGAAGCGAGCACCGACCAACGAGUUGACCAUGUUGGUGGGCCAACCCAUGGAGACGAAGAACUCCGAGAAACAAGCACUGGCCAAAGAGUUGAGGACUUUGGCGGACGAACUCCUCAUAGAAAGUUGGAAGAACAGCAAGGGCCCCACCGUGCCUACCCCAGGAGCUCUGAUUGCCACCUAUGUGAGGCUCAAGACCGAGUUUGAGGAGAUAGUCGCUGUUGAGAAGCAGUAUUCCCCUAGCAAGGUGAUGGCCCCCAUCGAGGACGAGGAGAUGGCCCCCGGAGGGAUGAGAUCCCCCGCUGAGCUGCACAAGGUAAAAAAUAAUGGCUUAUUACCAUAGUUGUGGUUUUUGAUUAUUUGCAAUGUGCUUGCUUUUUGAUUAUUUGCAAUGUGCUUGCUAAUAUGUUAGUGUUGUGUAGGUGCCGGUGGUUGUCCUUGAUGAUUCCGAUGUCGUGGCCCGUCCUGUUGGCAUCGCACAGGAGAUCGAUUCCGAUGCCGCUGUCCAUCCUGUGGACAUCGCCCCAGAGAUCAAUUCCGAUGUCGCGGUCAGCCCUGUGGACAUCGCCCCAGAAGUUGAUUCCCAUGCCGCUGUCUGUGCUGUGGUCAUUGCUCGAGAGAUCGAUGACAAGAAAUAGUUGGUCGCGCUAAUCCUUCAGGGUAGUUUGCAUUGCCCUGUGUUUAAUUACCAGAACGAUGCGUGUUAUCAAACCAUCGAUCUUAGGGCUAGUGCACUGUCUUGUGUGGGCGGAUCUUGCUACUUUUGUUUGAUAGUGAAUCAUGCGAUGAAUCAUGCGAACCCUCUCCGCGUUAUGCAAACAGAUGUAUCCUCACCAGCUUUUGAUGUAAUAUAUGGCAUGCUUAGAUGUAAGUUUGAACUAUUUAUCAUAUCAGCAGGGCUUGUUUGAUGAUUCUUGGUGUUAGUAGGCUAGCUACUGUGCGAGCUAUAGUACUUGCAAAACACUCACCGAAGAGAAACGUUGGGGCUGAUGAGCUCGUGGUACGCUUAUACUUAUCCCUCUUUGAUCGACCAAUAGCCCUAGCUCCCAAAAUUGUAGGCUUAGCGAUCGAUCAGACAAUAGUAGACAUACAUUCAGGUCUCAUUUGGUUCAUAGGGUAGGAAAAUCGUAGCAAAAUUACGGAGAACGUGCAACACAAAAUCAUAGCAGUGUAGAGACGUACUCCCUCCGUUCCAAAAUAGAUGACCUAGGCGGCCUAGUUUGGCCUAGUGGGUUUUAGUGAUAUGACGUGGUAUAGUGUCGUCCAGUCUUCGUGUGUGGUAGCAGUAUUGCGGGUACAGUAAGUUUUCUUGAAGAAGCAGAAUUCAACGAAGUCAUGAUGGUUCCUUCGUCCGAACAACUUACGGUGGAAAAGGUUGGGCCUGCGAAACGACCGGGGUAGACCAGGAUAAUUUUGUGCAUGGCAGGUGGACCAGGAUGGUCGACGUCCCACAUGUCGGCGGAUGAAAGUAUUCUUUCCGAUAUAGAGGACGAGCAACGAGUAUUCAUUGUUUAUUUUUUAUGAAAGCUAUUGUCUCCACUGUUACUCCUUGACUUUGUCAAUGCCUCUCUCUCCUCCACAUAAGCGGGGACUACUUGCUAUGCAUGCAGCUGGCGUCUUGAGGGGCCAGGGCGGUGAGAGCGUGCUCCGGAAGCGGUCCGGACUCCAGCACGGCCCACCUCACAUUAUCACCAUAUAUUUCUUGGAGUCCAUGCGCGGCGGGCGGGCGAUCUCUUCUCCCUCCCCUGUUUCUCUCUUCUCAGCCGACGCCCGCCGAGCGAGUAGAUUUCGGCUAUCGACGGUUUAUUCAAUUACGGUCCCACAUGUCAGUGAAAUUACAAGACAACGCGUGUCCCCUUUGGUGAGCGGCGUGCGAGCCGGACUGUCGGGGUUGCGACGCGUAUGAGUCGUAAGUGUGUCGCCUUUUCCUUUAGAACUAGCGAAGUGUAACAUUUUCGCGCGAUCGAUCGGUAGAAAUCCAGAACAAAAUGACGAGGGCGGUGCUUUCCCGCUCGUUAGGCGGGCUAGUUCAAGUGAUAUGACGUGCUACAGUGCCGUCCACUUGCUCCAUUUUUAUGUAAGCAAGAGUUUACACUCGUACGCGGGAGGAGUGCGAAAUGCCGCGGAUCUUAUUUUGAUCGAGGGAUAACUGUUCCCUGCCAAAUGAUGGAGGAUUGUUAGCGAUUAUAGCAUGAUAGUUAGGGCAUCUCCAGCGCUGGCCCACAAAUUUACACCGGCAUCUGUCCGAGGACAUUGAUGGAUGUGAUCCGAUGCUUCCCGCAUACCUUUUGACAACUAUAUGAACUAACCGAACGAAAUUCAUGCAAACAAAGAAAAUUUCAAAUUAGCCGGAUGAAAUUAACCGAAUGAAAUUCAUUACAUUUCGAAACCUUUUCCUACAAACUGGACGAAAUUCAUUACAUAUUUCGCACAAACCGUACUAAACCUACUAUAAACCUAAUCUAAACAAUCGCCGCCGCCCGACCACCAAGUCCGACCAUGAACCCGAGAAAGCCGGCCAUUGCCUUUGCCUCCUCCUCAUCUGCCUCGAUAACCACCUCCUCCAGCCGGAGCACAAGGUUAUGAAGAUUUCCGCCUCCACGUCGCCGUCAAGCGGCUAAUCGGCCGCCGAUGUUUAUCCCACCAAGCUUGGCGUCGACUGAGUGGAGUAGCGGGGGCCUUCCCGGGACCAGAGCGGCGGUGACCUACCGUGUACUACUCUUCCUCGCUGCCGGCUAUGCCCGCGCACGCGCGCCGGCUUCAUGGUCGUGGCGGCGGAGGGCGGACAGGGGGGUGCCGGCGAUCUCCUUCGUUUGCUCCUGCGACAGUACGUCGAAGAGAGCUUUGGAGCGUGCCCGGAGCGGAGCCGCCGAUGUCCCUCGUCUGCUCUUGCGACAGUACGUCCAAGAGAGCUUCGGAGUGCCACGAGGCCAUGGUUGAAGUGGUGCCGACAGAAGGAAGGGACCAGAGGAGAAUAAGUGUGGGUCUUUGGCUAUGGCUGGGAGCUGGGGUUCAAGUUAAUAUAGCAGGCGAAUGGCAAUGAGCCGCGGCAGACGGAUGGACAACUGGCGCCGGAGUAGGUUCAUCAGGCGUGAAUGCGGACGCUGCUUCAGUGACUUAACUGCAGAUGCGUUUUGGUGUCUGACAUGUGGGCCCAACGGGAGUCUGGCCCGCAUGUCAGUGACACACCAAUUGCACCUGCAGUUAAGUCCAGUGAAUGUGGCAUUGACAUUCUGGAGAGACGGUGACCGUUUCACGCGCAUGCGGACUGUUUGACUAGUCAACCAUACAAAUACGGAGCUAUACGCUGAGCCAGCGACCGUAUAAUCACCAUAUCUCGUAUACAAUGAUCAAAGUGAGCUAUCAAGACAAGUUCGGUGACCGCCAAUGCAUUUUACUCGGUAAUAAAUGACCAGGAUUGAAGGGGAAUCCUAAUUUGCUUCGUCUUCUGUCCUUGAGCUCUUGACAAACCAAUGCACUAUACGGUUGUCCGGCCACUCCACCCCAGAGCUCUCACCAAGCGUCGUUCAUGCCACCGCGCCGCACACUAACCGGUAAGGCAGCGAUGGCAUCCCGCCGCGCCGAGUUCCUCGCCGCCCACGAACGCACACAAAAUGGUAGGGAAGUGAUGGCAUCCCACUGUGCCGAGUUCAUCGCCGCUCGCGACCUCACAACUAUGUGGGAGGAAUUUGAAGAUGCCAAGGCCGAAUGGGCGGUAGAGCAAGAGGCGGCCAAAGCCGCAUAGAGGGAGCGGAAAAUUCAGAAAGCACUCAAGAAAAGAGAGGCCCGCCGCCACAAGAAAGAAAAGGACGCACGCGCUGCUGCGCAGAGGUCGGCAGAGAUCCAAGCACGGUGGGGUGUCGCCGACAAAGCCGAGAAGGAGAACGACGGUGUCUGGCCAGCAUGUGAGAAGUAGUAGUACUAGUAGUUAGUGUGUGUGUCUGUGUCUGAGUACGAGUAUGUACCAGUACUACUAGUUACUACUGUAGUUUUUAGAGCAAAUUACCAGUACAUUAGCCUAGACUAAGUGGAAAAAUUCCUAUCCUAUGCAUCAAAUGGCAUCUCUUUCUCUAUAGGAAUUGACAUGCAUGUCAUCUCACUUCCUAUGAUUUUCGUAUUCCUAUCCUAUGAACGCAAGGAGGCCUCUGUUGGAGUAAAUACUGUACCUAGUAGUACUGCUGGUACAGUAGUUUUCUUCAAGAAGCGGAAUUCAACGAAGUCAUGAUGGUUCCUUCGUCCGAGCAACUUCAAAGUGGGAAGUGGGCCUUUUAUUUGACGGCUCAUUAUUCAUUGUUAUUGCGGAGCGACGACCUGGGUGACUCUCCCUUGGAGUUCUGCAUGCAUGGCAAGUGGACCAGGAUGGUCGACGUCCCACAUGUUGGUGAACAGAAGUAUUCUUUCCGAUAUCGAGGAGCAAGGAAACCACAUGGUAUAGUAUCACUGCUGAUUGGUUCGCAAAAAAAUAGUAUCACUGCCGAUUUAUAAUUAUUAUUUAUUUCUGAUGAAUGCUAGCAUUUCAACUCUUACGACGAAUGGUGCCAAACACGGCACAUGCUGGAUGUCCCACACGUCAGCGAAAGGAGUGGUACAUGAACAGCGUGGUAGAGCCCAGCGUAAAAAAACAUCGUGGUAGAGCGUCUCCACUUCUUCCACUUCUGGGUCGGAGACCACACGUAGUAGUACUUAGCUAUAUGAACGAUACAAAGUGCGACCUGGAGAGAAAGACACGUCUAGUUGGAAGGUCUCGGGGCAUACACGUAAACAAAUAUAAAAGUUAAUAUGUGCCUCCAACUAAUAUAGUAGUAGUAGAGUACUUAGACACGUACUCCAUAACAUCACCGUGCAUUGCACGUACAACAUUUAGUGGUAGUACGUAGUAAGAGACAAAUGCCGCCCAAGAGUUCCCUUCUCGACCUACUUUUGGGUGUUUGGUAGAGUGUAUGGAGGGUGCAUGAGUCCACACUAGUUUAGCACAAAUACACUAGAAGCAUGCAUGAAGAGAGCAUGCAUGAAGAGGGGUGUUGAGUUGAGCAUGCAUGAACAGGGAACAACUAUGCUGAGAUGAAAACGCAACCAAACACACCAUGUAUGCCACGCAUGUUCAUACCAUUUGUGCCUUUCUACUUCACUUACUGCGCUACAUUACUCAGGUUCGUACGUCCACUCCUGGGUACAUGUCCGCCUUGUAGUUCCAGUGCCACGUGUUCUUCAUAUAGAUGGAACGAUCGUUGCAUAACACGUGCGCCUUGAUGCUAGAUGUCUCGCGUGUUGGCAAAAGGAUGAACAAAGCUCACGUAAAAAAAAUAGAGUGGAAGAACAUAGAUUCCGGACGACCGAGAAGGAUCAAGGAACCUCGUGGUGGAGCAUCUGCACUCAUAAUAUUUAAUAUUAUUCAGCGAUAUAAAAUUAACCAAUCAUCUCCACAGUGGACUGGAAGAGUACGAAACAUGGCAGCCCAGUGUAGUUACAUCAUACUAGUACAUGGCUAACCCACUCUAUCACCAUAUUUCUUGGCUUCCGUGCGACACCUAUCUCUAGUAAUCCAGCAGCCUGUAUCGCUUCUCCCUCCUCGUCUCUAUCAAAGUGCGGCGGGCUGGCAUUUCUGCCGUCUAUUGAGGUCGGUUAACUAUCAUAUGUUAGGGACAUGCCAAGAGCAUUCUAAAAAAAAUUCCUUUCACGUUCCGUUUUGAAAAAGAAAAAAAAUCCUUUCACGUACGAAUUUACCUAUAUGCUUUGAGCAACUUGCAUGUCCUAUACUGCUCCUGUUUGAUACUCUAACUUAGCUAGAGGUUAGACUAACUCAUGACUAACCCUGAACUAACUGUAGCCAAAGAGGUGUUUGGGUGAAAGGGUUAGAUUGACAAUAAAUGCACUUCAUGGAGAGAGAAAAGUGAUUUUUCAGUGGUCCCAAUGAGAACUAUCUCCAGUUAGCACCUCUUGGGUGGGAUUGUUUUUUUGGUGGGUUCGGUGCAACUUGCUCCAAUUUAAACCCUCAUGCUUCGAUACUUUAGGGAUAUUUGAGCCCCAACUAUCUCAAACUAACUCUAACCCAUGGAUCCAAACAGGGUCUAUGGCCAGUCUCAACGCGGAGCAGUCGCGUGCACCGCGCUCUCUCAGCCAUCGCGCCACUUCAAAGCCGGCGCCAGUGAGAGGUCGCCUCCGCUCUGGCCGGGCAUUAAUGCGGCACUGAAGCUCCAGGCGACGCUGACCGUUUCACGCGGGAAGCACGCGCUGGCAAGGGAGUAUAGGUUUUGAACCAUUUCAGGUGUAGUAGUAAUGGUAGUUUGCAAAACUACUCAAUUAUUGCACUCAGUUUCCUAAGAAAUUGUGGUAAAAAACAUUACUCCACAGCCCGCUUCCCUUCUCCUUCCUGCUCGUGAUUUACGUGGCCAUGUUAACGUGGUUGUGGCAAAAAAAUGUCACUUCCUGCUCGUGAUUUGCGUUAUAUAAUUACAAGCAAGAUUCUCGUGCAUUGCACGGAACAUCAAUAUGCAUUUUUUUUACAAAACACCUGUUGUGAUUGACCCAUGCAGGAGUAAUCCCAUGUGUAAAAACUAAUGAUAUCCUAAGAAUUUUAUCGGAAAACUGGUAUCUCGAGAAUGUCAUCGAAAUAAUGAAAGAUGAGAGAUAAGGCGAGGAGGAGUGGAGCGUGGUGGUGAGUAGUGGUCGGAAUGGGCGGAGGCAUGGAGAUGGACUGCGCUGGCAGGCGGCAGCAGCCACCAUGCAUGCUAGAUUGUUCCAGAGACUUAUUCCUUUUUAAUUGCUAAGCAAUGAGGUUGCGGGAGAUAAUGAUGUGGAGAGAGGUGCGGGUAUCUUUUGUAAAAUUAUCAUAGUUUGCUUCCUAUCCGUCAGAUAUAGAUCAUACGGUCUGUAUUACAAGAUGGCAGGCACACCAUCAUCGGCAACUCAUUUUUGGGUAUACGGAUGAUAAAUUUGCUGACUACUAAAGUAAAGUGGAAUCUGUCCAUGUUAUGCAAGUAAAUAAAGGUGAUUGUUUAUCAUACGGGUAAGGUUGGAUGAAGGGGGUAGGAAUAAAUGCUCCGCCUAGAGCAUGUGUGUGUGAGAUGGAGUCUUAAUGUGUGCGGUGUGUGUGUGUGUGUAUGUGUGUGUGUGUGUGAGAGAGAGAGAGAGAGGAGAGAGGGAGAGAGNNNNNNNNNNNNNNNNNNNNNNNNNNNNNNNNNNNNNNNNNNNNNNNNNNNNNNNNNNNNNNNNNNNNNNNNNNNNNNNNNNNNNNNNNNNNNNNNNNNNNNNNNNNNNNNNNNNNNNNNNNNNNNNNNNNNNNNNNNNNNNNNNNNNNNNNNNNNNNNNNNNNNNNNNNNNNNNNNNNNNNNNNNNNNNNNNNNNNNNNNNNNNNNNNNNNNNNNNNNNNNNNNNNNNNNNNNNNNNNNNNNNNNNNNNNNNNNNNNNNNNNNNNNNNNNNNNNNNNNNNNNNNNNNNNNNNNNNNNNNNNNNNNNNNNNNNNNNNNNNNNNNNNNNNNNNNNNNNNNNNNNNNNNNNNNNNNNNNNNNNNNNNNNNNNNNNNNNNNNNNNNNNNNNNNNNNNNNNNNNNNNNNNNNNNNNNNNNNNNNNNNNNNNNNNNNNNNNNNNNNNNNNNNNNNNNNNNNNNNNNNNNNNNNNNNNNNNNNNNNNNNNNNNNNNNNNNNNNNNNNNNNNNNNNNNNNNNNNNNNNNNNNNNNNNNNNNNNNNNNNNNNNNNNNNNNNNNNNNNNNNNNNNNNNNNNNNNNNNNNNNNNNNNNNNNNNNNNNNNNNNNNNNNNNNNNNNNNNNNNNNNNNNNNNNNNNNNNNNNNNNNNNNNNNNNNNNNNNNNNNNNNNNNNNNNNNNNNNNNNNNNNNNNNNNNNNNNNNNNNNNNNNNNNNNNNNNNNNNNNNNNNNNNNNNNNNNNNNNNNNNNNNNNNNNNNNNNNNNNNNNNNNNNNNNNNNNNNNNNNNNNNNNNNNNNNNNNNNNNNNNNNNNNNNNNNNNNNNNNNNNNNNNNNNNNNNNNNNNNNNNNNNNNNNNNNNNGCGGAAGUUAUGUGCAAAAAAGAGGAGAAUGAUUCGAUGUGGCGUUAGGAUUGAGGGUAAUUAACUACGCAUGGAGACAUAGAGACCUUGAACGUGCAUGUGUGAGAGGUAUACAUGUAUACGUGGGAUGUGUGUGUGUGUGCGCGCGCAUGAUCGAGAUAAAAGAAAGAAGAAAUAAGUCCUAAGAUUAACGACAUGGGAGAGACGGAUCGGUAUGACAAUAUGCAUGGAUGUGAGAAUGCAGGGAAGAAGGCCCGACAAUUGAGCAUGUGUUUUUGUCUUUAAGAGAUAGUGGCGUGGGCUGGAGCAUGCAUCUAUGGCGAGGAGAGGGGGUGAGGCGCAACGAUUGUGCAAAAGAGAUCAACCUAUAACUGCAUAUGUAUGGAUAGACAUAUAUAGUGUGGGUGAUAGGAAGCAAGACUCCGUGCGAGAAAGAAAUGUUGACGGAGAAACUACAGAUAGAUACAGAGAUGGAGAUGCUAGGUAGAGAGACAUCCGUUAGUUUGGGUGUCGAAGAUGACUAUCGGGUGGUUCAAAGUGUGAAGUUAUAUAUGUGUCUGAGCGGGCACUUGACUGCAUGCAUGUAGAGAGAAACAUAUGUAGUGUGCGUGAUAGGAAUCAAGAGUGAGGGCGAGAAAGAAGGUUGAUGGAGAAACAGAUAAAUAGAAAGAUAAAGAUGCUAGCUAGUGUGCGCUAGAGAUAGGAGUCGAGUGGAUCAGAAGGCUGUGUUAUGUGUGUGGGUGCGAGAGAGAUAGAGAGAGGGUGCAUGUGAGUCACGUACAAACAAAUAUCAGAGAGAAAUGAUAUCCAGAGAGACGGAGUUUUUUGUCUGCGAGAGAGAAAGAUAUUUCACAACGAGAGUGAUAGCUAGAGAGACAUAUGAGGGAACGCAAGAUAUCUCUAGGGAGAGAGGGUGUGUUUGAGCGACAUACAAGAGAACAAUGGAGAAAUAUGAGACCCUGGGAGACAGAGUUUGUGUUUGUGUGUGAGAAAGAGAUAUUGAAGAGGAAGAGUUGUAGGUUCUCAUAUCUAAGGAGCAAAAGACAUCUCUGUAUGAGGGGUGUGCGAGUGGCACACAUGGGAAUAGUUGAGAGAAAUGAGACCCCGGAGACAAAGUUUUGUGUUUGUGUGAGAGAAAGAGAUUUCACAUGGAGAAUCAUAGCCAGAGACACAUAGCAGGGAGCGAGAUGUACUUAGAGAGAGAUAAAGUGAUGAAGGUCGAUGGAGAGAGUACCAUCAGUGUGUUACGAAGAUAAAAGAUCAUUGUCGACAUACAGGUAGCACGAGAGAUGCCUGAGAGACGAUGAACGCGUAUAGCUCAAGAGAGAUAGUCCUAUAUAAGCAUGAGUGAUAGCUAUAUGAGACAAAUAUCUGGAUUAAAGGGGAUUCAAAUAUUUAAACUGGAGAUCACGACAUCGAUAAUAUCAUAACGCAAAUUGGUGUAUCAAACAUGCAUAUUCAUUUGAAUUUGGGCACAUGUGUAAUGUUAUAUAAUUUAUCAAUAUUGGUGAUCCAUAGAUUCUUCAAUUACAAACAAUGCAUGGUUUAUAUGCAAUUAAUGUCUAAAUGGGAUUACACUAUAUGUUGCGUGUGUGAAACACAUUAUACAAGUUUGAGAAGUUAAAAAAAAACCCGCAUGAAGCACACAUUAAUUGGAGAAAGUUAGCGAGGAAUGCAUACAUUGGAUUUCAACAUAAAGUGGUUUCAAAUAUUAGAAAAUCCAAAUUGAUGGAUACAACCUUAUGAAUCUGAGAUCAUGCCAUUUGUAAAUCAUAUUUUUGUAUAAAUGGUGUUGUGCUUUUGAAAGUAUAUAUGUAAAAAAAAUGAUGUAUAUAGAAUGUAAUUCCAAUUGUAAGAAAAUAGUAGAAUACAAACGAGAUUCGAAUUGAGUUGGCACGGUAAACAUGCACUGUGCAAAAUUUGAACGAAGCCGGCAAAGUCGCAGUAACCGCCCGAAACCAAAAUCUGCGAGAUGGAAAUCACUACUGCCUAUCCCUGCCGUGCAAAGCCUAUCUGCUGGAGUUCAAUAGGUUUCGAUAGGGGUAGGUUUGUAAUUUCACCCAAACGUGACGUAACCGCCUCUCACCCGGAUUCAUACACGGUGGGCACCAAAACACAGUGUGCCCUCGGCCGAAAUUGACUCCCUCCCCGAUUCAUAUUCAUACACGGUGGGCACCAAAAGCAAACUCUCGUCGGCAAAUAUUUGGUGUAUGCGAGAUUACCGUCCUAUCCGCAACCGACUAAUGUUGUUGUGAUGUAGUAGAAAUUUGAAACGGGGGCUAAGUUUGUAAAUUUCCUCGCAUUUGAGACAAGCGCGCCCUGAAUACAUGUUUGCCCCCUUCCUCUCUACCUCCCUUUUCCCCAUUCGUACUCCAUGGGCUCCAAAACACCCUCUCCACCCCACCCUCCCCCAUCCGCCACCGUCCGCCACCCCAUCCACCGCCGUCCUCCUCCACCAUGCCGGAGCUGAUACCCCGAUGCUGUCGUCGAUUACAAGAGAUCAACCUCUCUCAUCCACGCCUUCGGACUGGGAUCCUUGCAUCCCGUCCUCUCUCUUCAUCCCCGCCGUCGUCCACCUUGCCGGCGCCGCUCCUACGACCGUCUCAUCCACCGCGCCCCGCCGCCACCGCCUACCCUCCUAGAUCUGCUUCCACGCCACCGACAGCCAUCACUACCGCAGCACCGUCAAAUUCUCACCAGAUGCGUACAUGGCGCCGCACCAGAGACGAUACUCUUUUGUAUCUGCUCAACUUAUUUAUCCCAGCAAGAAAAUAGAUCGCCACUGAUUUACUCUGAUUUCUUGUCUUGGUUGCGAAGUUGCCUUUGUCCGGUUGGCACUUUCAGAUCCGCCAUGGCACGCUCAACACUGUACUCCCAAUGCUUAUGGUUUUCCCCUUUUAUAUUCCACACUAGUUAAAUCACAGUAGACUAAAUUUCAAAGUUGGGUCAAUCGAUUUUUCAGAGCUCUCCGGAGUUCGCCGGUGUGGUCCAAGGGGCUCGGGUGGUUGUGGGGCGUCGCCGAACGAAGAAAACUCAACGUGGGUGGGGGGUGGGGUGGCAGAGCAACACAUGCGGUGGGGGCCGGUGGUCCGGCCGGCGGCCCGUGCGGUGUUCUGUAUGGGAAGAAUCAGAGACGAGGAAGAAGAAGGGUUAGGAGACGUAGGAUCUUCAUCCAACCGCCUGAAUUGGUCGAGAGACAGCUGGGAGUUGCAUUCUUAAUGCACUCCGGUUCAUCAUGUGUGGGCACUGCACAACCAACAUUUUAUUAUCCAAAAUCUGCUUGCUCUUCUUUACCAUGUUCAAUAAUGCUGGCCUGUACGUGAUCGAUAGGCUUUCAAUUACUAGCGGCAAUACAACACCGUAUUUUCAAGCCAGUACCACUUUCCCGAUUUAUAUAUCGUGGUUAUGGUGUACCCCUGUUAUGUACACUAUGAUCUGCCUAGUUGCUGUGUGCUCUUGUUAUCAUGGUUUGGCAAUAAACUAUCUAUACAGUAUAUUAUGAACCUAUCAUCUGCUAGCUAUCCUUACUUAUGGAGCCUAUUUUUUUGUGUACUUGUGCCAGAUUAUAUAAAUGCACGCACGAUAUUACAGCACACAUGAGCAUAUUAAAAUGUCAUCAGAAUCCGGUGAUAGCACAUAAGUGUUUACAGGGGUGCCCCUAUAUUAAAAUGUCAUCUGCAUUACAAAGAUAAUCUCACAACUAUUUAUGUUUUCAUGGUUCUCAGAUAUUAUACGCAAUUACAGUGAAUAUCAGAAUCCGCGCAUCAGAAGAAUAUUGUGGAACACUGCAAUGACUUACAAAAUUGGCACCAAGGCAUUGAGUGCCAUUCUGGAAGCAAUGAAACUCGUACGCUCCCCACCUGUUGAUUCUUGUUCAGAAUAUCAUUCUAAUGACUACUCUAACCUCGAGGAGUCAAAGGCAGAUGCCCUGUCCUGUUCACCCAUCAAGGUGCCUGUUCUAAUUUCGCAAGGUUUUAUUGAUUGCAUGUAUCUUGCAUAUGUUCUCUUGCAUUUAUUCUACUUUGUUGCACCACCAUUUGCUUAGUUUACUCAUCAUAUAACUCGAGAUGCUAUGCCCAUCCUUUAUCAAUACAUAUUCCAUCUGUCGUCAUACCAUGUUUUUCCACUCAAAUGUUGUUCUUGUGCAUCAGACAUCAAAAAGGAAGAGGGUGAUUGCCGAACCUAAAGGAGCACCAGCAAAGUCCUUGAAAAACGUGGUGGUGCCGGAGAAAUCAGACAGUGUCCCACUUAUAUUGGCUGUACAACCAGUGACACAAAACAUAGGACCGACUCCAGCAGACUGUACCCAUACUUCACUGGCCACACCACUAGCCCCACCACACAAGACCUGCACUCCAACAAAAGGUAUACCGAUUUCAUUUGCCAUAGCACCAGCCGUACCAUAGAAAAAUCCCACUCCAGCAAAAACUACAGCAAGUCCACCGGCCGAAGACCUAUCCCAACAGCAGAGACGGCCAAUUCCUGCAGAUUGGAACCCCAUUCCAUUUAUUCCCAGUUUAAAAGACAAUGCUUUCAAUGUUGUUAGCGACUACGUGCAUAUAUUCCCAUCAUGGGAAGAUUAUAGUGAAGACAAACACCAUUUUCACAUCUUCCUGUCCAACUUACGUGUAAGUGCUAUUAUUCAUGGUUAUUAUUUUCCUGUUUUCUGCUGAUCGAACACAUCAAUGAUUUACAUUACAUUGUUGUAACUAGGUGAGGGUCAAUCUAGAUAGUCAUGACGAGCAAAGCUUGCUUGUGCUUUUCAAGGAAGCACUGCAGCAGUAUCUGUGUUACCUGAGGAAAUCACACUUUCAUGGCAAGUCUAUAAAAGAAUUUUCGGUGAAGUCUCCUGUGCUAAAUUUAGAAGACAUUGAAUGGAAAAACCUUGUUAUGCACUGGUCUUGUUCCCAGGAUGAGGUACUGUCUAUGAAAUCACAUGAAAAUUUGAACUUCUACUUUUCCGCAUGUGCCUUACGGAUCUUUUUUGCAGGAAAUCAGAUCGAAGAAGAAUUCCGGUUUGAAAAGAACGGCAUGAUAUCUCAAAUAUGCUACCCGCUGCUUUGCUCUUGUUAGUACCUGUUGUCCUGUAUCACUGUACUUGCAUACAUACCUGGUUCAUUAUGUGACAGCAGUAUGCAUGAUAGCUUGCUUAUCAAUUGUUCGCUCCAAAUUAUCUGAUCUGUAUGAAUGGUUACAUUAGUGUAGAAUAUAUCCAAUGCCAAUGAAUUUCUUUAGCUCUGCAUUGUUCUUGUAAGUACAUGUUGUCCUUUAUCAGUGUACUUACAUUGACAGGUAGUUGUUCAUGUACCAUCACUCUGCAGCUUAUUUUCCUUUGCCCUCCAUUUUCUACACAUCAGAUCUAUAUUUACUCUUACCAUAAGGUUGGUACUGAAGAAGUUUAGUUGUGCAUUGCUCUUGGCUGUGCCUUUUGCCUAUAUCGCUGCACAUACAUUUAUAGCUACUUGGUUAUGUAGCAUCACUCUUCAUCUUAUGGUAAAUAUUCUCCAUUUUUUCGUAUAUUAUCACAUCUAUAUUUACUCUUAACAAAAUGUAGAAUAAAGGCCAUGCUUAUGAAGAACAUUUUGUGCUAAACUUCUUGAAUUGCCCCCCCCCCAAUCAGCAUGGACAAGGGCUUUAUAGAGCUUGUCUUCACCAGUAAUGUAAGUUUGUCCUUCUCAAGCCUUCAAACAUUGUUGUGUAUAUUUGGUUAGGCAUGACUACAACAGCUGUUUAUUUUUGGUGUUUGCAUCAAAUUGCAUGUUUAAAGUUUAUUAUGUAGUUCAUAAACAAAAGUUUGUCGUUCUCAAUUUAAGUUUUCAGUUGUACAACCAAGUUUCCUUCUUCAUACCAUGUAAAUUAAACUAUACAGAGCAAGUGAUCUUCUUUUGCACUGCAUGUAUGCUUCUGUUCUUCAUCCGUAAUCCAGUGGUGUGGUGAACCUACCCACUACAGCACAAUGUCAUAUUCUGCAAUGUCUUAACUAUGAACAAUGUCAUAUCAUUCUUCUAUUAUUUAAACUGCCUCUUUAUUUGCCAAUCUGAAAUGGGAUAAAUUGACAGCACACUAACCAUUGAUACUUAUGAGUUCUUGAUCUGUAAUCCAGUGGUGUCGUGAAGCUGCCAACUCCUUCACAAUGUCAAUUCCUGCCAUGUCUUGACCUGAACAAUACCAUAUUGUGUUAAUGCAAUUUUAAACUGUGUCACUUUAUUCGUCGGUAAGAAAUGUGAUGAAUUGUCAGCACUGAUACUUUUAUGUGCAAAACCUGUCAUCUGUCUGCUUGUUUAUUUUUCAGAGUGAGGAAGAUAUAAGUGUUGAACAAGCGCAGUCUCAUCAUCUUGCUCAGCUGCUUGCGCUGCAGCUCCCCAGCAGGGCUAACUUUUCUUGAACUCUAUUGAAGUGCUGUCGGUUUUGUAUAUUAUUUUGUCGGCAUGUUUAUUUUGUCGGCCCACUGUAUGUAAUCUGCUGUCUGCUUGUGCUUUAUUAUCAUAGUGGCGAACUUUGAAGCCCAGUGGAUAUAAUAUGAUGUAAUUUCUUUAUUGUAUAGUCUAGGUUUUUUCUUAUUCACGAUGCUGCAGUUAUUUUACUGUACAUAUAUCCUAUCUUCGCAGUAAACCGGCCAAACUGUAAAAUUACGGUACAUAAUCGGGUCGUCAUGCAAUCAUGAUUUAUGAUCCGCAUCAUGGGCCCCGUCAAACUGGCCCACUAGUAGAUUCAGGCCUUUAAUAGGCUGAGUAACCUCCGACACUCUUUUCACAAGAAAAUUCAAUGGGCUUUUAGGAGGCUGAGAAGUAGGUUGGGCCUGAAACGUGCUGAAUAGCUCACGGGCAGGCGGCAGCCCAAAAUCGACCCCGGCCCAUGAUUGUGCGAAUCAAUUCACGGGCUUUUAACAUGCCAAAGUUGUCUCGGUCCUGCGAGCGGGCCGGAUGCAAACCAGGCCGUAGUUAGGCCCAACUAUAUGAUGGGCUUUUAACAGGACGAAAUUAAUAUAGGGCCGAAAUGUUAAAUGGGCCCUUAACAGGCCGAAACUAAUAUCAGGCCGAAUUACUAAAUGGGCCUUUAGCAAGUGGGCCCAAAAGCAUAGCGUCCAGUCAACGGUCCGAAUCUGAUAUGGGCCAUAAUUGAGCCCAAAGCCUCUUAAAGGGCCAAACCUGAUCUGGGCUGUGAUUUGGCCCAGAAAGUGGGAGGCUUUUAAUGGGCCGGAUCUUAUAUGGGCCAUUACUAGGCCCGGAACGUGGUAGGCCAUUAAUGGACCUGAUCAAUUAUGGGUCGGCAUUUGGCCCAAAACAUGGCAGCCAGUUAAUGGGCAGGCCUACUAGGGUCCUCAAAAUCUUGUUGGCCUACAGCCGGGCCGGCCCACUAAUGUCGGCGAAAUCUCAUGGGCCUUUAGCUGGGCCAGCCCAUUAUGAUCCGCAAGAAUUUUGUGGGCCUUUACUUGGGCCGGCCCAUUAUGUCACACAAAAAGCUUGUGGGCCUUUACCAGGGCCGGCCUAUUAUGGCCCGCGAAAUCUUGUGGGCCUUUAGCUAGGCCAGCCCAUUAUAGUCUGCAAAAUCUCGUGGGCCUUUAACUGGGCCAGCCCAUUAUGGGCCGCAAAAUCUUGUGGGCCUUUAGUUGGGCCGGCCCAUUUAAACUUGAUUGGCCAUGCCACGUGUCGACGUAUCAUAUGCGCCUUCUGUCCAAUGAGUGGAUGACAUCUGUCCCAACAAUGAGCCGACACGUGUUUCCUCCAGCCAAUGAUGAUUUUACACGUGGAAAACCCCAUUGGUCGGGGCUGUUAACGGGUUAUCGGAUCCAAAACUCGACCGGAUAGCUUAACGGCGUUCCGUUACGGUGGAUGCCACGUGUCGGUCACCCUUGACGAAAGCACUUCUGUGACGCGCGAUUUAUCGUCAUGGAAGUGGACACUUCCAUGAUGAUAAUUUUGGUAAUGUCAUCGAACACUUCUAGGACAGCACAGGUAUGACUAUCUUGAUUCUGUCAUUAAUUUGUCAUGGAUGUACAAGCAUGACAAAAAACGCGAGCUACUAUGACAAACAAGUAUCAUCACGGAAGUGUACUUUUUUGUAGCGUGAUUCAUUGCAUAUCCCGGUACACCGCCGGAGGCAUUCAUAUAGAGUCAUAUUUUGUUGUAAGUAAAUAAAAGUGUGAUGAUCUUCAUUAUUAGAGCAUUGUCCCAAGUGAGGAAAGGAUGAUGGAGACUAUGAUUCCCCCACAAGUUGGGAUGAGACUUCAGACUUUAUAAAAAAAGAGAAAGGCCAAAAAAAAGAGAAAGGCCAAAUAAAAAAAGAGAAAAAAGGGAGAAAAAAAGAGAAAAAGAGAGAAAAAGGGAGAAGGGACAAUGUUACUACUAUCCUUUUUACCACACUUGUGCUUCAAAGUAGCACCAUGAUCUUCAUGAUAGAGAGUCUCCUAGGUUGUCACUUCAAUAUACUAGUGGGAAUUUUUCAUUAUAGAACUUGGCUUGUAUAUUCCAAUGAUGGGCUUCCUCAAGACGCCCUAGGUCUUUGUGAGCAAGCAAGUUGGAUGCACACCCACUUAGUUUCUUUUGUUGAGCUUUCAUACAUUUAUAGCUCUAGUGCAUACAUUGCAUGGCAAUCCCUACUCACUCACAUUGAUAUCUAUUAAUGGGCAUCUCCAUAGCCCGUUGAUACGCCUAGUUGAUGUGAGACUAUCUUCUCUUUUUUGUCUUCUCCACAAUCAUCAUUCUAUUCCACAUAUAGUGCUAUGUCCAUGGCUCAUGCUCAUGUAUUGCGUGAAAGUUGAAAAGGUUUGAGAAUACUAAAGUAUGAAACAAUUGCUUGGCUUGUCAUCGGGGUUGUGCAUGAUUAAAGACUUUGUUUGAUGAAGAUAGAGCAUAGCCAGACUAUAUGAUUUUGUAGGGAUAGCUUUCUUUAGCCAUGUUAUUUUGAGAAGACAUGAUUGCUUUGUUAGUAUGCUUGAAGUAUUAUUGUUUUUAUGUCAAUAUGAACUUUUAUUUUGAAUAUUUUGGAUCUGAACAUUCAUGCCACAAUAAAGAAAAUUACAUUGGGAAAUAUGCUAGGUAGCAUUCCACAUCAAAAAAUUUGUUUUUAUCAUUUACCUACUCGAGGACGAGCAGGAAUUAAGCUUGGGGAUGCUUGAUACGUCUCCAACAUAUCUAUAAUUUUUUAUUGUUCCAUGCUAUUAUAUUACCCGUUUUGGAUGUUUAUGGUCUUUACUUACACUUUUAUAUCAUUUUUGGGACUAACCUACUAACCGGAGGCCCAACCCAAAUUGUUAUUUUCUUGCCUAUUUUAGUGUUUCGAAGAAAAAGAAUAUCAAACGGCGUCCAAACGGAAUGGAACCUUCGGGAGAGUUAUUUUUGGAAUAGAUGUAAUCCAGGAGACUUGGAGUAUACGUCAGAGAAGCAACGAGGAAGCCACGAGGCAGGGAGUCGUGCCCUACCCCCCUAGGCGCGCCCCCACCCUCGUGGGCCCCUCGUGGCUCCCCUGACCGACUUCUUUCACCUAUAUAUGUCCAUGUACCCUAAAAAUAUCGAGGAGCACAAUAGAUCGGGAGUUCCGCCUCCGCAAGCCUCUGUAGCCACCAAAAACCAAUCGGGACCGGCACCCUGCCGGAGGGGGGAUCCCUCACCAGUGGUCAUCUUCAUCAUUCCGGCGCUCUCCCUGACGAGGAGGGAGUAGUUCACCCUCAGGGCUGAGGGUAUGUACCAGUAGCUACGUGUUUGAUCUCUCUCUCUCUCUCAUGUUCUUCAGGUGAUACGAUCUUGAUGUAUCGCGAGCUUUGCUAUUAUAGUUGGAUCUUAUGAUGUUUCUCCUCCUCUACUCUCUUGUGAUGAAUUGAGUUUUCCCCUUGAAGUUGUCUUGUCGGAUUGAGUCUUUAAGGAUUUGAGAACACUUCAUGUAUGUCUUGCCGUGCUUAUCUGUGGUGACAAUGGGAUAUUCACAUGAUCUACUUGAUGUAUGUUUUGGUGAUCAACUUGUGGGUUCAAUGAACUUAUGCAUAGGGGUUCGCACACGUUUUCGUCUUGACUCUCCGGUAGAAACAUUGGGGCACUCUUUGAAGUACUUUGUGUUGGUUGAAUAGAUGAAUCUGAGAUUGUGUGAUGCAUAUCGUAUAAUCAUGCCCAUGGAUACUUGAGGUGACAUUGGAGUAUCUAGGUGAUAUUAGGGUUUUGGUUGAUUUGUGUCGGUCUUAUUCUCGUACGAACUCUAUGAUAGAUCGAACGGAAAGAAUAGCUUCAUGUUAUUUUACUACAGACUCUUGAAUAGAUCGAUCAGAAAGGAUAACUUCGAGGUGGUUUCGUACCCUACCAUAAUCUCUUUGUUUGUUCUCCGUUGUUAGUGACUUUGGAGUGACUCUUUGUUGCAUGUUGAGGGAUAGUUAUAUGAUCCAAUUAUGUUAUUAUUGUUGAGAGAACUUGCACUAGUGAAAGUAUGAACCCUAGGCCUUGUUUCCUAGCAUUGCAAUACUGUUUACCCUCACUUUUACCACUUGUUACCUUGCUGUUUUUAUAUUUCAAGAUUACAAAUACUUAUAUCUACCAUCCAUAUAGCACUUGUAUCACCAUCCUCUUCGCCGAACUAGUGCACCUAUACAAUAUACCAUUGUAUUGGGUGUGUUGGGGACACAAGAGAAUCUUUGUUAUUUGGUUGUAGGCUUGUUUGAGAGAGACCAUCUUCAUCCUACGCCUCCCACGGAUUGAUAAACCUUAGGUCAUCCACUUGAGGGAAAUUUGCUACUGUCCUACAAACCUCUGCACUUGGAGGCCCAACAACGUCUACAAGAAGAAGGUUGUGUAGUAGACAUCAUGAGCCUUGGUGAUGAAGAAUUUAUCAUGCUUGAGGAGCCCAUCGAGCAGGAGCGCUUUAAGCACCGGCUAAUUGCCAUUGCAAGGAGCCUAAAAAAGAAGCAGCAGCAGUUUCAAGCUGAUCAAGAUCAUCUCAAUGAAGAUGGACUGAUGUCCUACCAGCCGAGGAAUAUGGCCUCGAGCGCCCAACCAAAAGCUACUCGAAGCACAAACUGUUACCACAGUUCGAUAACGAGGUGCUGGAGCCUGUCCUACCAGCGCAUAAUGCGGCUGACCAGCCACCACGUGGCCGAGACAAAGCGGCGCCUCGAGCCGAACACCAUCCUGCACUACCUCGCCGCAGAAGCGGAAAUACAACAGCCCGGGGAUACACACAUGACCUGCGGCGUGACUUGGAAAAUAGAUUAGCUCAGACAAGAUCAACCUAUGGAUCGCGGGGGCGUUCCCCGAUGCGCGACGACGACCACCCGGCUGAACGUGACAAACAUAACCAUGUCCGGGCCAAAAAUCGCAGAUGAACUCCAUCCGAGCUACGACACGACUUGGCCCGAUAUAGAGGCGCCACACACCCCCUUUGCCUCACUGACGAAGUGAUGGAAUAUGAAUUCCCGAAAGGGUUUAAACCCGUGAACAUCAAAUCAUAUGAUGGCUCAACAGACACCGCGGUAUGGAUUGAGGAUCUUCUUCUCCAUACUCACAUGGCCCGCGGUGAUGAUAUUCACGCCAUGAAAUACCUCCCGCUCAAACUCAAGGGACCAGCCAGGUACUAGUUGAAUAGUCUGCCCGAAAACUCAAUUGGCAGUUGGGAGGACUUGGAGGAUGCCUACCUCGAAAACUUUCAAGGUGCAUACGUCCGACCUCCGGAUGCCGACGACUUAAGUCACGUAGUUCAACAGCCUUGAGAGUCAGCCAGGAAAUUCUGGACUACGUUCUUAACUAGAAAGAACCAGAUCGUCAACUGUCCGGAUACUGAAGCCCUAACGGCAUUUAAACAUAGCAUCCGUGACGAAUGGCCCGCCCGACACCUUGGCCAUGAAAAGCCGAAGUCCAUGGCAGCCCUUACGCCACUUAUGACCCGCUUUUGCAUGGCCGAGGAGAGCUGGCUAGCGCAUAGCACUAAUCACGCAAGCGAACAUGGUACUUAUGAGGCCAGGAAUAGCAACGGCAAGCCACGACACAACAGACACAAGCGUCGAAGAAAUAGUGACAACACCGAAGACACGACUGUCAAUGCCAGAUUCAGUGGCUCUAAGUCCGGUCAGCGGAGAAGCCAUUUAAGAGAAACAAUCCGGGCCCGUCCAGUUUGGACAGCAUACUGGAUCGUCCAUGUCAAAUCCACGGCACCCCUGGUAAACCAGCCAAUCAUACCAACAGAGAGUGUUGGGUUUCUAAACAAGCCGACAAGUUAAAUGCCGAGAACAAGGAGAAGGGGUCGCAAAGCAAGGAUGAGGACAAGGAACCCCGGCCAUCGAACACAGGGGGACAGAAGAAGUUUCCUCCCCAAGUCAAACCGGUGAACAUGAUAUAUGUUACCCAUAUCCCCAAGAGGGAGCGCAAGCACGCACUCAGGGACGUCUACGCGAUAGAGCCAAUCGCCCCAAAGUUUAAUCCAUGGUCAUCCUUCCCGAUCACUUUUGAUCGCAGGGAUCAUCCAACCAGUAUCAGUCAUGGCAGUUUAGCCGCACUGGUCCUCGACCCAAUCAUUGAUUGAUUCCACCUUACACGAGUUCUCAUGGAUGGUGGCAGCAGCCUGAACCUGCUCUAUCAAGAUAUAGUGCGCAAAAUGGGUAUCGAUACCUCAAGGAUCAAGCUCACAAAAACCACCUUUAAAGGUGUCAUACCAGGUGUAGAGGCCGGCUGUACUGGCUCAAUCAUGCUAGAGGUGUUCUUCGGAUCCCCGGACAAUUUCCGAAGCGAAGAAUUGAUCUUCGAUAUUGUCCCCUUCUACAGCGGCUGCCAUGCACUGCUCGGACGAACCACAUUCGCUCGAUUCAAUGCGGUGCCGCACUACGCCUACCUCAAGCUCAAGAUGCCUGGACCACGCGGUGUCAUAACGUUCAAUGGAAACACGGAACGCUCCCUCCGUACUGAGGAGCACACCGCUGCCCUUGCAGCAGAAGUACAUAGCAGCCUUUUUAGGCAGAACUUCGAUGCGGCAGUAAAGCUUCCGGACACCAUCAAGAGACUCCGAACUACUCUGCAGCAGGACAGUCCAGCUCGUCCUGGGCUUGACUAGCAAUUUUUGGCCUCUGUCCCAGUCCCGACCAAGCGGCGAAAUUCGUGCCACGUAUACAUAAUUACACACUCAAAAUACCAUGGGCAUGGACGGAGGCACAGCUAGACCGUGGUCCAUAAUGCGGCUCAACUGCUCUUGGACCCGCAUACCUUCACUUUAUUUUCUUUCAGGUUUUUCUCUUCCUAGGGUUUUUUUGAUAACCUGAUUAUCAAACCUAUCAAAGGACGGAUACACCAAGAAGGCAAGAAGCUUUGACGUAUAAGGGAACCCCUAGGUGGUGUCUGCUAAUGAUUGUUAUACCUGUUCUAAAAAACCGCACGCAGCUCGCCCUUGGUCGGGGCAUGUCAAAUAGCCCUAUUUGCUUAUCGCAUUACUUGUACAAAUACGCCUUGACGUAUUAAUCAAAUUACAAUGGAAAAUAAUUUGCGGCUCAAUAUUUGCGGCGUCAGCUUAUUACUUGAUUUUUUUUCUUUUCUUUAUAUUCUUAUCAAUUGCGCCCGUACACUCUGGUACGCCUUAAUUGGCUAGGGGCUUCAUCAUACCCCACAAUACGAGAAGAAAGUCCGAACACUUUUACAGUACAGUUCAGCACCCCAAACUUAUAGCAUUAUAUGCAUCGGCUCCGAAUCAUUUCUUUGGUCAAUAGUUGGGUUGCCCGGCUCUGGUGGUUACUACCUUACGUUCCGCUAUAUCGGCUAGGAUAGUAAAGGGAGAACUACUGCGAUUGUGUCCCGGUUCUUUCGGAUGAGCACCUCGGUAGAGAAAGCCGAAAACUGACUGUCAUGAUGCGGUGAGAGCUGGUCAGCUGUUCGAGAGGUUACAAAUCUUUAGCGAUUUUUUCCGCUUUAUGCUAUGAAUCGGUUUUUAUCCAAUCAGGCGUGUAUAGCGCCCCAAGUUCGGACUUUCGGACACCAGGGGCUGCGCCUAAAUUUUUCUCGUCAAACUCCUAUGACUAAGUGAGAGUAGUAAAGCCGUAUAGUCCGAUUGCCUGGUUCUUUGCGCUAAACACCUCCUUAAAGGACCAAAACCUUGGAUAAAGAGUGUUUAGUUUUAUCCCGAACACCCCCGUACUACCUACAAGGGGGCAGAAGCCGACGACUGGCCAAUUCUCAAAUUUAAAAAAACGGCUGCACGGGAGGUAAAAUUUAAAAUAACAGACAUUAUAUUACAUAACGGAUCUGUUUCAUAAUACAUGACAGCAUAACAUGAGUGUAUUCAUGGAAAUAUGAUAUCCUUAGCACAUUGCUCCGCCACAAGGGGGGAACCCUCCAGGACACUGUCAAAAUACAGUUGGGGUGUGCGGUGCUCCUUGCCCGCGAGCGGUCCCUCAGUCAUCAGCUUCGUGGCGUCCAUCUUCGCCCAAUGCAUCUUAGCGCGGGCAAAGGCCAUUCACGCGCCUUCGAUACAGACUGACCGCUUGAUGGCUUCAAGCCGAGGGCAGGCGCUGAUGAGCCGCUUCACGAGUCUGAAGUAGCUGCUGGGAAUGGCUUCGGCAGACCAUAGCCGGAUUAUCAAAUCCUUCAUGGCUAGUUCGGCCUAUGCAGCACGACCAGCUGUUUCAGCUGAUCGCUAAAGGGCACUGGAUGUUCUGGUCCAAGGUAUUGCGACCAGAUCAACUUCUUUGUAGAGCUCCCCUCUUCGGCUCAAUAGAAUUUCGCAGCAUCUAACACGCUACACGACAGAUCCACAAACGCCCCUGGAGAGCUCCAAAUCUGGGUAAGUAAAAGGAACCUUUCCUUCACAUAUCUGCUCUGCAUAAUGAAAGCCUUACCCGCCGUGAUCUUCUUGUCUGCCUGAAUUUCCUGGAGGGUGCCCUAGGCUUCGGCCCGAGCAUCGUGUGCGCUCUGGCAGGCCUUAGCAAGUUUGUCGGUGUACUAAAGUAGGGGUACCUUAGUAUCUCGAAAUUGUGCACGGGCAGUCGGAGCGUCCCGCGGCAAGGCUUGCCGGGCGUCCGCCAAGAUCCUCCGCUAUUCCUAUUUGAUGCCAUUCAAGAAAAAAGUGUUUAAACUAAGAAGACAAGAUCCCGGCAAGAGGAGCUUGCCGGGAAGGACAAGGCCCCGACAAGAGGAGCUUGUCGGGAGGGCCAGCCAAGAAACUUGCCGCAACGCGCCGCGCGUCCCGGCAAGACCCUGGCGAGCGACAAGCUUUCGGGUGCGACAAGAUAACGACCGCGGCAAGGCGCUUGCCGCGGCAAAGCCACUACUCUGCACCCACGCUCCAGCGCAUCCGACGACGUGUCGUCCCAAGAUCGACCCUGGCGCACGUGUCGGGCGGCUGUGCAGCCAAGCGGUGCGAGGUGGCAAGUGGAGAUGACGAGAAGGCCAUCGUGGCGAUCGGUGGCGCCCCUAACGGUCGUUUCCUGCACUGUUAGGGCGACCGGAUGGGCAUCAAAUGCCCUUGUCCCCUGCCGUCAGAGUUAGGUAGGGGGCACUUUUGAUAGCGGUUGUACCAACCCCUCUUUUUACUUUUUUACCCUUCUCUACGUGGCCACCUGUCGGUGACCCCUUUAGCCUAUAAAAAGGAGGCCCAUGCGCACGUAGAGGGGGUUCGACUCAUUCGAAACUACACCACGCUCACACUUUCGAGCAAGAACACAAUACAUACACAAAGCAACAGUAGGAGUAUUAUCUCUCCGGAGAGCUCCGAAGCUGGGUAAAAUCCCUCGCGUGCUUCGCAUCGAUCUGCUCUUCGUGCGCCCUCCGCUCCCUGCCGGACCGAAAAGGGGCCCUGCCCCAUAGGUGCUCGUUUCCCACGACAUCUUUGGCGUGCCAGGUAGGGGGCGUCGAGGUUGUGCGAACCUGAUCCGGUGUCUGCGCGCGCUACAUCAUUAUCUUCAUCGACAUGCCACCGAAGAAGAAGGCUUCGGAGGUGGCCGCUCUGUCCACGUCGAUCCCACCCCCGCCGGAGCAAACGGGCGGUGGGGUAGACGCUGGCGAAGGAACGGGCGCUGAUGGGGGGACUCACAUCGUUACCAGAUCUAAGGACAAGGCCCCAUAGACCUCGGCAUCCGUACAUGCGCCGCGCCCCUCUCAGGAGGCGCGGGAUCGACAACGCCAUGGUGCUCCUGGCACCGUGCUCACGUUGGAGCAAGGCCAAGCCGGCGGAUCAAAGGACGCUCAAGGCCAACGUGCAUGCCAACACGUUGGCGCGAGCGCGGCACAGUCGCCUGGACGAGAUGUUGCUCCUUCUAACACUGUUAGAAGUUUGAUCAUAUCCCGCUCCUCGCAUCGUUCGCCCCCGCCGCCGAAAACCCCAGAAGAAGCGUUGGCUCGAGCCCAACUGCUACUAGACUACCCUCCAGCGCCGGACAAGAUCGACGACUGGAGGAUCACCAUCAAGAGCCUCAUCGGCUUCGCCAACGGCGACAAGCCCCGGCAACCAAGCUCGUCGAAGCCGCGGCAAGACGCCUAGACGCAAGCCGGUGGCGACAAGACUGGUGGGGGUGCCACCACCGUGCACUCCCCGCCCCGAAGGCCAAGAUCGCCGACUCGCCGGGCUAACCUCGACACUGACUCCACCGCGUCGUCGGACCCGCGAGCCCGUCGCGAUCAGCGCCAAGUUCUCCAAAAACGGCGACAAGAAGACGCUCGUACCCGCAUCGAGCGUCGAAGAGAAGCGCGGCGUCAGUCAGACCAGCGCGCUGGGCCCACUGUUGAUAUGAAUGUGCGAGGGGAACCAGGCGACUUGCCGUACGCGGUAGGUUGCCCUGCGUUCACUCGUGAGCUGCGGCAGGUCCAGUGGCCCAGUACCAAGAACUUCAAGCCAGACGUACCCGAGAAGUACGAUGGCAGGAUACAUCUGUCGGAGUUCCUCAGCAUCUACACCUUCGCGGUGCAGGCUGCCGGGGGGCGCGACGAGAAGAUCCUUGCUAACUACUUCCCGCUGGUGCUCAAGCCCAACGUCAGAUCUUGGCUCAUGCACUUGCCGGAUGACUCCAUCUCUUCAUGGGCAGACCUGUGCCAUCAGUUUGUCGGCGCCUUCACAGGCGGCCACAAGCCACAUGGCCAGGAGAGCGAUCUUCAUCUGCUUGCCCAGAAGGAAGGAGAACCCCUGCGCAAGUUCAUACAGAGAUUCAGCCAGGUGCAGCGCAACAUCCCAGACGUCCACCCUGCCGCGGUUAUCAGCGUGUUCCAUCAGAACGUGCGUAAUCACAGGAUGAGGGAGGAGAUGGCGAUGUGCAAAAUCAGAGACGUCGGCGAGCUACAUGCUCUAGACGACAAGUGUGCACGUGCUGAGGAGGGGAGGAAACUCCCCGGGAGAACGCAGGAGCAGAAGGAUCUGACAGCGAGGAUGCCGCCCCGGCGAAGAAGAACCGGAGGCAGAAUAACAGAAAAAGGAAAGCUAAGGAUGUGCUUGUUGUCGAGCAGUCCUGCAACGGAGGUGGCGCCGAGAAGGCCAAAGCAGGUGACUCCGGCGAGACUGUGGUGGCCGCAGACAAGCAGGACGGCUCCGGCAAGCAGUACUGCAAGAUCCACCGCACCAAGGGCCAUGAUCUCCAGGCCUGCAAGAAAGUUGAGCAGCUUGUUGAGCUGCAGAAAGCUGAAUACGAGCGGCGUGACAAGGAGAAGGCCCAAGAAGGUGGUGGAGGAUCCGGCAAGAAGCGUCCCGCCCGGGGAGGACGCCGCGGCAAGGCUAAGCAGCGGCAAGGAGACAGGCCUCCCCGCGGCCGCGACAAGGAUGAGGAUGAGGACGAAGACGAUGAGAUGGAUGAGGAUGAAACCGAUGAGCAGGAGUUUCAGAAAGCAACAGAUGUUUUGUGCGUUGACGGUGGUGCUUCUCUGCAUACCUCGCACCGCCAACUCAAACAGUGGGUGCGGGAAGUAAAUGCAGCAGAACCGUCCGUUGAGUCGCACAAGCCCCUGAAGUGGUCCAGCACGCCCAUCAUCUUUGAUGUUGAGGAUCACUCUGACCGCAUAACCGCGGUCGGGUGCUUGCCAAUGUUGGUUUCGCCAACCAUCCGCAACCUCAAGGUCACAAAGAUGCUGGUUGACAGCGGGGCCGGCUUGAAUCUGAUCUCCUCCGCGGUGCUCAAGAAGCUCCAGAUCCCCGACAGCAAGCUCGAAGAGACUAGUACCUUUCAAGGAAUUAACCUGGGAGGAAGCAAGCCGAAGGGGAAGAUCACACUGCCAGUGACGUUUGGCAGCGAGCUGAACUUCAGGACAGAGAAGGUCACAUCUGACGUUGCUGCUUUCCCAUUGCCCUACAAUGGGAUACUCGGCCGUCCAGCGCUCACCAAGUUCAUGGCAGCAUCUCACUACGCCUACAACGUGCUCAAGAUGCCCGGUCCGAUAAGUGUCAUUUCUGUCCCUGGCGACAAGAAAGAUGCACUUAUCUGUACCGACAAGAUCUACCGGGAAGCAGCAGCCGCAGCAGAUCGCAAGACACUUGCCGCUGAAGCUCCCGGGGGGAAGAAGAAUACCAAGUCCGGCAAGAGUAGCUCUGAUGCCCACUCCGGCAAGCGCACCUCUUCGGAGUGCUGCGCUACCGUCGAGGACGCACCAUCGAGCUCCACCGGCAUGUGCAAGAAAGCGAAGACAGCUUCACCAGAGACCAAAAAAGUGGCCGCCAAGGAGGACGGCACUGGUGGUACCUUCACUAUCAGUGCCACGCUUGACCCUAAAUAGGAAAGCGCGCUUGUUGCUUUCCUCCGGGCGAAUGUCGAUGUGUUUGCAUGGCAACAAUCAGACAUCUCCGUUGUUCCCAGGAAAGUAAUUGAGCACCACCUUGCCGUCUGCCCUCACGCGCGGCCUGUCAAGCAGAGAGUCAGGAAACAAGCAGUGGAGCGACAAGAAUUCAUUGCAGAAGAGAUCAAGAAAUUGGAAGCAGCAGGCCUUGUCCGAGGAGUACUCCAUCCAACGUGGUUAGCCACAGUAGUCGUGUGUAAGGUGAACGGGAAGUGGAGGCUUUGUAUUGACUUCACUGACGUUAAUAAAGCUUGUCCCAAAGAUCCAUUUCCCUUGCCGCGCAUUGACCAGAUUGUCGACUCCACGACAGGAUGUGAUUUGCUUUCAUUUCUUGAUGCAUACUCAGGAUAUCAUCAGAUCUUCAUGGCAGAAGAGGAUGAAGAAAAGACCACAUUCAUUACUCCAUGUGACACGUACUGCUUUGUACGAAUGCCUUUCGGACUAAAGAAUGCUGGUUCAACGUUUGCAAGAGUAGUCAGUCAUGCUUUUGAGCCACAGUUGCACAGAAAUGUAGAAGCUUACAUGGAUGACAUAGUGGUCAAGAGAAAAGACAAAGAAACUUUGAUCCAAGAUUUAGACGAGACUUUUGCAAAUCUGUGCAAGAUCAAUCUCAAGUUGAACCCCGAGAAGUGCGUGUUUGGAGUUCCUUCCGGCAAGCUUCUCGGGUUCUUUGUGUCUCAGCGGGGGAUCGAAGCCAAUCCGGACAAGAUCAAGGCCAUUGAGCAGAUCGAAGCACCAAAGCGCGUCAAGGAUGUACGAAGGCUUGCCGGCUGCGUUGCUGCUCUCAGUAGGUUCAUCUCUAAGUCUGCUGAGCGCGCCCUGCCAUUUUUCAAAAUUCUGAAAAAGGCAGGUCCAAUGAAGUGGACUCCGGAAGCGGAGGCUGCGCUACAAGACUUGAAGAGAUACCUGUCCUCCAUUCCAAUACUUGUCGCACCUAAGCCACAAGAGAAGUUGCUGCUGUAUCUAGCGGCAACCAAUCAAGUGGUCAGUGCUGCGUUAGUAGCGGAGAGGGAGACGGAUGAUGAGCCAGCGACCACGGCAAGCGAGUCCAGCGACAAGCAGGGGGCUUCCUCGACAAGCUCUGGUCCCGGCAAGAAUGUAUCUGCGCAGCCACAAGAAGAGAAACAGAAAAAGAUGAUGCAGCGCCCAGUUUAUUUUGUCAGUUCCCUUCUGCAGGGGGCUAGGUCAAGGUACUCUGGUGUGCAGAAGUUGCUUUCCGGCCUUCUCAUGGCCUCGAGGAAGCUGCGCCAUUAUUUUCAAGCACACGAGAUCACAGUUGUCACUCGCUUUCCGUUGAAGAGGAUAUUGCAGAAUCUAGAAGCAACAGGCAGGAUUGUCGAGUGGGCACUGGAACUGUCGAGCUAUGGCCUGAGGUUUGAAAGUAGUUCAACUAUCCAGAGCCGAGCAUUGGCAGAAUUCAUAGCAGAGUGGACGCCAACACCCGAUGAAGAAACUCCGGAGAUGAGGAUCCCCGCCAAGGAAGCAAACAAAGAAUGGAUCAUGUACUUUGAUGGUGCCUUCUCGCUGCAAGGCGCCGAUGCAGGUGUGUUACUUGUCGCACCCAUUGGAGAGCACCUCAAGUACGUGAUCCAGAUGCACUUUCCCAUGGAGCAAGCAACAAACAAUACUGCAGAGUAUGAAGGCUUGCUUGCCGGACUCAGGAUCGCAGCAGACCUUGGGAUCAAGAAGCUUAUUGUCAGGGGUGACUCACAGCUUGUCGUUCGCCAAGUGAACAAAGAUUAUCAGAGACCGUUGAUGGAAGCCUACAUUGAUGAAGUGAGGAAGUUGGAAGAGCAUUUUGACGGCCUGCAAAUGGAACAUGUUCCAAGAGCUCAAAAUGACAUUGCAGAUGGCCUGUCAAAAUGCGCCGCACUCAAGUUGUCUGUGGAACCAGGGAUCUUUGUGCUCAAACUGACUCAACCAUCUGUAACACCAUCAACUGGACAGAGCAAGAAGAGGAAGUUGAUUUCUGGUGACUACUUUCCGGCUGAGCUCCCCGAAGCCACCGUCAAGAAGGUCCCCAAGAUCAACACAAAGAGCGCUGAGGAGCAGUCUGCGCCGACAAACCCUAGGGUUUGUUUCGUUGAAGAAGACGCUCCCGACAAGUUUUGCUCCGGCAAUCUUGCCGGGGAACACCAAGCUCCGGCUGAAUCGCAAGUUCUUGCCCUGGAAGCAGAUGUUCCUGCAGCAGCAUUUGCGCUUUUAGCCCUUGUUGUCAAGCCACAGGCUCUGGCAAGGGCACAGCAGAUCGUCCAUUUCCUCCAAACAGGAGAACUUCCCGAAGAGCAAGAAGAAGCGGAGAGAGUAGCCCGGCAAUCAAGUAUGUACCAGUUUGUCGAUGACAUACUAUACAGAAGAAGAUUCAACGGAGUAAAAUUGAAGUGCAUUUCCCGGGAAGAAGGACAAGAGCUGUUGGCGGAGAUACAUGGAGGCAUAUGUGGUCACCACAUUGGCGCAAGAGCACUUGCCGGCAAGGCUUUCCGGCAAGGUUUCUUCUGGCCAACAGCCCUCCAGGAUGAAACUGCACAAGUAACCAAGUGUGAAGCGUGCCAGUUCCACUCCAAGCAGAUACAUCAACCAGCUCGAGCUCUCUAGACGAUCCCUUUGUCCUGGCCAUUUUCGGUUUGGGGGCUCGAUAUCCUCGGCCCCUUUCCCCGAGCUGUCGGGGGCUUUGAGUACUUGUACCUUAGUAUCCCGAACUUGUGCACGGGCAGUCGCAGCGUCCCGCGGCAAGGCUUGCCGGGCGUCCGCCAAGAUCCUCCGCUAUUCCUAUUUGAUGCCAUUCAAGAACAAAGUGUUUAAACUGAGAAGACAAGAUCCCGGCAAGAGGAGCUUGCCGGGAAGGACAAGGCCCCGACAAGAGGAACUUGUCGGGAGGGCCAGCCAAGAAACUUGCCGCAACGCGCCGCGCGUCCCGGCAAGACCCUGGCGAGCGACAAGCUUUCAGGUGCGAUAAGAUAACGACCGCGGCAAGGCGCUUGCCGCGGCAAAGCCACUACUCUGCGCCCACGCUCCAGCGCAUCCGACGACGUGUCGUCCCAAGAUCGACCCUGGCGCACGUGUCGGGCGGCUGUGCAGCCAAGCGGUGCGAGGUGGCAAGUGGAGAUGACGAGAAGGCCAUCGUGGCGAUCGGUGGCGCCCCUAAUGGUUGUUUCCUGCACUGUUUGGGCGACCGGACGGGCAUUAAAUGCCCUUGUCCCCUGCUGUCAGAGUUAGGUAGGGGGCACUGUUGAUAGCGGUUGUACCAACCCCUCUUUUUACUUUUUUACCCUUCUCUACGUGGCCACCUUUCGGUGACCCCUUUAGCCUAUAAAAAGGAGGCCCACGCGCACGUAGAGGGGGUUCGACUCAUUCGAAACUACACCACGCUCACACUUUCGAGCAAGAACACAAUACAUACACAAAGCAGUAGUAGGAGUAUUAUCUCUCCGGAGAGCUCCGAAGCUGGGUAAAAUCCCUCGCGUGCUUCGCCUCGAUCUGCUCUUUGUGCGCCCUCCGCUCCCUGCCGGACCGAAAAGGGGCCCUUCCCCAUAGGUGCUCGUUUCCCACGACAAAGUUCGGACUCUUGCUCCUUAAGGUCGUGAUCCAAGGACUCGCACUUCUUGACGGCAUCCUGGAGCUCUUGCUGGACCUCACUGACCCAGGCUUCAUGCUUUUCGCGUGCGGCCCGCUCCUUGGCUGUUGGGGAACAUAGCAGAAAUUCAAAAUUUUCUACGCAUCACCAAGAUCAAUCUAUGGAGUAAUCUAGCAACGAGGGAAAGGGGAGUGCAUCUACAUACCCUUGUAGAUCGCUAAGCGGAAGCGUUCAAGUGAACGGGGUUGAUGGAGUCAUACUCGUCGUGAUCCAAAUAACCGAUGAUCAUAGUGCCGAACGGACGGCACCUCCACGUUCAACACACAUGCAUCCCGGUGACGUCACCCAUGCCUUGAUCCAGCAAGGAGAGAGGGAGAGGUUGGGGAAGACUCCGUCCAGCAGCAGCACGACGGCGUGGUGGUGGUGGAGGAGCGUGGCAAUCUUGCAGGGCUUCGCCAAGCACUGCGGGAGAGGAGGAUUUGCGAGAGGGGGAGGGCUGCACCAGAACUUGGGUACGGCUGUCCUCCCACCCCCACAUAUAUAUAGGGGCAAGGGAGAGGGGGCCGGCCCCCUCAGAUUCAAUUUGAGGAGGGGGCGGCGGCCAGGGGGGUUGCCUUGCCCCCCAAGGCAAGGGGGGAGCCCACUUUUAGGGUUCCCCCAAACCCUAGGCACCUUGGGCCCAGGUGGGGGGCGCACCAGCCCACCUAGGGCUGGUCCCCUCCCACACUUGGCCCACGCAGCCCUCUGGGGCUGGUGGCCCCACCUGGUGAACCCCCGGGACCCUCCCUGUGGUCCCGGUACGUUACCGAUAGCACCCGAAACUUUUCCGCUGACCAAAGCAGGACUUCCCAUAUAUAAAUCUUUACCUCCAGACCAUUUCAGAACUCCUCGUGACAUCCAGGAACUCAUUUGGGACUCCGAACAACAUUUGGUAACCACGUACAUCUAUUCCCUAUAACCCUAGCGUCAUCAAACCUUAAGUGUGUAGACCCUAGGGGUUCGGGAGACACGUAGACAUGACCGAGACAACUCUCCAGCCAAUAACCAACAGCGGCAUCUGGAUACCCAUGUUGGCUCCCACAUGUUCCACGAUGAUCUCAUCGGAUGAACCACGAUGUCGAGGAUUCAAUCAAUCCCGUAUUCAAUUCCCUUUGUCUAGCGGUAUAGUACUUGCCCGAGAUUCGACCGUCGGUAUCCCGAUACCUUGUUCAAUCUUGUUACCGGCAAGUCUCUUUACUCGUUCCGUAACACAUCAUCCCGUGAUCAACCCCUUGGUCGCAUUGUGCACAUUAUGAUGAUGUCCUACCGAGUGGGCCCAGAGAUACCUCUCCGUCAUACGGAGCGACAAAUCCCAGUCUCGAUUCGUACCAACCCAACGGACACUUUCGGAGAUACCCCUAGUGCACCUUUAUAGCCACCCAGUUACGUUGUGACGUUUGGUACACCCAAUGCAUUCCUACGGUAUCCUGGAGUUGCACAAUCUCAUGGUCUAAGGAAAUGAUACUUGACAUUAGAAAAGCUUUAGCAUACGAACUACACGAUCUUUGUGCUAGGCUUAGGAUUGGGUCUUGUCCAUCACGUCAUUCUCCUAAUGAUGUGAUCCCAUUGUCAACUAGAGGCUUACUAGGGACAUGGUGUUGUCUAUGUAUCCACACAUGUAUACAAAUUUUAUGAGAAACUUGGAUUUCCAAAGAAGUAAGUCGGCUGCGCCUAAAUUUUUCUCGUCAAACUCCUAUGACUAAGUGAGAGUAGUAAAGCCGCAUAGUCCGAUUGCCUGGUUCUUUGCGCUAAACACCUCCUUAAAGGACCAAAACCUUGGAUAAAGAGUAUUUAGAUUUAUCCCGAACAACCCCGUACUACCUACAUGGGGGCAGAAGCCGACGACUGGUCAACUCUCAAAUUUAAAAAAACGGCCGCACGGGAGGUAAAAUUUUAAAUAACAGACAUUAUAUUACAUAACGGAUCUGUUUCAUAAUACAUGACAGCAUAACAUGAGUGUAUUCAUGGAAAUAUGAUAUCCUUAGCACAUUGCUCCGCCACAAGGGGGGAUCCCUCCAGGACACUGUCAAAAUACAGUUGGGGUGUGCGGUGCUCCUUGCCCGCGGGUGGUCCCUCAGUCAUCAGCUUCGUGGCGUCCAUCUUCGCCCAAUGCAUCUUAGCGCGGGCAAACGCCAUUCACGCGCCUUCGAUCCAGACUGACCGCUUGAUGACUUCAAGCCGAGGGCAGGCGCUGAUGAGCUGCUUCACGAGUCUGAAGUAGCUGCUGGGAAUGGCUUCGGCAGGCCAUAGCCGGAUUAUCAAAUCCUUCAUGGCUAGUUUGGCCUAUGCAGCACGACCAGCUGUUUCAGCUGAUCGCUAAAGGGCACUGGAUGUUCUGGUCCAAGGUAUUGCGACCAGAACAACUUCUUUGUAGAGCUCCCCUCUUCGGCUCGAUAGAAUUUCGCAGCAUCUGACACGUUGCACGAUAGAUCCACAAACGCCACUGGAGAGCUCCAAAUCUGGGUAAGUAAAAGGAACCUUUCCUUCACAUAUCUGCUCUGCAUAAUGAAAGCCUUACCCGCCGUGAUCUUCUUGUCCGCCUGAAUUUCCUGGAGGGUGCCCUGGGCUUUGGCCCGGGCAUCGUGUGCGCUCUGGCAGGCCUUAGCAAAUUCGGACUCUUGCUCCUUAAGGUCGCGCUCCAAGCACUCGCACUUCUUGACGGCAUCCUGGAGCUCUUGCUGGACCUCACUGACCCGGGCCUCAUGCUUUUCGCGUGCGGCGCGCUCCUUGGCUGUUGGGGAACGUAGCAGAAAUUCAAAAUUUUCUACGCAUCACCAAGAUCAAUCUAUGGAGUAGUCUAGCAACGAGGGAAAGGGGAGUGCACCUACAUACCCUUGUAGAUCGCUAAGCGGAAGCGUUCAAGUGAACGGGGUUGAUGGAGUCAUACUCGUCGUGAUCCAAAUCACCGAUGAUCAUAGUGCCGAACGGACGGCACCUCCGCCUUCAACACACAUGCAGCCUGGUGACGUCUCCCAUGCCUUGAUCCAGCAAGGAGAGAGGGAGAGGUUGGGGAAGACUCCGUCCAGCAGCAGCACGACGGCGUGGUGGUGGUGGAGGAGCGUGGCAAUCCUGCAGGGCUUCGCCAAGCACUACGGGAGAGGAGGACUUGCGAGAGGGGGAGGGCUGCGCCAGAACUUGGGUACGGCUGCCCUUCGACCCCCCACAUAUAUAUAGGGGCAAGGGAGAGGGGGGCGGCCAGGGGGGUUGCCUUGCCCCCCAAGGCAAGGGGGCGCCCCCUUUUUGCGUUCCCCCAAACCCUAGGCGCCUUGGGCCCUGGUGGGGGGCGCACCAGCCCACCUGGGGCUGGUCCCCUCCCACACUUGGCCCACGCAGCCCUCUGGGGCUGGUGGCCCCACCUGGUGAGCCCCCGGGACCCUCCCGGUGGUCCUGGUACGUUACCGAUAGCACCCGAAACUUUUCUGCUGACCAAAGCAGGACUUCCCAUAUAUAAAUCUUUACCUCCAGACCAUUUUGGAACUCCUCGUGACAUCCAGGAACUCAUCUGGGACUCCGAACAACAUUUGGUAACCACGUACAUCUAUUCCCUAUAACCCUAGUGUCAUCAAACCUUAAGUGUGUAGACCCUACGGGUUCGGGAGACAGGUAGACAUGACCGAGACAACUCUCCAGCCAAUAACCAACAGCGGGAUCUGGAUACCCAUGUUGGCUCCCACAUGUUCCACGAUGAUCUCAUCGUAUGAACCACGAUGUCAAGGAUUCAAUCAAUCCCGUAUUCAAUUCCCUUUGUCUAGCGGUAUAGUACUUUCCCAAGAUUCGAUCGUCGGUAUCCCGAUACCUUGUUCAAUCUCGUUACCGGCAAGUCUCUUUUCUCGUGCCGUAACACAUCAUCCUGUGAUCAACCCCUUGGUCACAUUGUGCACAUUAUGAUGAUGUCCUACCUAGUGGGCCCAGAGAUACCUCUCCGUCAUACGGAGUGACAAAUCCCAGUCUUGAUUUGUGCCAACCCAACAGACACUUUUGGAGAUACCCGUAGUGCACCUUUAUAGCCACCCAGUUACGUUGUGACAUUUGGUACACCCAAAGCAUUCCUACGGUAUCUGGGAUUUGCACAAUCUCAUGGUCUAAGGAAAUGAUACUUGACAUUAAAAAAACUUUACCAUACGAACUACACGAUCUUUGUGCUAGGCUUAGGAUUGGGUCUUGUCCAUCACAUCAUUCUCCUAAUGAUGUGAUCCCGUUAUCAACGACAUCCAAUGUCCAUGGUCAGGAAACCAUAACCAUCUAUUGAUCAACGAGCUAGUCAACUAGAGGCUUACUAGGAACAUGGUGUUGUCUAUGUAUCCACACAUGUAUCUGAGUUUCCCAUCAAUACAAUUAUAGCAUGGAUAAUAAACGAUUAUCAUGAACACGGAAAUAUAAUAAUAAUAACUAAUUUAUUAUUGCCUCUAGGGCAUAUUUCCAAUAGUCUCCCACUUGCACUAGAGUCAAUAAUCCAGUUCACAUCGCCAUGUGAUUAACACUCACAGGUCACAUCGCCAUGUGUCCAACAUCCAAAGAGUCUACUAGUGUCACUAAACUAGUUCACAUCAUCAUGUGAUUAAGACUCAAUGAGUUCUGGGGUUUGAUCAUGUUUUGCUUGUGAGAGAGGUUUUAGUCAACGGGUCUGCAACAUUCAGAUAUGUAUGUACUUCGCAAAUCUCUAGGUCAUAUUGUAAAUUCUGCUUCCACGCUCCACUUGGAGCUAUUCCAAAUGGUUGCUCCACUAUAUGUAUCUGGUUUGCUACUCAGAGUCAUUCGGAUAGGUGUUAAAGCUUGCAUCAACGUAACCCUUUACGCCGAACUCUUUAUCACCGCCAUAAUCGGGAAACAUGUCCUUAUUACUCCAAGGACAAUUUUGACCGCUGUCCAAUGAUCCAUUCCUGGAUCACUCUUGUACCCGUUUGCCAGACACGUGGCAAGGCACACAUCAGGUGCGGUACUCAGCAUAGCAUACUGUAGAGCCUACGUCUAAAGCGUAGGGGAUGACCUUCGUCCUUUCUCUCUCUUCUUCCGUGGUCGAGCUUUAAGUCUUAACUUCAUACCUUACAACUCAGGCAAGAACUCCUUGUUUGACUGUUCCAUCUUGAACACCUUCAAGAUCAUGUCAAGGUAUGUGCUUAUUUGAAAGUACCUUUAAGCGUUUUUGAUCUAUCCUCAAAGAUCUUGAUGCUCAAUGUUCAAGCAGCUUAAUCCAGGUUUUCUAUUGAAAAACACUUUUCAAACAACCCUAUAUGCUUUCCAAAAACUCUACAACAUUUCUGAUCAACAAUAUGUUCGCAACAUAUACUCAUCAGAAAUUCUAUAGUGCUCCCACUCACUUCUUUGGAAAUCCAAGUUUCUCAUAAAAUUUGUAUAAACCCAAAAUCUUUGAUCAUCUCAUCAAAGCGCACAUUCCAACUCCGAGAUGCUUACUUCAGUCCUUAGAAGGAUUGCUGGAGCUUUGCAUACUUGUUAGCGUCUUUCAGGAUUGUCAAAACCUUCUGGUUGUAUCACAUGCAACCUUUCCUCAAGAAAAACAUCGAGGAAACAAUGUUUUGACAUCCUAUCUGCAAGAUUUCAUAAAUAAUGCAGUAACUGCUAAUAUAAUUCCAACAGACUCUUAGCAUCGCUACGAGUGAGAAAGUCUCAUCGUAGUCAACUCCUUGAACUUGUCGGGAAAUAUCUUAACGACAAGUCGAGCUUUCUUAAUGGUGACAGUUACAUGGAUCGUUGUCCGUCUUCCUUCUAAAAUCCAUCUGUACUCAACAGCCUUACGACCAUCGGGUAGUUCUGCCAAAGUCUACACUUUGUUUUCAUACAUGGAUCCUCUCUCGGAUUUUAUGGCCUCGAGCCAUUUGUCGGAAUCCGGGCCCACCAUCGCUUCUCCAUAGCUCGUAGGUUCAUUGUUGUAUAGCAACAUGACCUCCAAGAUAGGAUUAUGUACCAAUCUGAAAUAGUAUGCAUCCUUGUCGACCUACGAGGUUUGGUAGUGACUUGAUCCAAAGUUUCAUGAUCAAUAUCAUUAGCUUCCACUUCAACUGGUGUAGGCACCACAGGAACAACUUCCCGUGCCCUGCUACACACUCGUUGUAGUGACGGUUCAAUAACCAUAUCAAGUCUCCACCAUCCUCCCACUCAGUUUUCUGAGACAAACUUUUCCUCGAGAAAGGACAUGAUUCAAGAAACAAUCCCUAUUGCCUUCGGAUCUGAAUUAGGAGGUAUACCCAACUGUUUUGGGUGUCCUAUGAAAAUGCAUUUUAUUCGCUUUGGGUUCGAGCUUAUCAACCUGAAUCUUUUUCACAUAAGCGUCGCAGCCCCAAACUUUUAAGAAACAACAACUUAGGUUUCUCCAAACCAUAGUUCAAACGGUGUCAUCUCAACGGAAUUACGUGGUGCCCUAUUAAAGUAAGUGCGGUUGUCUCUAAUGCCUAACCCAUGAACGAUAGUGGUAAUUCAAUAAGAGACAUCAUGGUACGCACCAUAUCCAAUAGGGUGCAACUAUGAUGUUCGGACACACCAUCACACUAUGGUGUUCCAGGCGGUAUUAGUUGUGAAACAAUUUCCACAAUGUCUUAAUUGCGUGCCAAAGCUCGUAACUCAGAUACUCAUCUCUAUGAUCAUAUCAUAGACAUUUUAUCCUCUUGUCACGAUGAUCAUCAACUUCACUCUGAAAUUACUUGAACCAUUCAAUACAUCAGACUUGUGUUUCAUCAAGUAAAUAUACUCAGUAUCUACUCAAAUCAUCCGUGAAGUAAGAACAUAACGAUAUCCACUUCGUGCCUCAGCACUCAUUGGACUGCACACAUCAAAAUGUAUUACUUCCAACAAGUUGCUUUCUUGUUCCAUUUUACUGAAAAACGAGGCUUUCAGUCAUCUUGCCCAUGUGGUAUGGUUUGCAUGUCUCAAGUGAUUCAAAAUCAAGUGAGUCCAAACGGUCCAUUUGCAUGGAGUUUCUUCAUGCAUAUACACCAAUAGACAUGGUUCGCAUGUCUCAAACUUUUCAAAACAAGUGAGUCCAAAGGUCCAUCAACAUGGAGCUUAUUUAUGCGUUUUAUACCAAUAUGACUUACCUGGCAGUGCCACAAGUAGGUGGUACUAUCAUUAAUAUCUUAUAUCUUUUGGCAUGAACAUGUGUAUCACUACGAUCGAGAUUCAAUAAACCUUUCAUUUUAGGUGCAAGACCAUUGAAGGUAUUAUUCAAAUAAAUAGAGUAACCAUUAUUCUCCUUAAAUGAAUAAGCGUAUUGCGAUGGACAUAAUCCAAUCAUGUCUAUGGUCAACGCAAACACCAAAUAACAAUUAUUUAGGUUUAACACCAAUCUCGAUGGUAGAGGGAGCGUGCGAUGCUUGAUCACAUCAAGCUUGGAAAACUUACAACACAUAUCGCCAGCUCACCUUUAGCUAGUCUCCGUCUACUCCGCAGCCUUUUAUUUCGAGUUACUAACACUUAGCAACCGAACCGGUAUCUAAUACCCUAGUGCUACUAGGAGUACUAGUAAAGUACACAUUAACAUAAUGUAUAUCCAAUAUACUUCUAUCGACCUUGCCAACCUUCUCAUCUACCAAGUAUCUAGGGUAAUUCUGCUCCAGUGGUUGUUCCCCUUAUUACAGAAGCACUUAGUCUCGGGUUUGGGUUCAACCUUGGGUUUCUUCACUAGAGCAGCAGCUGAUUUGCCGUUUCAUGAAGUAUCCCUUCUUGCCCUUGCCCUUCUUGAAACUAGUGGUUUCACCAACCAUCAACAAUUGAUGCUCUUCUUGAUUUCUACGUUUGCGGUGUCAAACCUCGCGAAUAUCUCAAGGAUCAUCAUAUCUAUCCCUGAUAUGUUAUAGUUCAUCACGAAGCUCUGGCAGCUUGGUGGCAAUGACUUUGGAGAAACAUCAAUAUCUCAUCUGGAAGAUCAACUCCCACUCGAUUCAAGUGAUUGUUGUACUUAGACAAUCUAAGCACAAGCUCAACGAUUGAGCUUUUCUCCCUUAGUUUGCAGGCUAAGAAAAUCGUCGGAGGUCUUAUACCUCUUGACGUGGGCACGAGCCUGAAAUCCCAAUUUCAGCCCUUGAAACAUCUCAUAUGUUCCGCGACGUUUCAAAAUCUUCUUUGGGGCCUCAACUCUAAACCGUUUAACUGAACUAUCACGUAGUUAUCAAAAUGUGUGUGUCAGAUGUUCGCAACAUCCACAGACGACGUUCAAGGUUCAGCAAACUACGCGGUGCAUUAAGGACAUAAGCCUUCUUCGAAGCAACAAGGACAAUACUCAGUUUACGGACCUAGUCCGCAUAAUUGCUGCUAUCCACUUUCAACUAAAUUUUCUCUAGGAACAUAUAUAAACAGUAGAACUAAAGCACAAGCUUACGACAUAAUUUGCAAAGAUCUUUUGACUAUGUUCAGGAUAAUUAAGUUCAUCUUAUGAACUCUCACUCAGAUAGACAUCCCUCUACUUAUCUAAAUGAUUACAUGAUCCGAGUCAACUAGGCCGUGUCCGAUCAUCACGUGAGAUGGACUAGUCAUCAUUGGUGAACAUCUUCAUGUUGAUAUCUACCAUACAACUCAUGCUCGACCUUUCGGUCUCUUGUGUUCCGAGGCCAUGUCUGUAUAUACUAGUCUCGUCAAGUCAACCUAAGUGUUUCGCGUGUGUAAAUCUGGCUUACACCCGUUGUAUGUGAACGUUAGAAUCUAUCACACCCGAUCAUCACGUGGUGCUUCGAAACAACGAACUUUUGCAACGGUGCAUAGUUAGGGGGAACACUUUCUUGAAAUUUUAAUGAGGGAUCGUCUUAUUUACUACCGUCGUUCUAAGCAAAUAAGAAGCAUAAACAUGAUAAACAUCACAUGCAAUCAAACGUGACAUGAUAUGGCCAAUAUCAUUUUGCUCCUUUUGAUCUCCAUCUUCGGGGCUCCAUGAUCAUCAUCGUCACCGGCAUGACACCAUGAUCUCCAUCAUCAUGAUCUCAAUCAUCGUGUCUCCAUGAAGUUGUCUCGCCAACUAUUACUUCUACUACUAUGGCUAACGGUUUAGCAAUAAAGUAAAGUAAUUACAUGGCGUUGUUUAUUGACACGCAGGUCAUUCAAUAAAUUAAGACAACUCCUAUGGCUCAUGUCGGUUGUCAUACUCAUUGACAUGCAAGUCGCGAUUCCUAUUACAAGAACAUGAUCAAUCUAAUACAUCACAUAUAUUAUUCAUCACAAUCUUUUGGCCAUAUCACAUCACAUAGCAUACCCUGCAAAAACAAGUUAGACAUCGUCUAAUUGUUGUUUGCAUGUUUUACGUUGCUGCUAUGGGUUUCUAGCAAGAACGUUUCUUACCUACGCAAAACCACAACGUGAUAUGUCAAUUGCUAUUUACCCUUCAUAAGGACCCUUUUCAUCGAAUCCGAUCCGACUAAAGUGGGAGAGACUGGCACCCGCUAGCCACCUUAUGCAACAAGUGCAUGUCAGUCGGUGGAACUUGUCUCACGUAAGUGUACGUGUAAGGUCGGUCUAGGCCGCUUCAUCCCACAAUAUUGUCGAAACAAGAUUGGACUAGUAACGGUAAGCAUAUUGAACAAAAUCAACGCCCACAACAACUUGUGUUCUACUCGUGCAUAGAAACUACGCAUAGACCUAGCUCAUGAUGCCACUGUUGGGGAACAUAGCAAAAAUUCAAAAUUUUCUAUGCAUCACCAAAAUCAAUCUAUGGAGUAAUCUAGCAACGAGGGAAAGGGGAGUGCAUCUACAUACCCUUGUAGAUCGCUAAGCGGAAGCGUUCAAGUGAACGGGGUUGAUGGAGUCGUACUCGUCGUGAUGCAAAUCACCGAUGAUCCUAGUGCCGAACGGACGGCACCUCCGCGUUCAACACACAUGCAGCCCGGUGACGUCCCCCAUGCCUUGAUCCAGCAAGGAGAGAGGGAGAGGUUGGGGAAGACUCCGUCCAGCAGCAGCACGACGGCGUGGUGGUCGUGGAGGAGCGUGGCAAUCCUGCAGGGCUUCGCCAAGCACUGCGGGAAAGGAGGAGGACUUGGAGAGGGGGAGGGCUGUGCCAGAACUUGGGUAUGGCUGCCCUCCCACCCCCCACAUAUAUAUAGGGGCAAGGGAGAGGGGGGCCAGCCCCUUCAGAUUCAAUCUGAGGAGGGGGCGGUGGCCAGGGGGUUGCCUUGCCCCCCAAGGCAAGGGGGGCGCCCCCUUUUAGGGUUCCCCCAAACCCUAGGCGCCUUGGGCCCUGGUGGGUGGCGCACCAGCCAACCUGGGGCUGGUCCCCUCCCACACAUGGCCCACGCAGCCCUCUGGGGCUGGUGGCCCCACCUGGUGGACCCCCGAGACCCUCCCGGUGGUCUCGGUACGUUACUUAAGGUCCCGGUGGUAUAGGGAAACUUUUCCGGUGACCAAAGCAGGACUUCCCAUAUAUAAAUAUUUACCUCCGGACCAUUCCAGAACUCCUCGUGACGUCCGGGAUCUCAUCUGGGACUCCGAACAACAUUCGGUAACCACGUACAUCUAUUCCCUAUAACCCUAGCGUCAUCGAACCUUAAGUGUGUAGACCCUACAGGUUCGGGAGGCACGUAGACAUGACCGAGACAACUCUCCGGCCAAUAACCAACAGCGGGAUCUAGAUACCCAUGUUGGCUCCCACAUGUUCCACGAUGAUCUCAUCGGAUGAACCACGAUGUCGAGGAUUCAAUCAAUCCCGUAUUCAAUUCCCUUUGUCUAGCGGUAUAGUACUUGCCCGAGAUUCGAUCGUCGGUAUCCCGAAACCUUGUUCAAUCUCAUUACCGGCAAGUCUCUUUACUCGUUCCGUCACACAUCAUCCCAUGAUCAACCCCUUGGUCACAUUGUGCACAUUUUGAUGAUGUCCUACCGAGUGGGCCUAGAGAUACCUCUCCGUCAUACGGAGUGACAAAUCCCAGUGUCGAUUCGUGCCAACCCAACAGACACUUUCGGAGAUACCCGUAGUGCACCUUUAUAGACACCCAGUUAAGUUGUGACGUUUGGUACACCCAAAGCAUUCCUAUGGUAUCCGGGAGUUGCACAAUCUCAUGGUCUAAGGAAAUGAUACUUGACAUUAGAAAAGCUUUAGCAUACGAACUACACGAUCUUUGUGCUAGGCUUAGGAUUGGGUCUUGUCCAUCACAUCAUUCUCCUAAUGAUGUGAUCCCAUUAUCAACGACAUCCAAUGUCCAUGGUCAGGAAACCGUAACCAUCUAUUGAUCAACAAGCUAGUCAACUAGAGGCUUACUAGGGACAUGGUGUUGUCUAUGUAUCCACACAUGUAUCUGAGUUUCCCAUCAAUACAAUUAUAGCAUGGAUAAUAAACGAUUAUCAUGAACACGGAAAUAUAUUAAUAAUAACUAAUUUAUUAUUGCCUCUAGGGCAUAUUUCCAACAUUGGCCGCCUUGUCCUCGGCCUCGGCCAGCGCCUUCUUGAGGGCCUCUACUUCGGUCGUUGCCCCUAAUAAAUUUCAUGGCACUUUAGUCAGCGUGAAUCAUUCAUCCUUCCUGAAUAUAUACAAGGUUACUGCAUACCUUGACUGUCCUCCAACUGCUUCUUCAUGCGGCCGAGCUCUUCCUCGGCCUGCUUCAGACUCUGCUUCAGUCUGGAGACUUCCGCGGGAUGAGAGGUCGUAGCCAGCAGCGACGCCUGCUUAUUCACAUAGACAUAUUAGAUUAGACUCCCGCGAAAAUUAUUUCAUCCUCUGUUCGGCUUUUCUUUCCGAACACCGGACAGAGUAUCAAGGGCUACUGUCUAUACGUUGACAUUCUUUUUAUAGUUGCGUUGCUUACCUCAAAGCCUGUUAGAAGGCUAGUGCACGCUUCAGUCAGUCCGCUCUUCACAGACUGGACCCUCUCAAUCAUGGGUAUAGUGUUCCUCGACAAUGGAAGCGCCUUGCAGCGAUUCCAGCAAAGUGUCCGGUGCCUCUGGAUGGACAAAGGUCACCGACGGAAUAGGCACGGCCUCUUCCUUCGAAAAGGGGUGAUCGCCUGAUUCUGGAGCCACAUGGGUCUCCGGAAUUAUAUUCGGUUGGGGGCCGAGAUGGAUACGGCCCCCAUCGUCAGUAUCCAUGGGGGUUUGCUCCCCCAUGUGUCCGGCGCCGAGGCUUCAUCCUCCGGCGCCUCCCUGACAACCUCUAGAUUCUCUCUCGGGCCGGGGAUCCUUCGGGAUGACGCCUUGGCGCCACCCAGGUCCUGGGGAGAGGUGGACGAUGGAAGGGGUCCCGCUGUCCAUCACCACCGGAUCCAGCGAAUCAUCUGAAGAUAAGGACCGCUCGAGGUUGGACCGAGCCGGACUGCAAAUGUACAAUCUAGCACAUUAAAACAAUGAUGUAAAGAGGCAGGAUACAUGAACGCAUCCGGACACUUGCGAUUUGGCCAGGGGCUUCUCCCUGGGCUCCCACUCCCAGCUGCUGUCGGUGGCCGCUGUGGAGCUGUCAAGAAGGGAAGCUUUCCCCUUCUUGGACACCUCGGUGAUACGUCUCCAACGUAUUUAUAAUUUUUGAUUGUUCCGUGCUAUUAUACUACCCCUUUUGGAUGUUUAUGGGCUUUAUUUUACACAAUUAUAUCAUUUUUGGGACUAACCUACUAACUGGAGGCCUAGCCCAUACUGCUAUUUUUUUGCCUAUUUCAGUAUUUCGAAGAAAAGGAUAUCAAACAGAGUCCAAAUGGAGUGAAACCUUCGGGAGCGUGAUUUUUGGAACGAACGUGAUCCAGAGGACUUGGAGUGCAAGUCAAUAAGCAGCCAAGGCUCCCACGAGAUAGGAGGGCGCGCCCCCCUAUAGGGUGAGCCCCCCUGUCUCGUGGGCCCCUCAGGCGUCCACAGACGUACUUCUUCCUCCUAUAUAAGCCUUCGUACCCCGAAAACAUCCAGGGAGCAACCGAAACACAAUUUCCACCGCCGUAACCUUCUGUAUCUGCGAGAUCUCAUCUUGGAGCCUUCGCCGGCGCUCCGCCGGAGGGGGAAUCGACCAUGGAGGGCUUGUACAUCAACAUCCUUGCCCCUCCUAUGAGUUGUGAGUAGUUUACCACAGACCUACGGGUACAUAGUUAUUAGCUAGAUGGCUUCUUCUCUCUUUUUGGAUCUCAAUACAAUGUUCUCCCCCUCUCUUGUGGAGAUCUAUUCGACGUAAACUCUUUUUGCGGUGUGUUUGUCGAGAUCCGAUGAAUUGUGGGUUUAUGAUCAAGUUUAUCUAUGAAUAAUAUUUGAAUCUUCUCUGAAUUAUUUUAUGUAUGAUUGAGUUAUCUUUGCAAGUCUCUUCGAAUUAUCAGUUUGGUUUGGCCUACUAGAUUGAUCUUUCUUGCCAUGGGAGAAGUGCUUAGCUUUGGGUUCAAUCUUGCAGUGUCCUUACCCAGUGACAGAAAGGGUUGCAAGGCACGUAUUGUAUUGUUGCCAUCGAGGAUAACAAGAUGGGGUUUAUACCAUAUUGCUUGAGUUUAUCCCUCUACAUCAUGUCAUCUUGCUUAAUGCGUUACUCUGUUCUUAUGGACUUAAUACUCUAGAUGCAGGCAGGAGUCGGUCGAUGUGUGGAGUAAUAGUAGUAGAUGCAGGCAGGAGUCGGUCUACUUGUUAUGGACAUGAUGCCUAUAUACAUGAUCAUGCCUAGAUAAUCUCAUAAUUAUUCGCUUUUCUAUCAAUUGCUCGACAGUAAUUGGUUCACCCACCGUAAUACUUAUGCUAUCCUGAGAGAAGCCACUAGUGAAACCUAUGGCCCCCGUGCCUAUCUCUUAUCAUAUUUGCUUCCAAUCUACCUUUAUUUUCAUCAUUACUUUUUGCAUCUAUAUUAUAAAAUACCAAAAAUAUAUUUAUCUUAUCAUACUAUCUUUAUUAGAUCUCACUUUCGCAAGUGGCCGUGAAGGGAUUGACAACCCCUUUAUUGCGUUGGUUGCGAGUUCUUUGUUUGUUUGUGUAGGUGCGUGGGACUUUUGAGGAGCCUCCUACUGGAUUGGUUCCUUGGUUCUCAAAAACUGAGGGAAAUACUUACGCUACUAUUGCUGCAUCACCCUUUCCUCUUCAAGGAAAACCAACGCAAGCUCAAGACGUAGCACUCGGCCUCCAGAUGUGUGGAGGCCGUUGAGGGAGUCCUAGCUUAGGGGGUCCUCAGACAACCGGAUUAUAUGCAUAUGCCAGACUGUUGGACUAUGAAGAUACAAGACCAAAGACUUCGUCCCAUGUCCGUGUGGGACUCUCCUUUGCGUGGAAGGCAAGCUUAGCAAUUCGGAUAUGUAGAUUUCCUUCUCUGUAACCGACUCUGUGUAACCCUAGCCCCCUCCGGUGUCUAUAUAAACCGGAGGGUUUAGUCCGUAGGACAACAACAAUCAUAAUCAUAGGCUAGCUUCUAGGGUUAGCCUCUAUGAUCUCAUGGUAGAUCAACUCUUGUAAUACUCAGAUCAUCAAGAUCAAUCAAGCAGGAAGUAGGGUAUUACCGCCAUAGAGAGGGCCCGAACCUGGGUAAAUAUUGUGUCCUCCGGCUCCUAUUACCAUUAGCCUUAGAUGCACAAUUCGGGACCCCCUACCCGAGAUCUGCCAGUUUUGACACCGACAUUGGUGCUUUCAUUGAGAGUUCCACUGCGAUGUCGAAAAGAAGGUUUGAUGGCUCGCCUUGUUAUCAAGGACAACAUCACCUCGGGGGGAGCCCUGGCUUUAGGCCAAACCCUCCGGCUGGGCGGCUUCAUCAUGACCGCUCGUUCGGCCGCCGUGCCGAUGAUAACUUCUCGGGUCAUCAAAAACAGCCUCCUCGUCAUCUCGGAAUACGCCGAGUAGAUGGAUCCAAUGGAACUUUCAUCCUUGAACGAGCUCCUGGAUCGCAUCGCCGCCUUGGGAGUCGCUAUGGACUAUGAUCGGAUUGGGCUUAAACCUGAUCAAAGAGAGAUUAACUCUUCGCCGGUCACCCAUCAGAUAGCGGUGGUGGAGGAGCAAUGCAACGAUUCUUCCUCUAUCUUGAGGACAAACUACGUCCGGAUUCCCGAGCUCUCCGAGCCGAACACCCGUUCGCGGGAGGACAUGACCCAAACUCUGAACUUAGAAUCGGACAGCAGGCCAAAAAAAUUGGGCAACAUCUCGGAACCCGAACCGCUAAGUUUGGAAGUUCCUAUGCCCCUGGGUCUCAGAUCGGGCCCGGGUGCAGACUUAAAUCCACCCACCCACCCAGAUUCAAGCGAUCUUUCCCACAUUAGACAACAAUCCCAAGAGACAGUACAUCACUUUUGGGCCAGAUUCCUCCUUGUAAUGAGGAAGGUCAAGGAUUGUCGCGAGGAAGACACAAUCGCAUUCUUUUGAAAAAAUUGGGAAUCCUCAAUGCCAUAAGUCUCCAUGACAUAUCACACUUCGCUGACUUGACGGCCAUAGUACAGAAGUACUGUGCCAUGGAAAGCUCCUGGAAAACCUAGGCAAAAUUCUGGGAUCCUCUGGCUCUCACUAAACCCCUCGUCCGAACUAAAAGGGUGCACUCUCGCAAGUCAACUGAUCCAAUUACAAAGAAACCAAAGCCCGCUACAGGGCGUGGAACCAUAUUGGAGGGAUGGCUCAAUGGGCCAUGCAAAAUCCACACCUCACCGAUACCAUACCAACACACAACCUAAGAGCAUGUUGGAUACUUCGGCAGGUGGCCAAGAGCGGCGAGGAUCUCCUCAUUAACAAUGCCGCAGAGCAACAUCCCACAGAAAACAACAAUACAAUAUUGACAGUCUUCGAGACUUUCACCUCAAAUAACAGGCGCAAGAGAGCACUCCGCGGCCUCGCUGAAGUCUGCCACGUUGCUGCAAUAAAUUCAUGGAACGACAUGGCCAUAACCUUCAAUGCCAGUUAUGAACCUCAAUUUCGAACAGUCCGAGCACCAGCCGCUUGGGUCCUUAUUCCAAUUGUGGACGGCUUCUCGCUUACUAAAGUGCUCAUGGACGGUGGAAGCGGAUUAAACCUCAUCUACGAGGAAACUCUCAACAAAAUGGAAAUAGACAAGAGCUGCAUUGAGCAAAGCAGCACGACCUUCAUAGGAAUUAUCCCUAGUCGGGAGGCAUGAUGUGCGGAAAAAAUGACACUCAAUGUGGUAUUCGCACGGCAGAGAAUGAUAGGUCCGAAGAGAUAACAUUCCAAGUGGCCCCAUUCAGUAGUGGAUACCAUGCCCUUUUAGGGCGGGACGCAUUCGCGAGCUUGCAAGCUAUACCGCAUUAUGGGUACAUGAAGCUCAAGAUGCCCGGGCCCGACGGAAUCAUCACUCUAGACAGUGAUUCGGACAUAGCACUCCGCGCCGAAAAUAAUAUAGCCGCCCUGGCCCUUAAGGCAUUAUCCGAAGCCCUCGUGGCCGAAGAACUAACUGCGCUACGCUCCAUAGUGGACAGCGACGACGUAAUACUCGACAAACGAUCCAAGUCAACUUCUUUCAAACCAGCGGACGAAAUAGUCAAAUUCCAAGUCCACCCAACGGACCUACAAAAACAGCAUCCAUCGGGGCACAGCUGAACCCCACAAUCGACACCGCAUUGGGACGUCUUCGCCUAGCACCCUUCAGAUUUGCCAGGGAUCCCACGUAGGCUGGCCGAGCACAGCCUCAACAUAUUGAAGGGAUACAAGCCGUUCAAGCAAACACUACGACGCUUUUCAGAGCCCAAACGACAAGCUAUCACUACUACGGAAAACCCUAGCAGUAGCGCUGGUUUUGUGCUCACUAGUAGCGCGGGGGNNNNNNNNNNNNNNNNNNNNNNNNNNNNNNNNNNNNNNNNNNNNNNNNNNNNNNNNNNNNNNNNNNNNNNNNNNNNNNNNNNNNNNNNNNNNNNNNNNNNNNNNNNNNNNNNNNNNNNNNNNNNNNNNNNNNNNNNNNNNNNNNNNNNNNNNNNNNNNNNNNNNNNNNNNNNNNNNNNNNNNNNNNNNNNNNNNNNNNNNNNNNNNNNNNNNNNNNNNNNNNNNNNNNNNNNNNNNNNNNNNNNNNNNNGUGCCCGCACGCGCUACUUCUAGGACAAAUAGCUGCAGCGUUUGUUCACUCCCAUGCUACUGCUAAUGUAACUAGUGGCAGCGUGUUUUCUCUCCAUCGCUACUUGUAUUCUUUUUUUAUUUUUUAUUUUUAGUGUAUUUAUGCGCCAUCGUACAAAUAUUGGUACAAUACCAGUUAUGAGGUUUACAUCAUUAUGUCCAUAACAGUGUGUCAAAUGAAGGUGGAUUAGGUUCAAGUGGAGGCAAUAUGUGGUGCAUGUCAAAAGUAUACUACUAAACCAAACUUGAUCUAGUUUGGACUAGUAGUACUUUCGAUGUGCACCACAUGUUGCCUCCACUUGAAUCUAAUCCGCCAGCACAAGUUAUUUAAUCAUCAUCAUAAUCAUAACAUCAACAGUAGUUAUUUAAUCAUCAUAGUCAUAGUGUAGCACAUCAUCAUAUUCAAACUCAUUCUUUCUAGGUAAUCACCACCAACACUAACUGCGGUAGCUAUCUAAUCACCAGCAACACUAGCUAAAAAAAUUAUCCAUCAUUGCCAACAACACUAGCUAAUCACUCCUGCUGCUCUCUCUCAGGUAAAAUAACAUAAAACAUGUGUAGCACUUGUUCUUCAUCAAGUUGGAGCAUGCAGAUGAACCUAUCUCCUAAUCGUGGGUUGUGCUUCUGAUUGCUGUCCCCUAGUACUUCUCUGCGAUCGUUCACAAUUUUGCUCCAAUCUUUCACUAUUAAGCAAUCCUUGCUAUUCGAAAUCCUGAAUUCACUAAAGUGCAUUAUAGGAUAUCUUGGCCGUAAGCUAACAAUUCUCAUCUGACCUUUAGUCUUGAUCCAAUGAGGCACAACAUUCAGCGGGAGUCCAUAUUGAAGAACAUCGUAUAGUAACAUACUUAGCAAUGAAGUUUAGCUUAAAAAAUAAUGUAUGCGAAAGAUGCACUGAGUACAAAUAGUAAAAAUCUUACCAUCUUUCCUAAAUAGAUGUGACCGUAGUUCAAUACGAACACUAUUGGUCGCACGUUUUGAGUACUAAGAUUUGCAUGUCCAAAAAAAUAAUUUGUCUUGACAGUAUGAAGAUCCUCAAGCCAUGAAACAUAAUGACUUAUCUCCUCGCAAUUUAGUUCAGCCCCGGGACAGUAGUAGGUCCUGUCUACCAAGCGCUGGACAUGUUUGCUUCAUUGGAAAUAAGCUGUCAAUAGAAAUUAGUUGUCAACUAUUUUUGAAUAAACAAUAUCAAGGACAUUAAUAUGGUUGAGAAACUCACAUUUUGGUAGAACUGGAGGCGUCUGCACAUCGACCCAGAUGUCGGUAUUACCUUCAAUACCAUCUGCUGAAAGAAUAUCAAAGGUGAUAACCAUAUCAGGCUCAAAUGCAUAAAUCUUGCAUAGUGCUCGCCAUGUUUUGCAUCCAAAUAGGUGUAGUCGUCUUCGUUGUAUAAUUUUGCAUGGAAAAUAUAACCAUGCUCGGUCUUCAAAUAAACUCUCUUUACCUCCAUAGUAGUUGUCAUAGAACUAAAACCUAUCUUAUCCAAUACAAAAACUCUUGCAUGGCAGGAGAUACGCUAGUAGAAUAGGAAAAAAAUUAUAAGUUGAAGCAAAUGAAUCAGAUGUCAUGCUUAAUUACGAAAAAAGACUUGUCGUUGUGACUUACUGUAUCCACUUCGAAGUUCUCGUCCAGCUGGAUGCUGAAGCGCCUAUCAUCAUCUAGGAAGAUUCCGUCGCACAGGCCGCGCUCGUCUUCGUAGUAUUUGCAAAUACCGAAAUCCUUUUCGUCGUCAGACAUUUGCUAUGUUCAUAGUUAAAACAUUAAUUGAAAAUAAAUCGAAGACAACUACCAGGAUACGCAACACACAAAUCCGGGGCACUCGAUAUUUCCUACAUAUUCUGGCACAAGUCAUGCCAAAAUUCACAGAAAAUCCGGCAUGACCUUUGCUAAAAUAGGACAUAUCGAGCGCGUGAAAUUUGCCGGAACGGAAAUGAAUCAACACUCCGGCAAAACAUAGGCCACUCGGAGGUGUAACCUGCAAACAUGACCGGCCACUUGGGCAAGCACAUAUCAUAUUUGAGCAACACAAGAUAUACAUUUCAAAAUAUCUUAUAGGACUCAAAUUAGCAUGCAUUCAAUAAGCAAAAGUAAAUCAUCUCAUGUGUCUGUACAUCAUCGAAUAUUAUCACUAAUACAUCCUGAAUAGUGUCAUACAUAUAACAUCACUAAUACAACUAAAACCCUAGCACACGACGAGUAUCGGCGCGGGCGGUGGACACCCACAGAGAAGGAACCAUCAUGGGAUCAUAGAUCCAGUGAGAUCCCUGGAGAACCUGCCAGGUAUUGGAGAACCUGUGCUCCAACGCAAACAAGUAGCGACGGACGUGCGCGUCCUCCUCACUGACACGGUGACGCACCACCUCCGCGGGGUAAUCAAGCCUCUGGACUGUCACUGGCCCACGCGACCGCCACCAAAGAAGGUUCGGGUCAACGACAGGCUGGCUCCUCACCAACCUGCGCCCGCCUCCAAGUACAACCCCGGCGGAGCCCAGUCCCGGACAUGGCCCGUCUGGUGAAGCAUGUGUCGUCCUCCGCUGACUCGAUGACGAGGAUGCGGGAUAGGCAUCGUCCCUGUUGAUGCGGGAAAAAUUGCUUUAACUAAAAAAAUAGCAACAAGUUCUUACUAACUAGUUCUAUUAAUUCAAUUAGUUCUUACUAAAAAUAAACUUACCAUAAAUAAAAAUAAACUAGUACCUAAUUAAUACCUAGUUCUUACUAACUAAUUAGUACCUAGGAAUUACUGCCCUAAUUACCAUAUAAGUAUCCAUUUUUUAACUAGGGUUCGUACUACCUAAUUAAAUAGGGUUAAUACUAAUUGUAAUUAACUAAUUAGCAGUAAAAAUAGACUAGGGUUCAUACUAACUAGAAGUAAAUAGCUAGGGUUCAUACUAAGCAGAGAAGAGGGAUCGGAAGGGGUGAGUGCUUACGGAGGGCGGGAAGAGAGAUGGGGUCGGGGGAGACGGUGGCACCGAGGCGCGGCAAGGCGUGGUCGGGGGAGAUGGCGGCGAGGCGGGUCGAGGGAGGCGGCGGCGGAGAGCGAGGGCAGGGGCUCCGGCAAGGUCGAGGUCGAGGAGGAGGAGGCACAGGCGCCCGACGACGUCGAGGGGCAGACUCCGGCGGAGAGCGAGGGCAAGGCCUCCGGCGAGGGCGAGGGGAGGGGCUCCGGCGGAGGCGACGAGGGGGAGAAGAGAGAGUGGGGAAUUGGGGAGGAAGCCGAGGAGAGGGAAUCAGGCCACGCGGGGGGUUAGGUGAAAAUAGCUUUAACAGUAGCGUGGGGAGCGAAAACGCGCUGCUGCUAAAAUCAGUAGUAGUAGCGCUAUUUCUAGAAGGGCGCUACUACUAUACCUAGCAUGUCGGAAUGGUGUGGCAAUUAUAGUAGUAGCGCGUUCUACUCCUGCAGCGCUACUGCUAAGCAGGUAACAGUAGCGCCGUUUUAGACGAUGCGCUACUGCUAAGUAGCAGUAGCGCCUCAUUUUAACACGCGCUACCGGUAAGAUUCUGUGUAUAAGGUUGUCCCUAGUAGCGUAUGGGAGAUGAGCUAGCCAAGUUAUUCGAAGCCGGAUUCAUCAGAGAUAUAAAACACCCGGAUUGGCUAGCAAACCUGGUGAUGGUACCAAAGAAGGAUAAAUCCUGGCGCCUCUGUGUCGAUUUCAAGGACCUCAUUAAGGCUUGCCCCAAGGAUCCCUUCCCUCUCCCCUGCAUCGAUCAAAUCAUCAACGCUACCGCAGGACACGACUCAUUGUGCUUCCUCGACGCAUACUCCGGAUACCAUCAAAUCAAAAUGGCGGAGUCCGGUCAAGCCUCAACGGCAUUUAUCACCCCAUACGGACCCUUCUAUUUCAACACCAUGCCUUUCGGGCUCAAAAACGCCAGUGCAACCUACCAACGCAUGAUUCAGACAUGCCUGGAAAAACAAAUCGGCAAAAAAGUUGAGGCAUACUGUCACGCCCAAUAUGCGAUACUAUCCUAAAGAGACGCGAAGGUCCCACCAAGGAUAGAACCGCAUAUUGAUACGCUUUUGCAAGGUGGAUAUCAUUACAUCAACAUUACAUAAUAGAUGGGGAUACAUACAAAAGGCAUACAAUGCCACACGAAUACAACAUCAUCUUACAUAAGAGCACCAUCCAACUACAGAUGAAACACAAACAGAAACUCAAACGACAUCCACCCUGCUAGCCCAGGCUGCCGACCUGGAACCUAUCCCCUGAUCGAAGAAGAAGCAGAAGAAGAACUCCAAAGCAAGCAAACAUCGCUCUCGCGUCAUGAUCAUCGCGUAACCUGUACCUGCAACUGCUGUUGUAGUAAUUUGUGAGCCACGAGGACUCAGCAAUCCCAUUACCAUGGGUAUCAAGACUAGCAAAGCUUAAUGGGAAAGGAAGGGGUAAAGUUGUGAGGUUGUAGCAGCGACUAAGCCAGUAUGGUGGCUAACAUACACAAAUAAGAGCGAGAAGAGAAGCAACGGAACGGUCGUGAAGCUAGCAAUGAUCAAGAGGUGAUCCUGAACUCCUACUUACGUCAAACAUAACCCAAAAACGUGUUCACUUCACGGACUCCGCCGAAAAGAGACCAUCACGGCAACACACGCAGUUGAUGCAUUUUAAUUCGAAUCAGGUGUCAACUUAUCUACAACCGGACGUUAACAAGUUCCCAUCUGCCACAUAACCGCGGGCACGGCUCUCGAAAGUUUAUACCCUGCAGGGGUGUCCCAACUUAGCCCAUCACAAGCUCUCACGGUCAACGAAGAAUAUUCCUUCUCCCAAGAAGACCCGAUCAGUGUCGGAAUCCCGGCUACAAGACAUUUCGACAAUGGUAAAACUAGACCAGCAAAGCCGCCCGAUGCGCCAACAAUCCCGAUAGGAGCUGCACAUAUCUUGUUCUCAGGGCAACACCGGAUGAGACAUCCUACGAGUAAAACCAUACCUCGAGUUUCCCCGAGGGGGCCCUGCAGUCUACUCGGUUCGGACCAGCAUUUAGAGAAGCACUGGCCCGGGGGGGCUAAAAUAAAGAUGACCCUCAGGCUCCGGAAACCCAAGGGAAAAAGGCUAGGUAGGCAAAUGGUAAAACCAAGGUUGGGCCUUGCUGGAGGAGUUUUAUUCAAAGCGAACUGUCAAGGGGGUCCCAUAAAUCACCCAACCGCGUAAGGAACGCAAAAUCAAGGAACAUAACACCGGUAUGACAGAAACUAGGGCGGCAAGAGUGGAACAAAACACCAGGCAUAAGGCCGAGUCUUCCACCCUUUACCAAGUAUAUAGAUGCAUUAAUUAAAUAAGAGAUAUUGUGAUAUCCCAACAUAAUCUUGUCCAUCAUGGAGCAAUCUUCAACUUCACCCGCAAAUAACAACGCUAUAAGAGGGGCUGAGCAAAGCGGUAACAUAGCCAAGCAAUGGUUUGCUAGGAAGGGUGACAAAGGUUAGAGGCUGACAUGGCAAUUUGGGAGGCUUGAUAAGCAAGAGAUAGGUAGCGCGACAAAGCGAUAGAACGAAACAACUAGCAUAGCAAUGAUAGUAAUGAGAUCCAGGGUAGCGGUCAUCUUGCCUCAAAUCCUGCUAGGGAGAAGAACGAGUCCAUGAAGAAGACGAACGGGAGUAGUCAAACGAAUCCUAACAAUCGCAACAUUACCGGAACUAAGAAGCAACACCGGAAAGAGACAAACAACAUGGUAAACACACAAGCAUAAAGAUGGCAUGAUGCACAACCAAGUAUGAUGCAUGGUCAGUUUAAAGAGCAUGGCAGGGCAAAGUGCAACAAACAACACUACAAAUUAAGUGGAGCUCAAUAUGCAACGAGUUGCAUAUUGACGAAACACCACAUCAGUUAUUUAGUUCUCUCCUGUUUAUGCACCCACAAUAUUAAAUGUUGUUAAACAUGGAAAGGGGUGAAGCAUAAGAAAACUACCUAUCUAGGCAAGUUUAAAUGAGGCCGGAACAACAAACAACAAUUCUGGAAAAUCCCCAUGUCCAUAUUUUAGAUUUGGUAUUGUUCUGCCCUAAAACAUAUUUUAUUGUUGUAACAGGAAAAUAAAGUGUACCGUGUUAAACUAGAAAUUUUUCCACCCCAUUUACAUAUAAAGUUUAUUUAAAACCGAGCUAUGGUUAUUUAGUUAUAAAAUAAAUCAUUUUAACAUGGCAUUUGAGAAAAUUUAAACAAACAGCAUUUUAAACAUUUUAAACAUGGAUGAAAGUGGCAUAUUAUUAAUCUACACAAAAUUCUAAGCAUUUUACAUGUUUAAAUCAUUUUAAUCCGAUGCACGGUUCAUGAGUUAUUAUAUGCAUGAUGCUUAGGGGUUCUUCUGUAAAUGUGCACUCUCUGGAUAAUUGGACAAAUUCGCAGAACGGGAAAAAACAUGAUUUGCGCCGAAACUGCCGGGCCAAUAGUGCACAGGAGGGGCUGGGGGGCUGCUCACCCUUGGGCUUCGGCCCGAUAUGAAGCAAAUGCUGGAGGAGGCCGGUCCCUGGGCUGCUCACAUUGGGCGUGAGGAGGCGCUGGGCAUCUGGGCCGUGAGCGAAGCAGAGGAGGCCUCGCUCGGCGAGUGGCGCUCGUCCAGGCUGGCGCUGCACUGGUCAACACGGGGCGGGGUGCUUGUUGCAGCAAGGUGCAGCUUAGGGAAACAGAGGCAACGGCGGCGUCUUGGCACAGGACUCGGGCGCGGGCGGUCUCGAGCAGUAGCGGGCUGCAGGGAAGGCUGACGAGGUGGAGAUGGGGUGGAUCUGGCUGGCUGGCGCCAGAUCCGUGCAACGAUGGCGCGGGUGCUCCUGGCAUCCAUGGCGGGGACCUGCGGGGGAGCACAAGAGGAGUGAGAUGGAGAGGAAAAGGAGCAGGGGAUGGAGAUGGACGUGCAGAGGGAGAUGGACCCGGUGGAACUCGCGCUCCGACGAGCUGCUACUCGUGCAGGACAGACAGAGACGGGCGGCCUCGGGACGACGGGGACUCGUCGGGGCAGGGGCGCGGACGCGAGGCUUUGGCGUCGAGGGACGGAGCUUGACGGCGGGAUCCAACAAGGAGGCAUAGGAGAUGGCCGGAUCUGGGCCAGAGGCGGACAUUGGCGGCUUCCAUGAGCGGCGGUCGUUCCUGCAGCGGUGAAGUACAGAGAGAGAGGGAGAUCAUGAGUGAGAGAUUGAGGGGAAGGAGAGAAAGCAGGCUGGGCGUGGGUUGGACUGCUGCCGGUGCUGGGGGUGCUCGGGCGCCAUGAGCAGGGGAGCCUUGCUCCGGUCGAGGCAGAGGAGAAGCGAGGAGGUGCCUGCAGGAUUAGAUGGAGGGGGAGAGACUGGUUGCAGGCUUGGAUCCCGAUGAAGAGAGGUUAGGUAGGUGGCGGCGGGCAGGAGGAUGGAUGGGACAUCUCUCCUCAAUUUUAGGGUUGGACUAUAUAUUUAUAGCAUAUGUGUGUUUGUCUAGGGGCUAAUCUAGAUCCUUCGAUCGAAAUUGAGCGGUUGAGAAUAAAUGGCUUAGGGGAGUCCAACAAAGAAUCGAAGAUAUUAGAGGGAUGUUUGGGGAAGAUUCGAACCCAUUGGUAACGACUGCCUGGGUCGGGUUCGGGGAAGUUUCAGACGCGCGGGAGGGGUCUGUGCGCUGUGCAGAGGAACAAGGCGAUCACGUGCAAGUGGGUGGUUGGUUUCAGAACGGUCAACGAAGACAAGCGGUCUGAUAAUUGGUCGAUAGAGACAAAGUGAGAAUCGACAACUAUGAACGGUAAACGGUUUUAUGAAAAAAACAUGCGAAGGCAAUGCACAUGAUGCCCUGAGAUGAAAUGCCUGACAUGAACAAAAUGCAAAACAAAAGACAAAAACCCGACCACGAAGGAAAUAUCAUAUCACAUCUCAGGAAAAGGCAAGAGUUGGAGUUACGAAUGUGGAAAGUUGUAUCCAGGGCGUUACAACACUCCACCACUACGAGAGGAUCUCGUCCCGAGAUCUAGGAUGGCACCGGAGGGAAACGGAAGAGGAAGAGAAGAGGUAAAACUAAGUUGCUUCUUUGACAAAUGAGUGAAACCAAAGAACCUUGGAAGUUGAAUAGCUCGAAAGAGACGACACAACGGAGAUGAGCGAAUUGAUAGAACUCCGUAGUAAACGGAAACAAGGAACACCAUCAGAACCUUGUAGGUUGAAAGACAUGAAACACGAGCUCAACGAACCAAAAGAAUAUGGAGCCACACCGGUAUCAUGAGAUAGCCAAAAAAACGAAUGUCAGAACAUGGACAACACUCCGGUUGAGAAGAGAGGCAAGACUUGAUAAGAUGAAAAGAACUUGAAAAGACGACACGACACUCCGGUUAAAUGGAUAAGCAUGAAAAAAACAUGAUCCUCACAGUUCGAGACAAUGAGUGAAAAGAGCAACAUCACAAUGCCUCUGGAAGAAAGAAUAGAAGAUAGAUCAUUGAAAUAAAAGAAUGGAGAAGAAAAUGCCAACUUCUGCCACAAAUGAGAUUGGAAAGCAUCCUUGCAAUGAAGAAUUGAACGGAGUUGUUGCAAAAUCAACAACGAAAAGCACAAGCUUGUUGUGGGCUUAUGGAAAACACCUCAAAAUGAUGAGGUGGCAAAUGGCCACUGAUGGAAACAGUUAAUUGGAUUGAGAUCAGCAAGGAGAUGAAAACUCCUUUUAAUGAGAGAAUAGGAGGAAACUUGUAUUAUCAACCUAAACCAAGAUAACUCCAAGGAAGAAAGUGAUAGGUUUAAAAUAUGUCAUUCUUGAAAACUUGUGAAUCAUGAAACAUGAAGGGAAUUGUCAAGAAUGGCAUAACACCACCUCAAGAGAUAAGGUAGAAAGAAUUGCACUUCGAAACGCAAAAGAAGAAUACAUGAACUUCUCAGAACAAAACAUGUGUUGAGCACCUGUUUAAUUUGAGUAUAGCUUGGCGGAUCAUAACUCCAAGAAAAAUCUUGAAGAACAAUUGAAGAAUGAAAAACUCCGGUGACAAAAAGAUGAUGAGAUAGAAUAAAGGAUGAAAGAAUAAGAUGAGCCUUGCGGUGAUUUAGAUGGAGGUUCCCACAAAUGGCCGAGGAAAUUUGAACUCCGGAAAAGAAAAGAUGAAAACACUUGGAACUAGAAUUUAUUCACCAAGAACAAACUCCGAAGAAAAGGAUUAAUCACUUUGAGGGAAUAAGAAUAAGAUUUAUUGUAUUCUUAUCCUUCAUCAAAUUAAAUUGAUGACAAGCAAUGGAUUUUGCAUACUACUUAUUCUUCUUGAAAAGGAUUGAGAAGUGACAUAUCGCAAACUUGAGAAGGUCUUCAUGAACCACCGGUAGGAUUCAAAAGAACGAAUGGAUUAAAAUGAUAAUCAAGGAAAAAGAAUCGUGAGCGAACCAUCGUAAGAAUUCAAAAAUGACUGAUGAAAGGGAAUGUAUCACCGGGAAGGAUUGGAACAACAAUAUGCUAGAGAGGAUUUAGAUGGAAAAGAACAAAGAGAUCAUGAGUUGAUUAAAGAAGAUUUGAAUGAAGCACCAGGAUAAUUGGAUAAUGGUAGCUGAAAUGUGAGGACAAAGAAUUCUUCUAGGACGAUGGCCUCCGGUGAAAAGAAAUGGGAAAACAACUUCUGACAUACUCCCGAUAGGUAAGAAAAGAAUAUCUGACGAAUGGAAUAAUUCGAGAGGAUAAUAUGAAACUAGAACCGCGAGUCUUUGAGAGAACGGGCAAGAUUUAGAGGAAAAACUCUUCUUCGGUCUUCAAAUGACGAUGAGAAACAUCACCAAAAUUACCGAGAUACUCCGGGAGAAUGAAACGGGAAGAGGUUGAGCCGACAAUGAAAAGAGUUUGAAAACGAUCUUGGAGAAGGCAUGUGAUUGAUGGAAUUCAUUCUUACGUCACACUUUGAAAAGAAUUUGGGAAUAGCUCCGGAAUAAUUAGAAGAGUCAGGUAAGAUCCUGGGAAAAGACAUGUGGGUUAGGGCCCACUCAAAAGAAAACACCAUUGAACAAUUUUAAAGAGAGGUUGCACCGGUUGAAUUAAAUGGCUUGAAUGAGAUAACAACCUCAAAAUAUCUUGAAUGGAUUCAGAAUGGAAACACAAGUCUUGUGAGAUAUCUUCAGCACUCCAGAACAAAUGAAUAGGAAGAAGUGAAUGAUUAAGAGGUGCAUCUGAAUGAGGAAGCAUUAGAAACGAGGAAAGGAAUAUGAUGAAUACCGAAAGCUUGAAUUGGACCGGAGAAGAAACAACAAUGAAGGAUGAUGAACUUGAAACUGUUGAGCAUCUUCAUGGGAAAUCACCGGAUAAGAACAUUGAAAUAAAAGAAUGAAGAGACUUCCCACAAAUAAAAGGAUACAUGAUUAAGAAAUCUGAGUCCUUGAAGAAAAAGGGUGGGAGGGCGGGAAAACAAAGGCAACUUGGGGACGGAUGAAAUGGAUACUGUUGAGAAAAACUUAGAAUUGAUCUUGCGGAUGUUGAAAUGAUCUGAUCCACUUGAAGAAAAGCACACCGGUCGGAAAAGAAUUAACAUGGCGACCUCGAUGAUAAAGAAGGAUUAGUAUUCACAUAGCAAUAUGAGAACACCAUUUAGAAAAGGUAUGGAAUCAACACUUGACAUUGAAGCAACUCGAAUACCACAAAUAAAACAAAACAAUGAAUUGGCUUGCAGAAUAAGCCGGAACAAACAUAUGAUAGAGAUUUCGUCCGAAGUUUUCGUGGUGGGGCCCACAUGGGCUCGAUAGUAUAGCACCAUCAUGUACAAGGAAGUGCACAUGACAUACGAAGUGUCCCCGAACCAGCAUAGCCAAGGGCUCUUUAAGACACAAGGAGACCACUGUAAAAACGACCGUGGAUAGGCGGACCACUAGACGUCGAACCCCAAUCUCAUAUCAUGCAUCUGUAGGAAAGAUAUUAUAGGAGCUACUUGAAUUCCCACCUAUAAACUCCCGAAACAUUCUGGCUAUGCAAUCUGGUGUUGGGGAUACACGGGAAGCAAUAUAUCUCACUCAAACUAACAAUUCCUACAUCCAGCUGUAUCCAUCUGUCAACACAUAACCAAGAAAACUCUGGAAAUCGUGUACCUCAACCUUCGAAAAGCAUCCGUUAUACGAGCUAUGGCAAUACUCCCGAACUCCCCAGUACUGGGUGGCGUCGAGGUUAUCUCACCAACAACUUCAUAAAAGAGAUUUUUGAUGUCGGCAAAACUCAGGUAUUCCAGAACUGCAACGAUAAAAUUGUGACGACAACACCUCAGAGCUCAACUCCCCGGGACACUGCCACAACCCCUAAAUGCCAGGAGGCACCAAGAACAAUGUUCUCGUCACAAGAAUAUAGGAACGAUCCCAAGAUACCCGCGUGAUCCUAAAAAAAUUGUGAAAAAUUAAGGAGAGGAAAGACAAAACAUCUACGUCGAGAGUCCUCACCAGAGCGACGAAGGGGGCUGAGGAGUAAAAAGAAUCCUACUCUCCGAUAUAUAUAAUCCUAAGACUCAAAAUAGUUUUCUUCUAGACUAAACAAUGGCCAACAAUCAAGGGGCUCCUAUGGUCGGUCGAGGCUCUGAUACCUACUUGUCACGCCCAAUAUGCGAUACUAUCCUAAAGAGACUAGAAGGUCCCACCAAGGAUAGAACCACAUAUUGAUACGCUUUUGCAAGGUGGAUAUCAUUACAUCAACAUUACAUAAUAGAUGGGGAUACAUACAAAAGACAUAUGCCACAUGAAUACAACAUCGUCUUACAUAAGAGCACCAUCUGACUACGGAUGAAACACAAACAUAAACUCAAACGACAUCCACCCUACUAGCCCAGGCUGCCGACCUGGAACCUAUCCCCUGAUCGAAGAAGAAGCAGAAGAAGAACUCCAAAGCAAGCAAACAUCGCUCUCGUGUCAUGAUCAUCGCGUAACCUGUACCUGCAACUGUUGUUGUAGUAAUCUUUGAGCCACGAGGACUCAGCAAUCCCAUUACCAUGGGUAUCAAGACUAGCAAAGCUUAAUGGGAAAAGAAGGGGUAAAGUGGUGAGGUUGCAGCAGCGACUAAGCCAGUAUGGUGGCUAACAUACGCAAAUAAGAGCGAGAAGAGAAGCAAUGGAACGGUCGUGAAGCUAGCAAUGAUCAAGAGGUGAUCCUGAACUCCUACUUACGCCAAACAUAACCCAAAACCGUGUUCACUUCCCGGACUCCACCGAAAAGAGACCAUCACGGCUACACAUGCAGUUGAUGCGUUUUAAUUCGAAUCAGGUGUCAAGUUAUCUACAACCGGACGUUAACAAAUUCCCAUCUGCCAUAUAACCGCGAGCACGGCUCUCGAAAGUUUAUACCCUGCAGGGGUGUCCCAACUUAGCCCAUCACAAGCUCUCACGGUCAACGAAGGAUAUUCCUUCUCCCAGGAAGACCCGAUCAGUCUCGGAAUCCCGGUUACAAGACAUUUCGACAAUGGUAAAACAAGACCAGCAAAGCCGCCCGAUGCGCCGACAAUCCCGAUAGGAGCUGCACAUAUCUCGUUCUCAGGGCAACACCAGAUGAGACAUCCUACGAGUAAAACC